rnacentral:lncRNA from 1 species
CUUCUAAUGCGUCGAACGUGUUGACAAGAAUUCUUGGAUCGGUUUCUUCAACAAUUGCCUCCAUUUGUUCUUUAAAAGAAGGUAAUACGAAAGAGUAAGCAUCAUUUGAAUUUCUGGGAUCUAGGAAAGAAGGAAGAUCACGGCCGGUGAGUGGCGGCAGUCCCGGUAACUCUAUCAAAUCAUUAACCUUCCCUUCAAUUAGAUCGCCAUAUCCAUAGAAGUAAUAGUAAUAAACGUCGAAAACGAGGGCUGGUUGAAGCCAGAGUAGCGCCGAAGGGAGGUGAUACGCACGCGCCACUUCUGCAGCCCAAGUAAGGAGUUGAGGGUAAACCAAGCAAGUAAACGGUUGACCACCCUCGUUUUGACUGGCCGUGAUGAGCUCAGCCAGGGCUUCGGAGCUACGACGCUUGAACUCCGACAUGAAGUGCGUCCGAUCAUUUUGUUUGGAAUUGAAUCCGUCGUCAUAUCCAUCGGAGAAGCUGGCAAACGACAAGCCGUCUUCGGCCGUGGGAUUAUUGGGCAUGCGGCGGUAGGCGGAGAUGGCGGUGGCGAAGGUGACACGUGUGCCAAUGCGCGUAAGACGCCUGGCGAAUUGGAGGGAUGGGUUAAUGUGGCCUUGUAUUGGAAAUGUUAAUAGUAGAAAGUGGGGUUGCUGUUGCUGCUCCAUGUGCUUGUUUUUUGGUAUUAUAUAUAUAUAUAUAUAUAUAUAUUUAUUUAUUUAUUUAUACAAACACAAUCAUUGAAGAUUAAUAAUGACAAACAAUAUAAUAUCUUAUAGACAUAAAUACAAGACCAUAUUGCACAAUAUAUGGGAUAAGAAAAUAAGAAUAUAAAAAAUAAUAGAAUACACCACAACAUAAUGCUAAUUAACUACAAAACAGAACUAAAAAACUACAAAACCUCAGGCCUCAGCUAUGAUAACCACUUCAUCUCAAGUAUUCCCAGCCUGACUCUCGAUGAGGCCUCAACCCAUGCCAUCAGCGACAUGGCCAGGUCAUCGAAAUCUCAUUGCACCACCAUUAGAAUUAUUCAUCAACUCCAAUAUAAGCAAACUCUCUCCAUUUGAACGCUGAUACGAUUCUGAUCCAAACGGUGAAUCGACACCAUUUACGAUCAUAUAUAAGAGAUCUCGGGAGCAGAAAACAAACACCAUAAAGAAAAGGAAAUAGAAAAAUAAAAAAAAUUAGAAAAAAAAUUAAAACAUAAAAUAAUUAGGAGACUCAAAAUAAAUAAAAGAAAAACAAAAGAAAAAUAUCAAACGAAAGAUAUCGGCCUGUUGGGAGGAUGUGAGCUGUUGGGUUGGUGAUUUGGUAAUUAGGGACUGAUGGCGAUUGGAGCGAUGGUGGUGGCGGGGACGCCGGUGGCAGUGACCUGGGGAAGGUUAUGGACAGGUGGAUCUGAAAAUUCUGAAUGCGGUAAGUGCAGUGACGGUGACGGUGACGGUGACGAUAUCUUGACUCGCUGUUAUUUUUAUAUUUAUUUUAUUAAAUAUUAUUUAUUUAUUUUAAUUAUGAGGAUAAAAAAAAAAGUGGAGGGAGUGGAUUCUCACUCUACCUUCUCUUAUGAGAGUGGAAAUUUUAUUGCCCACUUUAAAAUUAAAUGGAAUCUACGGAGUAAAAAUCUUACUCCCUUUUUAAAAAUAAUAAAUAAAUACUGAAAUAAAAAAAAUUUAAACUCCAUAUUCCCACUCUAAUAAAAAUACACUACCUAAGUGCAGUGACGGUGACGGUGUAGAUAUCUUGACUCGCUGUUAGGCAGGUGAGAAAAGUCACGAGGCAUCUAGUUGGACCAUAUAUUGAUGACGCAAUACAUGGGCGGGAGCUGAUCUGGACUGCGUGAUUGUGGAGCCACAACUAUAAGCUUUUUGUGCCUAAAUUUGUCUGCUUGUUAUUUUGUGUUUUCUGAAAAGUGAAAACCCAACAACUGAUUUGGAAUCUUGUGGAUGCCUAUAUUCAUUCAUCGCUACCCAAUCCUACAAGAAAUAGUUUUUUUUUUUUUUUUUUUUUUGUUUUGAAGAUUUUGUAGAGAACUUGAUAUUUAAAAUACGUAUUUUAAAAAUUAGAGAAAUUGGCCAAGGCUGAUUUUACGAGACCUCUUUUUAUUAAGAAACUUUAAUACUAAAAGAAAAAAUCAUAAUAGAGCUCAAAAUUCAUUUCAUUUUAGUUCUUGAAUUUCAAUAAUAAUAAAGAAGAUCCUAAAAUAUUUCAAAAACAAAAUCUAAAAUUUACUUUCAUUAAUUUUUUAUAAAAAUAAAUAAAUAAAUAAAUGAGAACAAUAUUAUUUUUAAAUAAAAUAUUUAGAAUGGAGUAUAUUAAAAGUUGAGAUGACGAAUUGAUGAUCACAUAAUGCAUAUGGACUUUCUAUUUCAAGAAACUCAUUUUUUUCUUUUCUAAAUAAACUAAUGUAUGUAAUAAUUUUCUUUGUAGAGGAGAGAGUAAGAAAUUUUUUCGUCUGUGAUUUUUUAGAUUAUAAGGUUUACAACUAGAAAUUCUUAUUUAUUUUUUACUGAAUCUACCAUAGAUCAAUUCCCCUGUUUAAUAAAAAUUAAAAAGAAUACUCAAAGUUAAAGAUUCUAACAUUAAAUAAUUAAGUUUUCUUAAGAAACUAAAAAGGUAAAUAAUUUAUUUAUUUUUCUUGGAAAAAAUAAUAAUGAAUAAAUUAAUAGUUAGACAAUUUUAUUAAUUAUAUAUUUUUAACAAUAAGGUUACCAAAUAUAGAUAUUCUAUAGAAAAUAGCUCUUAAUAAUAUGAUAAUUAUUAAUUAGUGAGAUGUUUAGUAAGUUUUCUCACAAUAUGUAAAUUUAAAAAAAUCUUAUUAAUUAAAAAAUUAUUAAUGAAAUACUCAAAAAAAAUUAAUGAGGUCUUUCUAAAUGAAAUCUUAGAGACAAUUAUCAUGUUUGUGUAUAUUUAAAGUCAAUCCUGAAAUUGACAUGGAGAGUUUAGUUCUAGUUAAAUAUUGCCGAUACUCCUCCAUAGAGGCUAUAGGGUACUCGAUAUGUUUAAAUUAUUAAAAGAAAAAGUAUAUGCUUCUCAAGAUUUUAAAGAUGGAACUUCAUAUACAUAUUGAAAGAAAAAGCCAUUGACGCGGCUUUACGUUUUAUACAUAUUGAUCAUUAACUUUAUUCUUAUGUUUCUUAAAUUUUAGUGGAUUAAUUGCUUUAGCACUUGAGCGAUGUCAUUUGUUAAACAAGAAAUACUUGCUUAAAUCAAGCGCAGCACCUAAAGUCUUUCUCUUGACAAACAAUAUUUAUAUAAGAUUGAAUUGUUUGAUUAUUAUUAUAUUCCUCUUUUUAAAUAUGUACGAACUAUUAUAUUGUUUAGAGAACGGUGUGCGAUCGAAUAGCUAGAUUACCAGUACUUAUUUUCUUGUGCUUGAUUUAUGACCAAUGAGUACAUUCACUAUUACAAAAUAGGAAAAAGAUGACAUGCAAUACGUGACGUACGUACUAUUAACUGUCAUUACUUAAUUUAGAUGAUUUUUAUUUAAUUUUGAAAAUCAUCUCUUAUAAAAUUAUUUUUACUUGUAACAAAAAAAUUACUCACCAUUAAAUGAUAAAUUAUCUUUAAUUAAAUAAAAUGUGACUCGAAAUCUCCUAUUUUUAAAAUUUGUCAUUUUUUUCAAGUAUAAAAAAUUAACUUUCCCUUUUUAUUUUCUUUGUCUCCAAGGAAAUACCAACUCUCUCUCACUUUUGGCCUCCAUUUCUCUGAAAUUUCACAAUCUUUUUCACAAUCUUUGUCUGUACAAUUCCCUUUCUCCCACAUAAAACAUGUUCUUAUCUCCCACUUCUAAGUUGUGAACCCCUAAUUUCACCCAUUAUUUAUACAACUUUAAAAUAAUAAACCUUAACUGUUCACACACGGUUAAAGUGAAGACAAAGAAGAAAUCUUUAAGCUUUUUAUCACACAUUUUGAGGAGACUAUUAUAAAGCUUGGGACCACACUAUCAAGUAAAAUAUUGAAGCAUUCGGCCACCUUUAAUCAAAUUAUUUGUUCUUGGGUGGUCUACACGUGCUCUUUUUUUUUUUUUUUUUUUUUUAAUAGCAAAUAUUGACAAAAUGGAUGAACAAUAAAGUUAUCGCUGGGGAUUAGAUUUAAUGAAUGAGUUUAUAAUGUUUAUACUUGUAUAUUUUAAUGAAAGUAUAAAUACCAAAGUAUUCUAUCAUAUAUGUGCCUAGCACUUAAUACAAAUGCUCACCCCAUAGCAAUCCAUUUCUUGUGCUUUUAUACUUAGUCUCUGACUUCAUGUCCAUCAAACUUUACAAUUGACUUAUAAAGUAUCAAUAAAUAUAUAUCCCUUUUUCAAUAAACCUUUACACAUUCACUAGCACUUAUGUUUUGAAAUGAAAUUGAAGUUUACAAAGAUUGCACUCUUCAGGAGUAUAUUUGCAAUGAUAGCUCAAAUACAAAUCAAUAAAUGUGUGUCAGCUAGGGGUGGGCAUUUUACCCGAUCCGACCCGACCCGAUAAAUUUUGGGUCAAACCCGACCCGAUCCGAAUACCCGAUCGGGUUCCCAAAAAAAAAAUUGAUUUCUGCCUCUGGCAUGUGUCUGUACUCCUUAUUGAGUUCUUAUCUUCUACCCAACGCCAAGCAAUUGAUAAUUCGAGUAUUUGACAAAUCGUUUAAGAACAAAACAAUUUCUUUUUGGAGGAAAAGAAAAAAAAAACAAAAAGGGGAGAGAGGAUGAGAAAGAAAGUAAGAAACAAAGAAAGAAAUUUGUCACGGGAAAUAAAUUUGUCACGUUGCUGCACACUGUACAGCACACACACAGAACAAAAGUCACAAGCUGCACACACAGCACACAGCCACUGAGCCACACACACAUAGUCACAUACGGAUAAAUUAAUUAAUUAAUUAAUCCUAACACCAAAUUCCCAUUGUCAAAUUGUUAAGCCAUCAGAGCUCAUAAAAAAUCCUAAGGCUUGUAAUCAUUGUUAGAAACUUAACAAAAAAGAAUGAGCUUAGCAAGGAAGUUCUCUUGCCCCACACCCGUAGGAGGAAGUUAAAUAAGAUUAGAUGAAAAGAAAAUAGAGAGACCUUUUUGUUUGUUCAUCAAUAUCAUCAACUGUACUCAGUUAAAUAACUCAAAUCCUUUUGUCAAUCUUGCACAGCACACAGCCACUGAGCCACACACACACAUAGUCACAUACGCACAGCACACACAAGUCACGAGCUGCACAGUACACACACUGACAUUGUGACACACACGCUGCAAGUGCACACUGCACAGCACACACACACGCUGCACUCAACAACUCACUCGCAAAGACGCAAACCUAACACACACACACGCUGUCGGCCACAACUUCACAAAUCACAAACACAAACACAAACAAUUCAACAAGGCAGCCGCAACCCGCAAGUCUGCAACCAGCCACCACAAGACGCAAUCUGUUGCUACCAAUUGCUGAAAUCACGAUCUGUUGCUACCAAGGGAAGUCGCGACCAGCUGCUGCCAAGUGCCAAGUCAAACCUGUCCAGCCGUGAGCCGUGAGCCGUGAGCCGUCCGCAUCUUCGCGAUCUGCUGCUGCCAACUCCCAAGUGAAGCCGCGAUCUGCUGCCAAGUGAAAUCCCGUCCGUCCAGCCGUGAGCCGUGGCCACCGAUCUGCUGCUUGAAGGCCGAAUCCUCUCCACCCGAACCCAAUUUUGAAGCUUCCGGUUUCCACCUUCCACUUUCAACUUUUCAAGCUUCAAGCCUUCAACUUUUUGACUCGUUUCCUAAGUCAUUUCGUUUCAUCAUUCAUGGUAUAUAUACACUAUAUAAUUAAUUAAUUAUAUAUGCUAAAUAGUUUAUUAUGUAAUUCAGUAAUUGUUUAUUAUUUAAUUGUUGUAAUUAACUAAUUAUGUAUUUAUAAAUAUUAGUAAUAAAAUCAAGGAAAUUUUGUUAAUUAUUGAGCUCAUCAGAAAUUAUUUUUUUUCAUAUAUAAAAAGGAAUUGUUGAUUGGUGGGUUUUGUUAAUUGAUAAUUGAUAAUUGAUAAUUGUUAAUAAUUGUUAAUAAUAGUUAAUAGUUGAAAUAAUAUUAAUUGAUAAUUGUUAAUAAUUGUUAAUAAUAGUUAAUAAUUGAAAUAAUAUUAAUUGAUAAUUGUUAAUAAUAGUUAAUAAUUGAUUUUUUUUAUGAAUAAAUUAGCACAUUAGGUAGAUUAAAUAUUAAAAUUAAGUAUUAUGUUGUAUAUAUUUUAUAAUUAUAAUGUCUGCUUAAGUAUUAUGUUGUAUAUAUAUUUAUAAUUAUAAUGUGUUAUGUAAUUAUGUGUACUUAUGCAGUAGCUUCAAGCUUUCAACCCUAAAAAAAAUUAAUAAAUUCAAUUAAUAUUUUAUUAUAUGUUAAUCAUCCGUUAAGUUGUUAAGUACAAGUAACUUGGAUUUGAAAUUAAAGGAUUUAAUUUAUAAUAAGAAAUAAGAUAUAGAUAGAAAAAUAAUAUCAUAUUAUUUAUUAUGGGGAAUGGGUAAUUGGAUAUUAUAAAUUAAUUAAUUAAUCAUGAAUUUCUUACUUUUUGUUUAUGGAGCAUGAACAACUUGAUUUGAAAUUACUAAAUUUUGUUUAUGGAUUAUGUUAAUAAUAUUUAUGUGUUUUGAUUUUUGAAUUAAUGAUUAUUAUAGCAUUUUAACUUUAUUCAUUUGAUUUAAUAACAUUUUCUUUUCUUUUUUUAGUUGAAAAUUAGUAAAAAUGACUACAAUUAAAAAAAAGGUCUUAAAACUUUCAUAAAAACUACAAUAAUAGGAAAAAAAAGAGCUCAAAAUUGUAUUAACUGCCAGUAUGGAAUCAUUUCACUUUACUCGAAGAUAAUCCAAACAAAUGUAUGUGCAACUAUUGUGGUAAGCAAUAUUAAUGUCAUUUAAGGCUUGAUGGGAUUACAAAUAUGACAAGGCAUAUAAAGACAUGUGAAUCAUACAAGACAUUUCGGGCACAACAAAGUGGAAGUCAACAAAAUUUGACAUCNNNNNNNNNNNNNNNNNNNNNNNNNNNNNNNNNNNNNNNNNNNNNNNNNNNNNNNNNNNNNNNNNNNNNNNNNNNNNNNNNNNNNNNNNNNNNNNNNNNNNNNNNNNNNNNNNNNNNNNNNNNNNNNNNNNNNNNNNNNNNNNNNNNNNNNNNNNNNNNNNNNNNNNNNNNNNNNNNNNNNNNNNNNNNNNNNNNNNNNNNNNNNNNNNNNNNNNNNNNNNNNNNNNNNNNNNNNNNNNNNNNNNNNNNNNNNNNNNNNNNNNNNNNNNNNNNNNNNNNNNNNNNNNNNNNNNNNNNNNNNNNNNNNNNNNNNNNNNNNNNNNNNNNNNNNNNNNNNNNNNNNNNNNNNNNNNNNNNNNNNNNNNNNNNNNNNNNNNNNNNNNNNNNNNNNNNNNNNNNNNNNNNNNNNNNNNNNNNNNNNNNNNNNNNNNNNNNNNNNNNNNNNNNNNNNNNNNNNNNNNNNNNNNNNNNNNNNNNNNNNNNNNNNNNNNNNNNNNNNNNNNNNNNNNNNNNNNNNNNNNNNNNNNNNNNNNNNNNNNNNNNNNNNNNNNNNNNNNNNNNNNNNNNNNNNNNNNNNNNNNNNNNNNNNNNNNNNNNNNNNNNNNNNNNNNNNNNNNNNNNNNNNNNNNNNNNNNNNNNNNNNNNNNNNNNNNNNNNNNNNNNNNNNNNNNNNNNNNNNNNNNNNNNNNNNNNNNNNNNNNNNNNNNNNNNNNNNNNNNNNNNNNNNNNNNNNNNNNNNNNNNNNNNNNNNNNNNNNNNNNNNNNNNNNNNNNNNNNNNNNNNNNNNNNNNNNNNNNNNNNNNNNNNNNNNNNNNNNNNNNNNNNNNNNNNNNNNNNNNNNNNNNNNNNNNNNNNNNNNNNNNNNNNNNNNNNNNNNNNNNNNNNNNNNNNNNNNNNNNNNNNNNNNNNNNNNNNNNNNNNNNNNNNNNNNNNNNNNNNNNNNNNNNNNNNNNNNNNNNNNNNNNNNNNNNNNNNNNNNNNNNNNNNNNNNNNNNNNNNNNNNNNNNNNNNNNNNNNNNNNNNNNNNNNNNNNNNNNNNNNNNNNNNNNNNNNNNNNNNNNNNNNNNNNNNNNNNNNNNNNNNNNNNNNNNNNNNNNNNNNNNNNNNNNNNNNNNNNNNNNNNNNNNNNNNNNNNNNNNNNNNNNNNNNNNNNNNNNNNNNNNNNNNNNNNNNNNNNNNNNNNNNNNNNNNNNNNNNNNNNNNNNNNNNNNNNNNNNNNNNNNNNNNNNNNNNNNNNNNNNNNNNNNNNNNNNNNNNNNNNNNNNNNNNNNNNNNNNNNNNNNNNNNNNNNNNNNNNNNNNNNNNNNNNNNNNNNNNNNNNNNNNNNNNNNNNNNNNNNNNNNNNNNNNNNNNNNNNNNNNNNNNNNNNNNNNNNNNNNNNNNNNNNNNNNNNNNNNNNNNNNNNNNNNNNNNNNNNNNNNNNNNNNNNNNNNNNNNNNNNNNNNNNNNNNNNNNNNNNNNNNNNNNNNNNNNNNNNNNNNNNNNNNNNNNNNNNNNNNNNNNNNNNNNNNNNNNNNNNNNNNNNNNNNNNNNNNNNNNNNNNNNNNNNNNNNNNNNNNNNNNNNNNNNNNNNNNNNNNNNNNNNNNNNNNNNNNNNNNNNNNNNNNNNNNNNNNNNNNNNNNNNNNNNNNNNNNNNNNNNNNNNNNNNNNNNNNNNNNNNNNNNNNNNNNNNNNNNNNNNNNNNNNNNNNNNNNNNNNNNNNNNNNNNNNNNNNNNNNNNNNNNNNNNNNNNNNNNNNNNNNNNNNNNNNNNNNNNNNNNNNNNNNNNNNNNNNNNNNNNNNNNNNNNNNNNNNNNNNNNNNNNNNNNNNNNNNNNNNNNNNNNNNNNNNNNNNNNNNNNNNNNNNNNNNNNNNNNNNNNNNNNNNNNNNNNNNNNNNNNNNNNNNNNNNNNNNNNNNNNNNNNNNNNNNNNNNNNNNNNNNNNNNNNNNNNNNNNNNNNNNNNNNNNNNNNNNNNNNNNNNNNNNNNNNNNNNNNNNNNNNNNNNNNNNNNNNNNNNNNNNNNNNNNNNNNNNNNNNNNNNNNNNNNNNNNNNNNNNNNNNNNNNNNNNNNNNNNNNNNNNNNNNNNNNNNNNNNNNNNNNNNNNNNNNNNNNNNNNNNNNNNNNNNNNNNNNNNNNNNNNNNNNNNNNNNNNNNNNNNNNNNNNNNNNNNNNNNNNNNNNNNNNNNNNNNNNNNNNNNNNNNNNNNNNNNNNNNNNNNNNNNNNNNNNNNNNNNNNNNNNNNNNNNNNNNNNNNNNNNNNNNNNNNNNNNNNNNNNNNNNNNNNNNNNNNNNNNNNNNNNNNNNNNNNNNNNNNNNNNNNNNNNNNNNNNNNNNNNNNNNNNNNNNNNNNNNNNNNNNNNNNNNNNNNNNNNNNNNNNNNNNNNNNNNNNNNNNNNNNNNNNNNNNNNNNNNNNNNNNNNNNNNNNNNNNNNNNNNNNNNNNNNNNNNNNNNNNNNNNNNNNNNNNNNNNNNNNNNNNNNNNNNNNNNNNNNNNNNNNNNNNNNNNNNNNNNNNNNNNNNNNNNNNNNNNNNNNNNNNNNNNNNNNNNNNNNNNNNNNNNNNNNNNNNNNNNNNNNNNNNNNNNNNNNNNNNNNNNNNNNNNNNNNNNNNNNNNNNNNNNNNNNNNNNNNNNNNNNNNNNNNNNNNNNNNNNNNNNNNNNNNNNNNNNNNNNNNNNNNNNNNNNNNNNNNNNNNNNNNNNNNNNNNNNNNNNNNNNNNNNNNNNNNNNNNNNNNNNNNNNNNNNNNNNNNNNNNNNNNNNNNNNNNNNNNNNNNNNNNNNNNNNNNNNNNNNNNNNNNNNNNNNNNNNNNNNNNNNNNNNNNNNNNNNNNNNNNNNNNNNNNNNNNNNNNNNNNNNNNNNNNNNNNNNNNNNNNNNNNNNNNNNNNNNNNNNNNNNNNNNNNNNNNNNNNNNNNNNNNNNNNNNNNNNNNNNNNNNNNNNNNNNNNNNNNNNNNNNNNNNNNNNNNNNNNNNNNNNNNNNNNNNNNNNNNNNNNNNNNNNNNNNNNNNNNNNNNNNNNNNNNNNNNNNNNNNNNNNNNNNNNNNNNNNNNNNNNNNNNNNNNNNNNNNNNNNNNNNNNNNNNNNNNNNNNNNNNNNNNNNNNNNNNNNNNNNNNNNNNNNNNNNNNNNNNNNNNNNNNNNNNNNNNNNNNCGGUUCACCGUUUAUAACCAGAAUUGCAAUUUUAAACGAGUUUUUGUAGAGAAUCUCUUUCUAAUUUGAAAGUCCAUCUUUUAUGAAGAAAUAAGGCAAUGAAUAAAAGGGCUUUCGUUUAUUAAGAAAUAUCUCCAAUAUUUUUGUCAAAAACCAUAUAAAAUUUGUUAUCAUCAAAAUCAAUAUUAUUAACAUAUUUAUGUUAACAAUCUCCCCCUUUUUGAUGAUGACAAAUUCUAAUCAAUGUUUAGCUCCCCCUUAAUAUGUGCUCCCCCUAAAUGUAUGGCCAAAUUGAGAGAUGUUUAAUAAUAGGAUUUUUGCUCAAGAAAACAUUUUUAAAUACAUUCUUAAUCUCCCCAUUUUAAAUCCUUCUUAAAUACAAAUUCAUUCUUAAUCUCCCCAUUUUAAAUCCUUCUUAAAUACCAUAAAUCAAUUUUAAAUAUCAUAAUUAUCUCCCCCUUCAUCAUCAAAAAGAAAAGAGAGAAUAGGAAAAAUGCAAAUCCGUGAAAGAAGUUACCCGGUUUUGGCGAGCGAAAAUUUUGGCAGAGUUUCCCCUUAAAAUGAUCAAAACCACUAAUACAAAAUGAGAUAGAACACUUCCAAAAAUAGAUGAACACCAACGUUUUCUUUCAACAAGCCAACAACUCCAUGAACAAAACAAAACAACACUCCAAUAUCCACAAACAUACUAACACUCCAAUGUCCAACAAUCAGUAAUCACAAAUCAUCAAUCAUCUAAUCAUCAAGAACAUCACACACAUAUGCAUCAAAAUCCAAAAAAUAUAAAUGCAAACAACCAAAAUAUGAAAUGUAUGUGCGAAAACAGAACUCAGAAACUACGGAGGCGGAGAAGAUGUGCUCCCCGGAUCAUAGCCGAAAUAGCUGAGAAGAGUGCGCUGUCCGGCGAUAAGCUCGAGCUGCUGGUCAAUGCUCUGCUGCUGGAAAAUCUGAAAGUCAGAGCGGAGCUACUGGUGAUCACGGGAAAUGAUGUCCAACCGAUCAAGAAUCAGCUGCUGUCGCUCCAAAAUCCGCUGAACAUCAGUAAUCAGCUGCUGCACCGCGUCUGAAGUAGGGGGCUGAACUGGAGCUGGAGGCGGCAUAGAGGCAGAUGGCUGCUCGGGAACAGCAGAAGGCUCAGGAGCAGGAGGCGGCUCAGAAGAGGAGGGAAUAUCAGCAUCCAUCGCACGCUCCUCAGAGUCUGAGUCAGCUGGAGGCCGAGGGACAAAAUGGCGACGCGGAGGAUGAGGAUGAGCUCCUAAUCUAAAGUCAGGAAGCUGAUCGGGAGAAUAGACAUCAUUGAGCAUCCGAUCGUCCUCUGGAGCAAUCAAGGUAUCCCGGUUUUUAGAGUUGCUUGUCUUUAUCCACGCUCCAUUCUUUCUAGAGAAUCCGAUACUGGUCAUGGCAUCGGAACCAAUCCGUCGAGUCUCCAUAUGUCCAAUAUCAAGAAGUGGCACCUCAAAGCGUCGCAGUAUUUUAGUGAUGAUACUGCCAUAAGGAAGCAAGCGAUGGUUGACCGCUGGAGUACUCAACAUAUGUCGCACAAUAAUAUACCCGAGGUUAAUGGGACGGUCUGUAAGAAGGCUAUCUAAUAGGGCAACGUCCAACCUCGUAACUUCAUCCGAGUGACCCUUCUUAGGAGUCACUAUGUGCUGUAAAAUAGUGUGAAGAAUACGAACUUGGAGAGGUAAAAGUUGAGACCGAAACGAAAGCAAACAAAUAUCAUCCAAUAAGUCUCAACGACGACAUAUAUUACAGACGCCAUGAGUAUGAGAAAAACUAUCAAAGGAGAGGGCUUUCCUAGAGGUGUAAAUAUCAAGCCCCUCACAAGAGAUACCAAGAAGGUCAGCUAGGUCCGCAUUAUCAAACUCUAUUGGCACACGGCCGACUUGAGUAAGUAUUAAGGUCAGCUAGGUCUGCAUCAUCAAACUCUUUUGGCACACGGCCGACUUAAGUAACUAUCCUAUUUAGGCGAGUGUCGGAGAUUUCCAUGUUCGAAUAAAAGACUCGCACUAAGUUUGGAUAAACUCGGUCAUCAAAAUCAAUGGCAGCCUCCCAAGGCUGAAGCAUAUCCCUAAUGCUUCUACCACAUACAACUAAGUUGCGGAAAUCAUCAAUAUCAACAAAAAAAGGAUCAAGUACCUUUCGACCAUCAAAGCGAUCUUCGAACCGCUUAGCCAAGGCAGGUGUGGGGAAGUGAAUCCUUGAAAAUUCAGAGACCUCCCGAGGUGGUAUGGGAUUCCUUGAAGGCACAGAUUUACGCCUGGGAUUUCUUCGAGAGGUUUCAUCCAUGGAAACACGUAAUGGGACGAAAGUAAAUCGAUAAAAGGUUUAAGGAAGAGUAGAGGAUGUGAGUAGGAUGUUCAAUUUGGUUGAAGGUGGAAAUCGGAUUAAGAACGAAGAAACCCGACCCGCGACAGUUAGGGUUUAGAUUUGAGAUUUUUGAAUUUUGGGCUCGAUUUGAAGUUUUGAAUCGGUAGAAUUGUUCUAAAGGUGAUAAGAAAUGAUUUUGAAGGUUUGAUUUGGCAAGGAAAGCAAGAAAAAUGAGGAUUUGAGGACAGAGAAACCUUCGGCUGCGCAACAAUGGUGGAAACGGUGAAAGGGUAACUGGAGAAGGAGAAGAAAACCUUUGAACAGUAUAUAUACUUCGAGAAAACGGUUAAUCGUUUAUUUAAACGGUUAAAGGGUAACUUCCAGAGGCUAAAGAAAGGGAAACGAUGAAAGCCUAAGCGCUUAACGGCUAAGGAGUAACUGUUAGAGGACUCUCUGUUGAAAAACGGUUCACCGAUUGUGGCAAACGGUGAAAGGGUAAACAGACAGACACAUAAUCUCGUUUCUAGAAUUAAACGGUGAUUCGUUUAUAGGAAACGACUAACCGUUUAUUUUAUCUGUAAUUUCGCACAUUUGAUUAAAUUUUUGGCUAGAAAAUAAUAUAUUCCAAGAUCAUUUAAUUGAUUUGAAAAUAUUUUAUGAGCCAAUUUAAUGCAUGAUUCAUGGACAUGUUUUCAACCAAUCAAUUCAUAUAAUCAAGAGUUAUCAAUGCAAAUUCAUCAUUUGUCUACCAAGCUAGAGAUGUUAAUGCAAAGAUUUCAUCAUCCCAAGUUCAUGCCGAAUUUUUGAAAAUUGUUCUUCGCAAAGCGGUUUUGUGAAAAUAUCGGCAAGUUGUUUUUCCGUGGAAAUAAACUCUAAUGCAAUAUCUCCCUUUUGAACAUGAUCUCUCCAGAAAUGAUGUCUAAUUUCUAUAUGUUUGGUUCUAGAGUGUUGAAUGGGAUUCUUUGAGAGAUUUAUAGCACUAGUAUUAUCACACUUAAUAGGAAUUUGUUCAAGAUUAAUGCCAUAAUCUCUAAGUGUUUGUUUCAUCCAAAGUGCUUGUGCACAACAACUUCCGGCAGCUAUAUAUUCAGCCUCGGUAGUUGAAAGUGCAACAGAAUUUUGUUUCUUGCUAGACCAUGAAACAAGAGAGUGUCCUAGAAUAUAGCAAGUUCCACUAGUGCUCUUCCUAUCCACUUUAUAACUAGUAAAAUCCGCAUCCGAAAAACAUGUUAAAUAUAUAUGAGUUCCCCUAGGAUACCAAAGGCCAAUAUCUAUGGUUCCACUCAAAUAACGGAAAAUUCUUUUACCAGCGAGCAAAUGAGAUUCCUUGGGACAUGACUGAAAUCUUGCACACAAACAUACACUAAACAUGAUAUCGGGUCUACUUGCAGUCAAAUAAAGUAGGGGGAUUGGCUUACCGUUUUGGCACUGAGAUUAGGAACAUGUUGCAUAAUUUCUAUAACAAUAAUAAAGAUGAUAAUUGGAGAGAAGAAAAUCUAUAUGCAACAUCCCUUGCAUUUAGACUAUUUAGACAACAAGGCUAUCCUAUUUCUUAAGGUACAUUUCAUUAAUUCGCUUAUUUUGUCUUGCACAAGCACGAUCUGAAUACUUGAAUCGAUCACUCUGUUUUUUUUUUUUUUUUUACUUUUUCCCUUUCAAAUGUAAAAGAGUGGACAAAACCCAAAUCAAUUUUUUAACUCUCCAUCCCCUGAGAAUUCGAACUCAUCAAGGCCGCUGGAGACACUUAAAAAUCAUUCUCUAACUAACUUGCAAAUGGAAAAAAUUCUGCUGUACGGCCAAGGCGGAUGUACGGUACAGCAGAUAGAGAAGUCAUUUUCUAGCAAGAAAUUUUUAAGUCUAUCAUACCAUGCUCUAGGUGCUUGUUUUAAUCCAUACAAGGCUUUGAGCAACUUAUACACAUGAUUUGGAAAUUUUUCAUUUUCAAAACCAGGAGGUUGUUUCACAUAAACUUCCUCCAAAAUAUAUCCAUUUAAGAAAGCACUCUUGACAUCCAUUUGAUAUAAAAUAAAAUCCUUAUGACAUGCAUAUACUAACAACAUCCUAAUGGAUUCUAACCUUGCUACAGGUGCAAAGGUUUCAUCAAAAUCAAUUCCUUCCUCUUGGUUGUAACCUGAGCCACUAAUCUAGCUUUGUUUUUUACAACCACACCGGAUUCACCCAUCUUAUUUCUAAACACCCAUUUAGUACCUAUUAUAGAUUGAUGUUCAGGUUUAGGAACUAAUUCCCACACAUUGUUUCUUUCAAAUUGAUUUAACUUGCACUAACCAUUCAUCAAAUGGCUUCACCGGCAAACUCUGAUUCCUCCGAAUGGCAGUCGUCUCUUUAGAUCUCUUCUUCGUUUGUCCUGCGCUACUAAUACCAUUGCUUUGGGGUGAUGAAAUUAUUACUUGGUAAGGUUUCAUAAACGAUGCAAGCACUGCCCGAAUAUUCAUAGAUCGGCACUUUAUCAAGAACUUCAUCAUUAUCCCACCGUUGGUUGCCUUUGUGAUCACAUUCUUUGCACCUGAUCUCCUGAUUAAUCACAAUCAAACAGUACUCGUCAAAAUAAAUAAAUAAUGUUGACAUAUACGUGAUCUGCAUUUUAUAAUGCAUGCAGAUGUUAGAUAAUAUGUAACAUAUAUCUUUAAGUACUGGGAAUUUUAGAGUUUAGAUAGGAGAGGAUCUUAAUAUAUGGGUUACCUAUUACUUGACAGGUUCAAUUGGCUAGUUUUUGUUCGGAUCUCCGCUUGCCUGCUUUCAUGAGAAACUCCAUCUCCCUCGUCGGGCUCCGAUGAUGUCGACGGAGUUGAGAAAAAACCGCUGAGCAGGCGGCUGACUGCCCGGAAAUACUGAACUCUCCGUUUGACAGCAGUACUUUUGUGAGCUCUUCUUGAUGGCUGAUCAUCAACACCCCAACAAGUCUCAGCGGAAGAACACGUCAAAGUGGAUGUUGUUGAUGAAGAGCAAAACGACGUCGGUGUUGUUGUUGUUGAUGCAAUUUCCCACUCCUCGACGGUACUCGUACGUGACAGACCAAUAUUGUAAUGAUUAUAACUCGAUGAUGAAAACGAUAUCCGCAGCUCCAAUUCAUCUUCUUCAAAAGUAUUAAUCUUGGGUUGUUGUUCAAGUGCAAUCUCGAUGUAUUCGUCGUCGUCGUCAUUAUCGGAGAAAACAUGGAAAGCCGCGUUGAAAGAGAAACUUGCUUCAAGCUCUGGAUCCCGAUACAUUAUGCUCUCCAUGUGUUCGCGUUUAACGAACUAUAAGUAAUUAAUCAAGCAAAUAAACAACAGACCGAAAUGAGGUAUAUAUAUGCGAUAAACAGACCAAAAAAAAAAAAAAAAACAGAUAUUUCCCGUGAGAUAUUUGUGAGUUGAUCUUGGAAAAGAAAUGGUAACAGAUCACAAGAUCAGAGUUGGUGGUGAUCAUGAGGACGAGGAUACUGACGCAUGUGCAUGGCACGGCAUAAUUAACCAAAAAAAAUGUUAAUUUUGUAUUAAUUAUUUAUUGAAAGGUCCGAAUAAGACUGUGUUAUGUUAGUUUAAUUUUAAGAGAUCUUUCAAAAUUAGACCGUAAAUUACACCAAUAGAAAACAGUCGUAUUUGGUAAUUAAUUAAUACCAAUUAACUUUUGUUUUGGUUUAUUUUGUGUUAGUAUAAUUUGAUAACGUUGGACUUGGUUUGAUUAAAUUUUGUUGAAAACAUCAAAUCCUGAAACCCCGUGUUCUGAAAAUACGGUUGUCAUUCAUUAGAAGAAUCCAAUUCGGCUACAUGUUGCUAAAUUGUUUUUAUCUCAGGAAUCGAAAUUUUUUAAUUUGCUACAGACGGUGACAGGUUACCUCACCUGACACGUGUACGCACGUGUUACUUGUUAAAGAAAAAGUGAUUUGGAAUCGAAGGCAUGUGAUCACUGUGUCAGUUUCUUGUUACUGUAUAUUCAAACAAUUUAAGCAAUGUAUCUUUUCCAGGAAUUAAUUCGGAAAAUGUGGCGUAAUUCGAUACAUGCACAUAAGAGUAUGCUCUUUGAUUUAUAUAUUCUGAACUUUCUUGUACUGAUUCAAAUUGAGGUAGCAAUGAAACCAGAAAUGAGGCAUCAUGUCUCGAGUACGUUAUGAAAGUCCCAUGGAUUGUUGAACCAAUUUUUGGGUUUUUUUUUAGUGCUGAAAAUGGCAUUCAAGCAACCAGUUUGGGCUUACUUUAAUUAUUUUCUUAAUACAAUGACGAUUCUCAAUCAAUCACAUUUACUAGAAAAAUCGAACAAUUCUUGAAUGUGAGGGACCAUUGGACGAUGCUUAAUUAAUUUAUGUGAUUUUAAUUUGUUGACAGCGGUUCUAGCUCCAUAUCGAUGGAGCCCAUCCGUUGUGAUGUACGUAGCCGCUGUCAUCUUCUUAGGUGAUGUUUGGUUGGGAGAAGAGAAUGGGAAAAAGGAAAGUAAUUUAAAUUCUAUUUUUAUUUUCAUUGUUUGGUUACACAAAAUAUAUAAGAAUUUAAUUUUCAUUAUAAUUUAAUAUCCCUUAUAAUAUAUAAUUUGAAUUCCACACCAAAGAGUGAAAAAUUUAAAAUAUAUAAGAAUUUAAUUUUCUUGAAGAAUUUUCUGAACCUCCUUGCUAGCAUGGCUAGUUCUUCAUCAUCCGGUUCACUCUCCUCAUCACUCUCAUAUUUUGAAGCUUUGAGAGCAAUGCUUUUCUUCUUCUCCUCAUGUCCUUUUUCUGCAGCUAAAUCCUUUUCAUACGAAAUAAGAGAACCAAUUAAAUCAUCAAGAGGUAAAGUAUUUAAAUCUUUGGCCUCUUCAAUAGCGGUUCUUUUAGGUCUCCAUUCUUUUGGAAGUGACCUAAUGAUUUUCUUAACUUUCUCACUAUUUGAGAAGGUUUUCCCUAAGGCACCUAGGGUGUUCACUAUGUCCGUGAAUCUAGUGUACAUAGAAUACACAUUUUCAUUUUGUUCCAUUUGGAAUAACUCAUAUUGACGAGUGUAUCUACUGAUUUUAGACUCUUUCACUUGAUUUGUCCCUUCAUAGACAACUUCAAGUUUGUUCCAUAUCUCUUGUGCACUUUCACAACUAGAUACUCUAUGGAAUUCUUUCUUAUCAAGGGCACAAAACAAAGCAUUCAUAGCCUUGGAGUUUAGAGACAUCUUUCUCUUUUCUAACUCACUCCAUUGACUCGAUGGUUUAGGAAUAUCAUCUCCUACUUCAUCUUUGAACGUAGGCAUGAAUGGACCAUCACAAACAACUUCCCAAAUUUCAUAAUCUAAGGCUUGCAAAUAGAUUCUCAUUCUGGUUUUCCAAUAAGCAUAGUCAUUACCAUCGAAAAAUGGUGGUCUAAUUGUGGAUUGCCCUUCUCUAAAGGUUGAGUCAUUUAGGGUUGUCAUGGAUCUUUUACUCUAGACGAUUAAGUCUUAAAAAGAGAACGAGGCUCUGAUACCAAUUGAAAUACAAGUAUGCAACCCAAGAGGGGGGGUGAAUUGGGUUUCUAAAAAAUUAUUCAAUUUAUUAAAGAAAAUCUUAAUGCAAUUAUAAAUCAAAUUCAAAGCAAUAACAAUUAAGAUGAUCACAGUAUAAAAAGAUAAGGGAAGAGGGAUUCAAACACCGAGGUUUUUACGUGGUUCGGCCAACCUCGCCUACGUCCACGCCUCCAAGCUUUCCGGGCUUGAGGAUUCCACUAAGCAAGUCUCCUAAAUCCUCUUCAUAUGAAAUGAGAGAACCAAUUAAAUCAUCAAGAGGUAAAGUAUUUAAAUCUUUGGCCUCUUCAAUAGCGGUUCUUUUAGGUCUCCAUUCUUUUGGAAGUGACCUAAUGAUUUUCUUAACUUUCUCACUAUUUGAUAAGGUUUUCCCUAAGGCACCUAGGGUGUUCACUAUGUCCGUGAAUCUAGUGUACAUAGAAUACACAUUUUCAUUUUGUUCCAUUUGGAAUAACUCAUAUUGACGAGUGUAUCUACUGAUUUUAGACUCUUUCACUUGAUUUGUCGCUUCAUAGACAACUUCAAGUUUGUUCCAUAUCUCUUGUGCACUUUCACAACUAGAUACUCUAUGGAAUUCUUUCUUAUCAAGAGCACAAAACAAAGCGUUCAUAGCCUUGGAGUUUAGAGACAUCUUUCUCUUUUCUAACUCACUCCAUUGACUCGAUGGUUUAGGAAUAUCAUCUCCUACUUCAUCUUUGAACGUAGGCAUGAAUGGACCAUCACAAACAACUUCCCAAAUUUCAUAAUCUAAGGCUUGCAAAUAGAUUCUCAUUCUAGUUUUCCAAUAAGCAUAGUCAUUACCAUCGAAAAAUGGUGGUCUAGUUGUGGAUUGCCCUUCUCUAAAGGUUGAGUCAUUUAGGGCUGCCAUGGAUCUUUUACUCUAGACGAUUAAGUCUUAACAAGAGAACGAGGCUCUGAUACCAAUUGAAAUACAAGUAUGCAACCCAAGAGGGGGGGUGAAUUGGGAUUCUAAAAAUUAUUCAAUUUAUUAAAGAAAAACUUAAUGCAAUUAUAAAUCAAAUUCAAAGCAAUAACAAUUAAGAUGAUCACAAUAUAAAAAGAUAAGGGAAGAGAGAUUCAAACACGAGAUUUUUACGUGGUUCGGCCAACCUCGCCUACGUCCACGCCUCCAAGCUUUCCGGGCUUGAGGAUUCCACUAAGCAAGCCUCCAAGGCUUCAAAUGCUUACACUUGACUUCCAAGGUGUCAAUGGACCUUUACAACAAGAGAUUAUCCCCAAUCUCUUAACCCAAGUGUAUCCCAACACUUACAAUCACUCAAAGUAAAAGAUUACAAACUGUUUUGCCUCUCACAAUAUAUAAGAUUACACAAUGAUGCUUAAUAUGUGAAUAGAUGAAGCAAGAAUGUGUUCUAAGCUGUAUGAAGAUUGUAUUCUCGAAUAUUAGCUCAAAUGGUCGUGUUGUGAUCAACUGUCUUUGAAUUUGAAUGAGCUUAUUUAUAUCUGGAGCUGAAAAUCUAGCCGUUACAAACUGUCGGACAGAAAAUGGUUCGCCGUUAACCAUAAACAGUUAACCGUUUCGGUUGGUCAAAGUUACCGUUGGGCCAGAUUUCAAAUAAACGGUUUGCCGUUUAGGAUUUCCCUUUAGCCGUUAACUUCCAGAGACCUGCAAGAUGAGCAUUUGUUAUCCAUUUACGCUAAACGGUUAAGGACUUUCAUGAAGUGGCUUCUCUGGAUAUUAUCGGUUAACCGUUUGAUAUAAACGGUUCGCCGUUUGGCUUCAGUAACCUGCAAAACAAUUUAGCCUUAUCAGUUUUCGUUAAUCAAUGCCAGAGGAGGACAACCUUCAAUUCUGGACGUUAUCGGUUAAACGUUUAAAAUAAACGGUUCACCGUUAGUUUCCAGUAGCCUUCCCAUCUUUGGUGUUUUUCGUUAAACAUAAACGGCUAGAACUUAGGCAAUAUGUUGCUCUCUGGUGCUAAUCGGUUAACCGUUUAAAAUAAAACAGUUUACCGUUAAUUUCCAGUAACCUUUCCAUCUUUUGUGUUUUUCGUUUUUCAUAAACGGUUAGAGGUUUAGGAAAUGUGUUGCUCUCUGUCUUUAAUCGGUUAACCGUUUGAAAUAAACGGUUCACCGUUUAUAACCAGAAUUGCAAUUUUAAACGAGUUUUUGUAGAGAAUCUCUUUCUAAUUUGAAAGUCUAUCUGUUAUGAAGAAAUAAGGCAAUGAAUAAAAGGGCUUUCGUUUAUUAAGAAAUAUCUCCAAUAUUUUUGUCAAAAACCAUAUAAAAUUUGUUAUCAUCAAAAUCAAUAUUAUUAACAUAUUUAUGUUAACAUGUUAUGAUACUAUUGGCUUAAUUGAGAGUUCAUUGACUGCACUGCAAGAAAGUACUGAUCAUUGGGUGUCCUCUAUGGCUUAUAGUAUGAGAGAAAAAUUUGACAAGUAUUGGGAGUCCACAUGAAAGAUAAACAAAAUGUUGAUUAUUGCCUCUAUUCUUGAUCCACGAGCGAAAAUGGAUUUUGCUAAACAUAUUUUUGAGAUCAUUUUUGGCAAUGAUAGUUUGAUGGUUGAACAAAUGAUGGUGGAUGUUGCUGGUGGUGAAUAUGAUGACGGUUUUCAAGUAUCUCGCCCUUUCCUUGGAUAUGUCAGGAAGGUUUCUAUUCAGAAUGAGAGUAGAAGAGUAGUAUCUGAGGUGGAAAGGUACUUGAAGGACCCAGUUGAAGAUCCCAGCAAUCUUAAACUUAAUGUUUUGCUUUGGUGGAGGGUGAAUGGAUCGAGGUAUCCAAUUCUUGAGAAAAUUGCAAGAGAUGUCCUUGAUGUUCCUGUUUCCACAAUGGCAUCUGAGUCUGCCUUUAGCACCGAGCGUCGUAUUAUUGAUGAGUAUAGGAGUUCUUUAACCCCGGCUAUGGUUGAGGCAUUGAUAUGUACUGAAAAUUGGCUGUAGUCUAAACUUUUUGCCAAUCCCGUCUACAACCUCCAAGAAGAUAUCAAGGAGCAAAUGUUUCAUAUGGAAUUACAAAAAGGUAAUGUUUUUAAUUUUUUAUCAUACAUUAAAUACAUAAUAUAUUUAAAAUGCAUUAUAACUUUAUGUAGAACAUCUACAUGCACUCAUGUACGUGAGUUAUUAAUUUUUUUUUGGAUUUUAUAGAGCUUAUAAGAUCACAAGCUUCGACAGUGGAAGCGGUGAGCACCGACAUUGGUGUUAUGGAUGUUUGAAAGGCAACUUUUAAUAUAUAUUAUUAUUCAUAAUUUGAUAUUAUAGUACUAUUAGUAUUUGGUUGUAAUUUAAGCUAUAAUUAUAGUUGUUAUAGUUUUAAAUUUUAAGUCUAAUUUGUAAUUGUUUUAGUUAUACAUGUUGAAGUUGAUAGAAUGUUAUUAUUGUCUAGUAUUAUUAUUAACUUGAUUUGGUGAUGAAUGCCAUAAAAUAAGCAUGAUAUAAUAGAAAUAUAUAAUCAAGUGUGUAUUGAAAAAUUUGGUAAACAUAUAUAUUUAUUUGUAAUUAUAAAUUUAUAAUGAUAUAAUAGAAAUUAGCAAGAUUGUAACACCCCUUUAGUUUAAUUAAAUAUAUGAAUUGGAUUUAUUUAUUUGUAUUUGUGUUUGAUGUGUAACCUUAUGAAUUUGGUUUAUUUGCUCAAUUUUUAAUAUGAAUUGAGUUUGUUCAUUUGGAACGUGGCUUAAGGAAAAUAUUUAUUGUACAUUUCCUCAAUCUUUCUCUAGGCAAUCGGCACUUGAACUUUUGUAUUAAUUUUAACUUUUAUUAAGUUUGUAUUAAUUUUAACUUUUAUUAAGUUUGGAACUUUGGAUUUUGUUGGUUGAGCAAAUAAUAGUUCUAAUUCUACCCUCCAAGCCAAUAGGCAAAUAAUCCUAUUAUAGCAUUUUAACUUUAUUCAUUUGAAUUAAUAACAUUUUCUUUUCUUUUUUUUUUCAGUUGAAAAUUAGUAAAAAUGACUACAAUUAAGAAAAAUAUCUUAAAACUUUCAUAAAAACUACAAGAAUAGGAAAAAAAAAAGAGCUCAAAAUUGUAUUAACCGAAUUUGACCCGAAUUGACCCGACCCGAACUGACCCAAUUUCAACUGACCCGAACUGACCCGAUUUGAGCCGAACUGACCCGAAUUGACUUGAACUCAAUCCUACCCGUUUUAAAUCCAACCCGAUCCAACCCGAACAUAACCCGAAUUAUUGACCCGACCCGAAUCCGAUUUUGCCCACCCUGAGUGUCAGCAAAUAAAAGAACUCGAGACUUUUUUUUCUGUUUUAAACUCUAAUAUGGAUUGCAAAAGUUCAUUUUGAAAUGAGUUCUUUGGCUGUUUAUAUAGAUUGAUCAAUAAAAUUAGCCAUUAUUGACUUUUCAGGCAUAAUCAGUUUACCGAAUGCAAUGAAAUGGAUUGUUGUUUGCUCAUGUGGCUAGUUACUGUUAUGCAUAAGUUUGAAAUUUUUUCACAAUCAGAUUGCUGCUUGGGAGUUGUUGAUUUACUAUUUAAUUCUAGAGAGUUCACUGAUUGAAGUCGGCUUGUGGCUUGUGAUUUAAUCAGUUUUCCAUUUGAUCCAGAGACCCCUCUAUUGGAAGUUAGCUUGCCGCUUAUGAGUAAACAGUUUGCCAUUUAAUUCUAGAAGCUUAUAUCAAACCACUUGAUUAGCUGCUUCAAGUCUAGCGGUAUGCUGCUUAAUUUCAGAAACAUUUCCCAACCUUAUCAGAUGCCUGCUUGAAGUUAGUGGUUUAUCGUUUGAGUGCUAAAAAGUAUAGUUUUGUCCAAACCUACCAAAAUAGCUUUAUAAAUGUACAAGGAAAUAAUUUUACUCCUAGUUAGCCUUCUCUUUGAUCUCAUCCCCAACCACCAUCUAAGAACAUAGAUUCCCAACCAUGUAUACCACUUUUUUGAUAACUUUACCAUAUGAGUGACUGUGUCUGUUCAAUUUAAAAUAACAUUUAUUUUUUGAAACCUUUCAAAUCAUUCAUAUUAGAGUUCAGUAACUCGUUUUAUAAGAUUAUAUUUCCACAUAAAUAAAUUUUUCUUAAAAUAUAAUGAGAGAAUAAGUUGAGCUUUUAAAUGCUUUGAUCAUGCAUUCAUUUGUUCAUAUGAGCUUUACAAAAUGAAAUAUCUAAGCUUAGUAACCCUAAUGCCCAUUCUUGUCUAGAUAGAGUUUUGUGCAUUUAAAUACCUUAAGCUUAUGAACAAUGCAUUUCAUAUUCUACCAUUGACACAUGGUUUGUUAUAGUCAAAAUUGAAAGACCGUAUAACCAUAUAGGUCAACAAAAUGUUCCAAAGGAAUGGAGUCAUAUUGAUCCAGUCAUUAAAAAUUCCCUCAAAAAAGGGUAGUUGCUCUAAGGAACCAAGAAUAGAGAAAAAGUACUCCAAGAAGAAACAAGUAUAUAUGUAAAAUUAGUGCUUUAAAAAAAAUGUAUAUAUAAAAAAAUAAGUGCACUUUUUUUCCAAAUCUCAGUUUAAAUUUUUAUCACUUAUAAUGCUAUGAUUAAUACUUUUACACAUAGAUAAUGCAAGGAAAAUCAUGCAAGUUAGCAGUGGGCAACAAAAAAAUGUUGUAACCAAAGGUACAAUGUUAGAAAAAAAUUAUCGUAAUGUGACUGUGCAUGGAGUACCGUUGAUAGUCACAUAUGUUCAUGUGGCUGUUAAUAUUGCAAUUAAAGGAGAUGCCUUUUUACCAAGGCUUAUUGGGUAUGACUUUGUUCUUGUUAGCCAUGUCAUUGGAUCCCGUGUUGCUUGGUGUCACCGGGCUUUUAUAAACUUGGUGUGGCAACCCGCGUGAUGGCACUAAGAACUCCACUUAGCCAGCCAACCCAAACCCAACGGAAGCAAUUUAAUAGGAAGCAUGUCAGCACUCGCAAAUGGAGGUUAUGUAAGAGCAUUUUCUCGCCAACACAAAGAACAACACGCACACAAAACACAAGAACACAAGUAUUAGGCUUUUUACAGAGGCACCACCCCCAACUUUUCUAUUUCCGCAAUACGAAAAGAUUUACAAACAGUUUUAGUUUUAUAUGCUCAAGGAUAAAAUGCUCAACUCAAAACUCGCGCCCCAACAUACAUCCCCAUCACUAUUUAUAUACAUGAUUUGCAAGUGACACCCCUACUUGCUAAGGUUAGGUGGCGUGCCACCCUCACGCUGUUAACAUAAAUAUUUCUUUAUUAUUGUUUUUUAUGAUAACAAACUUGAUUAAGAUUGAUUAAUCUUUUAAAAGCUCAAAAUAAUUUUCAUAUAUUUUUAAAUCAUCAUUUUCACUCUAUAAAGGUUUUAUAUUCUAAAUGUUUUUAUAAAAUUGGUUAUUCUCAUGCUAAUGGUUUCAAUUGAAAAAGCUUUCAGAAUUUUGAUAAUAACAAGUAUUGCUCAAAAUCCUAAAAAUUUUUUAAAUCAUCAUUUUCACUCUAUAAAGGUUUUAUAUUCUAAAUGUUUUUAUAAAAUUGGUUAUUCUCAUGCUAAUGGUUUCAAUUGAAAAAGCUUUCAGAAUUUUGAUAAUAACAAGUAUUGCUCAAAAUCCUAAAAAUGGAUCUAUUUGACAAGUUUUAUAAAGUUUUGGGUCAUAGUAUAAUUUUAUAAAGUUUUGGAGCCAAACAAUUUUGUAAAAAUAGUUCACUGUAGUAGUUACUGUAGAAAACAGGAAUCCGACAUCGAACAUAAUUGAACAUUAGCCUCUGGACACUAACGACGAUCUGACGUCUAGAAAACGGUGAUCCGACAAUUUAAAAAUUCAGCCCAAUGGUCAUAUUGAUCAGUCAAACGACGAUCCAACAUCUAGUUAACGGCGAUUCAACAGUGAGCAGAAAGUCAAUAACGGCUAGUUUUCAGCUCCAACUAUAAAUAAGCUCAUUCAAAUUCAAACAAAGAUUGAUCACAACACUACUAUUGAGCUUAUAUUCGAGAAUACAAUCUUCAUAGAGCUUUAAACACAUUCUUACUUCAUUUAUUCACACAUUGGGCAUUGAUUUGUAAUCUUCAAUAUUGUGUGUGAGAAAAACAAUUUGUAAUCUUUUACUUUGAGUGAUUGUAAGUGUUGGGAUACACUUGGGUUAAGAGAUUUGGGAUAAUCUCUUGUUGUAAAGGUUCAUUGACACCUUGAAAGUCAAGUGUAAGCAUUUGAAGCAUUGGAGGUUUGCUUAGUGAAAUCCUCAAGCCCGAAAAGCUUGGAGGUGUGGACGUAGGCGAGGUUGGCCGAACCACGUAAAAAUCUUCGUGUUUGAAUCUCUCUUCCCUUAUAUUUUUAUAUUGUGAUUGAUUUAAUUAUUAUUGCUUUAAAUUCGUUUUAGAUUUGCAUGGUAUUUUAUUUUAGAAUGGAAUAAUUUUUAGAAUCCUAAUUCACCCCCCUCUUGGGAUGAAUAACUAGAAUUUCAUUUGGUAUCAGAGCUUGGUUCUCUUGUCAGGACUUAACCAUCUAGAGUAAAAGAUUCAUGUCAACCCAAAAUGACUGAACCUUUAGGGAAGGUAAUCCACAACUAGACCACCGUUCUUUAAUGGAAAUGACUACCCAUAUUGGAAAACUAAGAUGAGAAUUUAUUUACAAGCACUAGAUUAUGAAAUUUGGGAAGUUGUAUGUGAUGGUCCGUUUAUGCCCUUAAUUAAAAAUGAAGUCGGGAAAGAUAUUCCAAAACCUUCACGGGAAUGGAAUGAAUUGAAAAAGAGAAAAUCUUCUCUAAAUUCCAAAGCUAUGAAUGCCUUGUUUUGUGCACUUAAUAAGAAAGAAUUUCAUAGAGUAUCUAGUUGUGAAAGUGCAAAUGAAAUUUGGCACAAACUUGAAGUUGUCUAUGAAUGCACAAAUCAAGUGAAAGAGUCGAAAAUUAGUAGGUACAAUCGACAAUAUGAGUUAUUCCAAAUGGAAUAAAAUGAGAGUGUGUACUCUAUGUAUACUAGAUUUACGGACAUAGUAAACACCCUAGGAGCCCUAAGAAAGACCUUUUCAAAUAGUGAGAAAGUAAAGAAAAUCAUUAGGUCACUUCCAAAAGAAUGGAGACCUAAAAGAACUGCUAUUGAAGAGGCAAAAAAAUUAAGUACUUUACCUCUUGAUGAUUUAAUUGGCUCUCUCAUUUCAUAUGAAGAAGAUUUGGUAGCAGAGAAAGGGUAUGAGGAGAAGAAGAAAAGCAUUGCUCUCAAAGCUUCAAAAUAUGAGAGUGAUGGGGAGAGUGAACUGGAUGAUGAGGAGUUGGCCAUGCUAGCAAGGAGGUUCAGAACAUUUUUCAAAAAAACCGAUGAGUGAAGAAAAUUCAGAAACUUCAAGAACCAAAAGGAGAAGAAAGAGGUAAUCACAUGCUAUGAAUGCAAGAAGCCUGGCCAUAUAAGAUCGGAGUGCCCACUUAUCAACAAACUCAAGAAAAAAGCUAUGGUUACAACUUGGGAUGAUAGCGAUGAAGAUUCAAGUGAUGAAGAAGAGUCGCAAAAAGUAUCAAACCUAGCACUUAUAGCAAUAGGAGAUGAUGAUCUCAAUGAGGUAAGUGAUCUAACCUAUGAUGAAUUGUAUGAUGCUUUUAAAGAAAUGUAUGAUGAGUUGAUGAAAAUUGGUAAAACGAAUGCAUGUCUUAAAAAGAAAUUGCUAGACCUUACAAAUGAAAAAGAUGUCAUGCAAAAGUGCAAUGAUUCAUUGAAUGAGAAGAUUAAAGGAUUAGAAUUAGAGAAUAAAACCUUGCAUAAUAGAGUUGCAUUAUCAAAUGAGAAAUCAAGCACUUCACAUGAGCAUUUAAAGCCACAUGUAGAUGAUUUGAAAAAGGAAAAUGAAAUGCCAAAGAAAAAGAACAUUGAACUUAGUGAUAUUGUGUUAAAAUUCACAAAUGGACAAAAGAUAUUGAAUAACAUGCUUAACUCUAAAAAAUGUGUAUUUGAUAAAGGAGGACUUAGGCAUACGCCUAAUUUGAAGUAAAAGUAUUAUAAGAAUUAUAUUUUUAAAGUUACCUCCACAAGUGAUCAUAAGAUUGUUUGUCAUUAUUGUAACCAAGAUGGUCACAUGAAAUAUAGAUGUCCCGUGAAAAAAAAAUGCAUAUUAUAGUGUCAAAUGUAUCCAAGUACCUAACGCUCAAGGACCCAAAAAGGUUUGGGUACGUAAGACAUAAGAUUUUCCUCGUAGGGCUUGAAGAAGAAGAAAAAUAAAUGGUACUUGGAUAGUGGUUGUUCUAGGCAUAUGACCGGAAACUAUGCAUGGUUUUCAAGUUUCACCAAUAUCGAAAACGGUGGAGAUGUUUCUUUUGGAGACAAUUCAAGGGGAAAAAUUCUCGGAAUUGGAAAUGUCGGUAAAAUUUCGUCAACCCUAAUUGAAAAUGUACGUUUAGUUGAAAACUUAAAACACAACUUGAUUAGUAUUAGUCAAUUAUGUGACAAAGGUUAUAAAGUUAUUUUUGAUUAAUCAAGAUGUGUUAUUGAGAAUGUAUGUGAUGGGAAAAUUUGUUUAUUGAAAAUAGAUAUGGUAAUGUUUACACAAUUGAUAUAGAGUGUGCAUAUACUCAUGAUAAAUAUUUUUCGGCAUUGCAUGAUGAUAGGUGGCGAUGGCAUAGAAGACUAGGACAUACAAGCAUGGAUUUAAUUUCAAAAAUUUCAAAAAAUGAUUUAGUUAAAGGUCUUCGAAAAAUUGGUUUUCAAAAGGAUAAGAUUUGUGAAGCUUGUCAAUUUGGAAAAUAAAUCAAAACAUCUUUCAAAAACAAAAAUCAUAUUUCUACUUCAAAACCACUUCAACUUCUUCACAUAGAUUUAUUUGGGCCUUCUAGAUAUGUUAGUUUAAAUGGCAAAUAUUAUGCAUUUGUGAUUGUGGAUGAUUAUUCUAGAUAUACAUGGGCAUUAUUCUUAGCUAAUAAGGAUGAUGCUCUUGAUGCCUUUAAAAUGCUUUGUAAGAAAAUUCAAAAUGAAAAAGGGUAUGGUAUUGCAUGCAUUAGGAGUGAUCAUGGAAGAGAGUUUGAAAAUCAUGCAUUUGAAACCUUUUGCAACAAUUUGGGCAUUGUGCAUCAAUUUUCAUCACCUAAAACUCCACAACAAAACGGAGUUGUUGAGAGAAAUAAUAUGCCAAUUCAAGAAAUGGCUAGAAUUAUGUUGAAUGAAAAUUUAUUGCCUAAGUAUUUUUGGGCCGAGGCCGUCAGCACCGCUUGUUAUGUUUUAAAUCGUGUAUUGAUUAGACCUAACCUUAAUAAAACUCCAUAUGAGCUUUGGAAAGAUAGAAAACCCAAUAUUGGUUAUUUCAAAGUUUUUGGAUGCAAAUGUUUUAUUUUGAACACAAAAGAUAAUCUUGGCAAAUUUGAUCCAAAAUCCGAUGUUGGUAUUUUUCUUGGAUAUUCAAACUCAAGCAAAGCUUAUAGAGUUUAUAACAAAAGAACUCUUGUUGUGGAAGAAUCUAUGCAUGUUACAUUUGAUGAAUCUAACCCCUCCUCUAUGGAGAAAUUUGUUGUUGAUAAUGAUGUAGAUGAAGAAUUACAAAAAGAGUCAUCAAAGGAUAACCAAAAGGAUGCAUCUCAUGGGAAUCAAAUUGAGCAACAUGAGGAAACGAAUGUAGAGCAAAAUGACGGUACUUCUCAAUCACUCCCCAAAGGGUGGAGGUAUGUUUCUUCUCAUCCUAAGGACUUGAUUUUAGGAGAUCCCUCUAGUAGCAUAACUACUAGAUCAUCAUUUAGAAACACUUGUGAUCAUACUGCAUUCAUAUCUCAAAUUGAACCAAAAUCUUUUGCGGAUGCGGAAAAUGAUGAAUCUUGGAUUAUGACAAUGCAAGAGGAGUUAAAUCAAUUUGAGAGAAACAAUGUGUUGGAAUUAGUUCAUAAACCGGAACAUCAAUCCAUUAUAGGCACUAAAUGGGUAUUUAUAAAUAAAAUGGAUGAAUCCGGUGUGGUUGUAAGGAAUAAAGCUAGACUAGUGGCUCAAGGUUACAACCAAGAAGAGGGAAUUGAUUUUGAUGAAACAUUUGCACCCGUAGUUAGACUAGAAUCCAUUAGGAUGCUAUUAGCAUUUGCAUGUCAUAAAUAUUUUAUUUUAUUUCCAAUGGAUGACAAAAGUGCAUUAUUAAAUGUUUAUAUUAUGGAGGAAGUUUAUGUGAAAUAACCCCCUGGUUUUGAAAACGAAAAAUUUUCAAAUAUGUUUAUAAGUUGUCAAAAGCAUUGUAUGGAUUAAAGCAAGCACCUAGAGCAUGGUAUGAUAGGCUUAAAAAUUUCUUAUUGGAUAACGGUUUUUCGAUGGGUAAAGCGAUACUACUCUCUUUAUUAAGCAUAAAAACCAAGAUAUUCUUAUUGUUCAAAUUUAUGUUGAUGAUAUUAUUUUUGGUUCUACUAAUGAAUUGUUGUGUAAAGAAUUUUCAUCUUUUAUGAGUAAAGAAUUUGAAAUGAGUAUGAUGGGAGAGUUGAAGUACUUUCUUGGGCUGCAAAUAAAACAAAAUGAGGAAGGAAUUUUCAUAAAUCAAGCCAAGUAUGUGAAAGAACUACUCAAGCAAUUUGGCAUUGAUGAUUCAAAGACCAAAAGCACUCCAAUGAGCACAACAACUAAGCUUGACAAAAAUGAAAAAGGCAAAGAAGUGGAUAUCAAAAUGUAUCGAGGUACGAUCGGAUCUUUACUUUACUUAACCGUAAGUAGACCCGAUAUCAUGUUUAGUGUUUGUUUGUGUGCAAGAUUUCAAUCAUGUCCCAAGGAAUCUCAUUUACUUGUUGUAAAAAGAAUUUUCCGUUAUUUAAGUGGAACCAUAAAUCUUGGCCUUUGGUAUCCUAGAGGGACUCAUAUAGAUUUAACAUGUUAUUCGGGUGUGGAUUUUGCCAGUUACAAAGUUGAUAGAAAAAGUACUAGUGGAACUUGUCAUGUACUAGGUCAUUCACUUGUUUCAUGGUUUAGUAAGAAACAAAAUUCGGUUGCACUUUCAACCACCGAGGCUGAAUAUAUUGUCGCAGGGAGUUGUUGUGCAUAAGCUCUUUGAAUGAAACAAACACUUAGAGAUUAUGGCAUUAAUCUUGAACAAAUUCCUAUUAAGUGUGAUAAUACUAGUGCUAUAAACCUUUCAAAGAAUCCCAUUCAACAUUCUCGAACCAAGCAUAUAGAAAUAAGACAUCAUUUCUUGAGAGAUCAUGUUCAAAAGGGAGAUAUUGCAUUAGAGUUUAUUUCUACGGAAAAAUAACUUGCCGAUAUUUUUACAAAACCAUUUUGCGAAGAACAAUUUUCAAAAAUUUGGUAUGAACUUGGGAUGAUGAAAUUUUUCGCAUUAACAUCUUUAUCCAUGUUAUUGAGUCUAUUAAAAUUGAUUGAUUUAUGAUUUGAUGAUUUAAUAUCUAUGGAAUGCUUAAUCAUAAUAUACAUGUGGAGUGUGUGUAUUUUUGAAUAUGUAUGAAUUAAUUGUUGAAAUACAUAUAUGAUCAUGAAUUAUGAAUUGAACUGGCACUUAAAACAUUUUGAAUCAAUGAAAUGAUCUUGAAAUGUAUUAAUUGUUGGCCAAAUACUAAAAUAAAUAUACGAAAUCAUAAGUUUUAGAAAACGGAUUGCCAUUAUUUCAAUAAACGGCUAACCAUUUUCUGGCAGAAACCUUGGUAAGCAUUCUGGACGCUGUCGGUUCACCGACAUCACAUUAACAGCUCGCCGUUUUCAUGAAAAAUUUUGGGAGCUCUCUAGACGCUGUCGGCUCACCGAUAUCUAUAUAACGACUCGCCGUUAUCAUGCGUUAAAGGCACAAUGACGCAUCUUCUUCCCCAUUUUAUUUUUGCUCUUAACUCUCUCUCUCUCUCUCUCUCUCUCUCUCAAACCGUGACUGUAACUUCGUCUCUCUCUCCAUUCCACCAUUUUUCAUGCUCUUUUUUAGCAAAUUAAAGCAUUAAAAAAUUUUAUCCUCUUUAGAACCUUUUCAACCGAUUAAAAUUGGUUUUUACUUCAAAAAAUUUUAAAAUCCCAAAUUGAAAACCUAGAACCAGCCACACUGAUCUCGCCAAAUUUGACCCAAAUUUCUUACAUUUUCUAUAAAAUUUCAACUUGUAAUCACUCUCUCAUCUCUUAAACUUCCUUUCUAUCGAUUUAAAUUCUUCCAAAAUUAUCCAUGGCUUCACGACCAAGGCGUACCCGAACCAAGCAAGCAACUCCACGUAAUCCCAGUUCCUCCAGGCCUCUUUCUCAAGAUUUUGACAGCCUGCAUUUUUCAAUUGGUCAACUGGCUCAACGAUUUCACAAGAAAUUCAUAGGAAAAACUAUAACUACCUCUUUCCUUAUUGAUAUUGAUGAUUUCUCUGAUAUUACUAUAUGUGGUAGAACUUUACCUCAAAUGCUAAGACAAUGGGAUGAAGUUUUAGGCAUUGAAGAACGAGUUUAUGAAAAUUUAGUUAGGGUGUUUUACUCUAAUAUGGAGAUUUCGGAUAAUUGAAAAGAUAGGGUCAUAACACAUGUUGGAGGUGUUAGGAUUGAGUUCGGUAUAUUUGAGCUUGAUCGUACUCUUGGAAUAUCAUGUGAGGGGCUAAAUCUAUAUACUGCUAGAAAAGAGCUUCAUUUUAGUCAGUUUACUCACAUUGAGGGUGUUAGGAAUAUAUGUAGACGUCGCGAUCUCUCUGACGAGGUCUGCUCUUUGUCCUUUCGGUCUCAGUUGUUACCUUUCCGAGUUCGUAUUCUUCACAGUAUUCUCCAGCACAUGAUUACACAUAGGCAGGGACACACUGAUGAGGUGACUAGAUUAGAUGUCGGUUUACUUGACUCUCUCAUCCGAGGAAGGCAAGUGCACCUUUCAUUCACUCUUUUGCAUCAUAUGCUCUCUACCCCUGCAGUGUCUAACAAGUCUCUUCCAUAUGGUAGCAUUAUUAGUAAGAUUCUGAGACACUUUCAUGUUCCCUUGACCGAACCUGUCUAUGUUGAGACCAAAAAGUUGGGUAGGGAAAUAAUUUCGGGGAUUGGUUUUCAUUUGAGGCAAGGCAAGUGGAUCAAGGUUACCUCCUCUAAGAAUGAGGAUACUUUGGUAGCUCUGAAUGAAAACCGCAUGCUCAAUGAUGUUUUUUCCGAGGAUGAGUUACCCGACUUUCGCCUGGAGCUAGACCAUGUGCCCCUCGUCGUGCAGCAGUAGUAACAACAUCCUCUCAGGAUAACGAGCCAGCCAAGCCAGCCAUGCCAACAGUACCUCAUGUAGCAUCUUCUGCUUCUGAGGACCGUCUUCAGCAGCUCUUCGACAAAGUGGAUGCACUUCAAUAAGACUUUACGAAUUUUCGGCAGCAGAUAUUAGAUUAGCAGAUGGAGUUACUUGCUGGAUAGCGCCGCAUUCUUGGUCACCUUGGCUAUGAUCCCGACAAUUCCUCUUCACCGCCCCUAUCUUAGUUUUCUGCACCUUUGCAUUUCGCACAAACAUUACUCAUCUCAUGUAGUUGUUGUGGUACUUAUUGCUUUUGAUUGUGCUUGUGAUACUUUUAUGAUGUUUUUGUUGGAUAUGUGGACUUUGUUUAUGAUUGAGUUGAUUUUGAUAACAUGUUUUGGUUAUUGCUUAUGAUAAUGAUUGAAUUUGUUGGUAUGGAGGUUGGUUGCUAAAUUGGAGUUUAUAUGGGAGUGUUUUAACCACUUUGUUUUUUAGGAUAUGUUCAUUUUUUAGGGGAGAUUCUGCCAAAAUCUUUUCGCCAUGGCUAAUCUCUGAACUUCUCUUUUCAAUCUUUUCGCACUCAUUUCUUUUUUAUAAUGAAGGGGGAGAUAAUUUAUAUAUAAUCUGUUGAAAAUUUUUUCGUUUUAUUAAAUUUAGUUUUAUGAGGUUAAAAAUUGAUUGGCAUAUAUCUAGGGGGAGCUAAAUUCUACAAAUAUUUUACUUGGGGGGAGCACAUAUUUAGGGGGAGUAAAAUUGCACAAGUAUUUUCUUGAAAAGUUUGUCAUCAUCAAAAUGAGAGAAAUUGUUAACAUAAAUAUUUCUUUAUUAUUUUUUUUAUGAUAACAAACUUGAUUAAGAUUGAUUAAUCUUUUAAAAGCUUAAAAUAGUUUUCAUAUAUUUUUAAAUCAUCAUUUUCACUUUAUAAAGGUUUUAUAUUCUAAAUGUUUUUAUAAAAUUGGUUAUUCUCAUGUUAAUGGUUUCAAUUGAAAAAGCUUUCAGAAUUUGAUAAUAACAAGUAUUGCUCAAAAUCCUGAAAAUGACCUAUUUGACAAAUUUUAUAAAGUUUUAGGUCAUAGUAUAAUUUUAUAAAGUUUUGGGGCCAAACUAUAAUUUUGCAAAAAUAGUUCACUGUAGUAGUUACUGUAGAAAACAGCAAUCCGACAUCGAACAAAAUUGAACAUUAGCCUCUAGACACUAACGGCGAUCCGACAUCUAGAAAACGACGAUUCGACAAUUUGAAAAUUCAGCCCAACGGUCAUAUUGACCAGUCAAACGGUGAUCUGACAUCUAGUUAACGGUGAUUCGAUAGUGAGCGGAAAGUCAAUAACGGCUAGUUUUCAGCUCCAACUAUAAAUAAUCUCAUUUAAAUUUAAACAAAGAUUGAUCACAACACUACCAUUGAGCUUAUAUUCGAUAAUACAAUCUUCAUAGAGCUUUAAACACAUUCUUGCUUCAUCUAUUCACAGAUUGGGCAUUGAUUUGUAAUCUUAAAUAAUGUGUGUGAGAAAAACAAUUUGUAAUUUUUUACUUUGAGUGAUUGUGAGUGUUGGGAUACACUUGGGUUAAAAGAUUGUGGAUAAUCUAUUGUUGUAAAGGUUUAUUGACACCUUGAAAGUCAAGUGUAAGCAUUUGAAGCCUUGGAGGCUUGCUUAGUGAAAUCCUCAAGCUCGGAAAGCUUGGAGGCGUGGACGUAGGCGAGGUUGGCCGAACCACGUAAAAAUCUUCGUGUUUGAAUCUCUCUUCCCUUAUAUUUUUAUAUUCUGAUUGAUUUAAUUGUUAUUGCUUUAAAUUCGUUUUAGAUUUGCAUGGUAUUUUGUUUUACAAUUGAAUAAUUUUUAGAAUCCCAAUUCACCCCCUCUUGGGUUGCAUAACUAGAAUUUCACACGCCACCUUAAAUCCUUCCCUAAGUUUUUAGGCACCCACUAAACAUGAUCCUAUAAGCACAUCUCCACUCCCCUUUGAUUUGAGCAACCGCUGCCCACCAUGUCCAUUAGCAAGGAAUCAUGAGUUGUAACUGCCACACCCACUAUAUUGCUCCUCAUUUUUAGGCACAUGAUCAAGGCCAUGUUCUCCCACUCUUGUUGUAUUGGCAACUACCACUCACGCUUAAAUUUAGGCCCACUUCUUGGAGAGUUGCAGCCAACCAUGCUCCACAUCCAGCAGUCAUUGUCCGUACCCAGCCUGCGCAUGAACGCCUCUCAUUUUCGCAUGAUUCAGCCCCUACGUGCAUGCCUUAUGUCGCUGCACGUUCGCGCGCACUCUGGCACACAAAUAUACCACAAUCUCGCAACUGUUCAUGCAAUCCAACAGCUGACUCGCAAGCUGUUGAGCCCCAUGCUCGCACGCCCUGUGCCAUGCUCGCUUGCGCACUAUUGUGCCUCGCGCUUACGCACCUCAGCUCCUUGUGUUCGCACGCCCAUUGUGCGCCGCGCUCAACCGCCCACUGUACCACACACUCGCGUGCCCAUUGCGCCCAUGCUCUUACUAGAUGCUGCGUACGCCACCCACUCACUCCCUCGCGCGCGCUGUCCUGUAUUGCUUGUGCCUAUGCCACAGCGUACACCUUGUUGUCGCGCCCUAGCCAAUACGCAAACCCUGCCUUGUUUUCGCGCUCACCACAAGCACACCCAUUUGCUGCCAUUACUCGGCCCAAGGCCCCAAGCCAAGCCACGACAGUUGGCCCCAUGACUCACGGCAGUGAUACUUGGCCUAAACAAUUUGUCAUCUUGAAUGAUGUUGGGACACAUAUUUUUUGGUCUAUCUCAUUUGGCUGGCCCUAAAGACUAAAGUCUAAAAGGCUUACUUGACGUGCAAUUAAUAUUAAGUUUUGGACUUAGAUGAAAUUAGCCAAAUAAUAAUAUAUAUGAAAGAAAAAGAAAAGCAAGCUGCAACAGUGAUACAAAAAAGAAGAAAAAGACAAGAGAGAAAAAAAAAGAGACAGUAGUGUAAUAUUUGUUUUUUGAGGCAAGAGUUUCAAGUUUUCAUUGAACGAUCGGAAUGCCAUUUUAACUCCGUUUUCUCUUAAAUUUAGUGGGUAAUUAUUGGCAUCACCUCUACAAUCCUACUUGUCUUUAUUUUUGUUUUAUCCUUCUGUUGGUUGUUCUUUGAGAUACUUACUUGUUAGAUAGAUAAAUAUUAAGUUGUUACUAUACACCAAAGUUGUUGAGAUUCUUGAUGUUUUUAUGUUGUUAGAUUCUAGUGUUAUCUAGACAUAAAUUUUUUUCUGUAAUCCCAUUAUUAAUAUAGUUGAAGGUUCUAUCGGACUACCAUCCCAUGGUUUUUCUCAAUUUAGGUUUUUCACGUAAAAAUAUAUGCCUCUUGUGGUUGAUUUAUUGCUUUAGAUUGUAUUGGUUUAUUUUCUGUUUGUUAAUUUAUGAUACAUAUCCUGUUUUAAUCACAAAAAAAGGGGACAUAGUUUGUUUCCACUUACUUUGCAACUGCUUGUGUGAGUUCUUUUCCCAACACAUCCCUAUAAUUAUUGUUUUUCUUUGAUAUGUCUUAAAUUAAUAAUAAUAAUAUUUUUUAUUAUUCUAGUUACAUAAAGAAAUCUAUUAAGAAUGUGCAGGAAUACAAGUACCAGCAAAAAUAGAUGCUCUUUGCAAGUACGCUUGUUGAGGGUUGACUAGAUCAUUAUUUAGUGAAAUUUAUCUUGGGGUCUUUGACAAUAAACAAGUUGAAUUAUAUUUAUCAAUUGACGACAUUGCAUGAUUCUAUCACGUGGAAAAAAUUGUUAUUGUUGCAUAAAGUACUUAAAUUACUUAUUUUCUUAGCAAUAUAAUUAGUUAUAAUUUUUAUAUAUGCAGUGAAGUAAUUAUUACUUGUUUUCCAUAGGCAUCUUUAUGAGGUCUUGAAGGAUCAUUACCUAGACCAUAUUUAUAAAAUAAAUCUAGUAACUCUUCAACCUUUUGCAAUAAAACUUGAAAUACAUGUUGAUGAAACUAGAGCUUGUGCAAUGUUAUCAAGAAUGGAAAUACUCGAUCUAGAAUAGCUUAUGACAUUUCCUUACAAUACCAGGUUUGUUAUUUUAUUGAUUGUACAUAGCAAUUGGAUUUUGCUUUCCUUUUCUUUUAUAAAAAUAUGCAAGACAGGUAUUUAUCACUACAUGUAGCAAAGGUUGGAUGUUGAUUGUUGUGGUUCCACACAAAUUUAUAGUAUAAUUUUUUAUUCACUUGGUCAUGAACCUCCCCCUGAUUUGAAGAACUUUUUAUCAUUGUAAGUUGUCAUUUUUUUGUCAAUUAUAACGCAUGUAUUAAAACAUGUUUGACUAAGUGUGUACUUAAUCAUGUAUCUUAAGUGCUUUCAAGAUUUUUGUGCCAAAAAUGGGAAAAAUGGGAAAUGCGAAUAAAAAAUCCUUUGCUCGGAAGAGGGUUAAGGUAUAUGAAACUGUACAUACAUAUGUUUGGUUUAAAUUUAUUUACAUAUGCACAUGACAUCGAUUAGUUCAAAAUUCACAUGUAGUGUCCUCAAUAAACUACAAAUGUUGAAUGCCGAUAUUAUGUCAUUAGAUUUAUGAAGUAAUCAUUGGAAACCAAGAUGAUACAAUAAAGGACUUGGUACUAAUUUCCUUAUCCGAUACUCAUUUCCUUAUCCUUUUAAAAUUUAUAGAUUUCAUAAUGUUGAUGCAUGUAUUAGUAUUGACUAUUUUGUAUAUGAUAUAUAGUUUGUUGGACGAGAUAGUUACAAUCAAAAGGAUAUUGAUGAAGUAAAAAUGGAGUGGGCAGAAUACAUAUGACAUAAUAUUUUUCCCUAAAUUUUGUAGCACAAUGACUUUGCAAGGUUAGUAAAUAAAUAGUAUUAUUUUUUAUCAAUAUCUUUGUUAUUGUCUUUGUUUCAAAAUAAGACAUUAAAAGGAUUAAUUUAUGAAAUUAUUUCAAUCAUUUUGAUAUUGUAAUCAAGGAAGGUUCAUAAAAAAUUUCACUCACCAACUUUCUUUGAAUUUGGCAUGAUUAUUGGAGUAGCCAAUAGGAUGGCCACAUUUUGUUGUUCUUGUGAAGGAUGUAAUAUUUUUCUUUUAAGAGAAAAAGAGUUAUGGAUACCUAGAUACUUUAAUUUGAAAAUUAUAAACAUAAAGUUUUUUUUUUAGUAUUGUUUAUGAUGUUUCGGAUUUGUAUGUGAUUAAUGCAAUUGCUUGAUGAAUAUUUAUUUUUAUACUAUAACUUCUCAAAAAAAUUUAUUGCACUACAUGUUAGCAUAAAUAAUUAUAAUAUUAGUAGUAGUAGUAGUAGUAAUAAUAAUAAUAAUAAUAAUAACAACAACCAUUUUAGAUCUUUAGUAAUGUAUUCAUAUUAUGGUGAAUACUAUCAUUGACGUUCAUUACUUACUGCUGUACGGCCAAGGCGGAUGUACGGUACAGCAGUUGGUUAUUUCAAAGUUUUUGGAUGCAAAUGUUUUAUUUUAAACACAAAAUAUAAUCUUGGUAAAUUUGAUCCAAAAUAUGAUGUUGGCAUCUUUCUCAGGUAUUCAAACUAAAGCAAAGCUUAUAAAGUUUAUAAAAUAUAAAUUGAAUAAGAAAAUCCAUGAUUCCGUAAUUUAAAUUAUGGCAUCAAUGCCGUAUAAACAUAAAUUUUAUUAAAUACACAUAAAACUAGUAAAUAAAAAGUAAAACAAGUAAAUUAGUAAAAGAAUGGUAAAUUAUAGAAUUGCAAACAAGAAAAGCUCUUGUGAAAUAAUAUAAAACUUGUAAAUCAAUAUUAAACUUAUAUUAAACAAAAAAAUAAUUGAUUCAUUGAAUUUGACUAAACAAAGAAAAAAUUCACUCAUCAAUUGAAAAAAAAAUUGUAUUGAAAACAAUUGGAAUAAGUUUGAUUGUAUUGGUUUAACCAUACAUUUUAUAUUCAUUUUAGCACAUUCAUAAUUUUUUUUUCCAUUUUCUAUUAUAGUAUUGUUUACUACUAAUUAAGCAAAAUUAUUUUUCUUGAUGUAGAUCAAGUCAAAAAUAUAUACAAAAAAUUAUUCUUAUAUUACUAGACAUAUAUGAUUUCAUUAAAUUGGAUCUAAUUUUAGCCUUAAUAAAAUUUCACAUAUAUCAUCACAUGUAGUACAUAAACAAAAAAACUAUCAUUAUUCAAUUUAGAAACAAAAUCAACAAAUAUAUAAGAUAAUCAUUAUUAUAACGAGUUUUUAUUUUAUAUUUAUAAGGUUUUAUUUUUUAGUAUUAUUUAUUUUAAUUUACUUAUUUUAUCGUCUAUUUACAAAUUUUAUGUUUCAUUUACAUAAUUUAUGUCUAUUUUACACAUAGUUUACGAAUUUUAUGUUAUAUCAGUAAGUUUUUUGUUUUAUUUGUCAAUAACACUCUAAUUUACCACUCCUAUAUUAAUUUUCUUGUUUUAUUUUUUAUUUACUUAAUUUACGUUUUAUUUUAUACUUUGGUUUACAGGUUUUAUGUUAUAUUUGUGAGUCUUUGUUUUAUUUACUAAGAAUAUACCAAUUUACUACUCUUAUGUUAAUUUACUUAUUUUAUCUUGUAAUUACACUUUUUAUGUUCCAUUUACAUAAUUUAUGUUUUAUUUUAUACUUAAUAUUGAUUUAUAAGUUUUAUGUUAUAUUUGUAAGUUUUUGUUUUGCUUACCAAUAAUGCACCAAUUUAUUACUCUAUAUUAAUUUACUUAUUCUACCCCGCAUUCAUAAGAAUUAUGUUACACUUACGUAAUAUAUAUUUUAUUUUACAAUUAAUGUUGGUUUACAAGUUUUAUAUUACAUUUGUAAGUUUUUGUUUUGUUUACUAAUAAUGGCCCCAAUUUACUAUUUCUAUAUAUGUUAAUUUUUUUUUUUACCUUUCAUUUAUAAGUCUUAUGUUUCAUUUAUUUAAUUAACUUUUUUCACAGUUAUUGAUAAUUCACAUAUUUAAUUUAUGUUUUAUUUGACAAUUAUUGAUUAUUCACAUAUUCAAUUUAUGUUUUAUUUGAUACUUAUUAAUGAUUCACUUAUUUAUUUUAUGUUUUAUUUGACACUUGUUGAUGAUUCAUAAGUUUUAUGUAAUAUUUAUAUGCUUUUGUUUUGUUUACUAUUGAUAUACUAAUUUAUCACUCCUAUAUUAAUUUACUUGUUUUAUCUUCCAUUUACAAGUCUUAUGUUCCCCUUACUUAAUUUAUGUUUUAUUUUAUAAUUAAUGUUAAUUUAAAAAUUUUAUAUUAAAUUUACAUUUCUUAUGUUUCAUUUACAUAAUUUAUGUUUAAAUACAAUAUUAAUCAUGGCAUCAUAGAAUGAAUUUUUUUUUAAUAAUAUUUGGCUCUAAAAGGAAGUUCAAAUUGUUUCAUGCCCCCCUCAUUUCGUGGCCAAAACUAACCCCAGUUAAACGAUUUAUUAGGUAUUACUAUGGAUUUAUGAAGUAAGAAAUAAAAUUAUAAAUUAAUAAGAGCAAUGACAAACAUUUCAAAUGAUAAUAAAAUUUUAUCCUAAAUAAUGUGACAUUCACCAUGUGAAUGAUGAGAUAAUGUAAUUAAGUUAGGAUAUCUAAUAUUGUUUUAAUAAUUACUUUAUUGAAUAAUUUCAUGUGUUCAAUUAUCUCCAUCCUUACAUUUAUUUAAAUAAUAUUAUUAUAUUAUUUAAUAAUAUUACAUUUAUUAAAAAUAAUAAUAUUAAACUUAUUUAAAUGUAAUAUUAUUAUAUUUAGUUAAAAAUUAUAGUAUCAUGUUUAUUUAAAUAAUUAAUAAUAAAAAAUAUUCUGCCCAUAUAUUUUUUAUUUACUUUGUAAUUAAAAACUAUAACUGCUGAGUACAUAAACAAAAAAACUAUCAUUAUUCAAUUUAGAAACAAAAUCAACAAAUAUAUAAGAUAAUCAUUAUUAUAACGAGUUUUUAUUUUAUAUUUAUAAGGUUUUAUUUUUUAGUAUUAUUUAUUUUAAUUUACUUAUUUUAUCGUCUAUUUACAAAUUUUAUGUUUCAUUUACAUAAUUUAUGUCUAUUUUACACAUAGUUUACGAAUUUUAUGUUAUAUCAGUAAGUUUUUUGUUUUAUUUGUCAAUAACACUCUAAUUUACCACUCCUAUAUUAAUUUUCUUGUUUUAUUUUUUAUUUACUUAAUUUACGUUUUAUUUUAUACUUUGGUUUACAGGUUUUAUGUUAUAUUUGUGAGUCUUUGUUUUAUUUACUAAGAAUAUACCAAUUUACUACUCUUAUGUUAAUUUACUUAUUUUAUCUUGUAAUUACACUUUUUAUGUUCCAUUUACAUAAUUUAUGUUUUAUUUUAUACUUAAUAUUGAUUUAUAAGUUUUAUGUUAUAUUUGUAAGUUUUUGUUUUGCUUACCAAUAAUGCACCAAUUUAUUACUCUAUAUUAAUUUACUUAUUCUACCCCGCAUUCAUAAGAAUUAUGUUACACUUACGUAAUAUAUAUUUUAUUUUACAAUUAAUGUUGGUUUACAAGUUUUAUAUUACAUUUGUAAGUUUUUGUUUUGUUUACUAAUAAUGGCCCCAAUUUACUAUUUCUAUAUAUGUUAAUUUUUUUUUUUACCUUUCAUUUAUAAGUCUUAUGUUUCAUUUAUUUAAUUAACUUUUUUCACAGUUAUUGAUAAUUCACAUAUUUAAUUUAUGUUUUAUUUGACAAUUAUUGAUUAUUCACAUAUUCAAUUUAUGUUUUAUUUGAUACUUAUUAAUGAUUCACUUAUUUAUUUUAUGUUUUAUUUGACACUUGUUGAUGAUUCAUAAGUUUUAUGUAAUAUUUAUAUGCUUUUGUUUUGUUUACUAUUGAUAUACUAAUUUAUCACUCCUAUAUUAAUUUACUUGUUUUAUCUUCCAUUUACAAGUCUUAUGUUCCCCUUACUUAAUUUAUGUUUUAUUUUAUAAUUAAUGUUAAUUUAAAAAUUUUAUAUUAAAUUUACAUUUCUUAUGUUUCAUUUACAUAAUUUAUGUUUAAAUACAAUAUUAAUCAUGGCAUCAUAUAAUGACAUUUUUUUAUAUAAUAUUUGGUUCUAAAAGGAAGUUCAAAUUGUUUCAUCCCCCCCUUUUAAUAAUUACUUUAUUGAAUAAUUUAAUGUGUUCAUUUAUCUCCAUCCUUACAUUUAUUUCAAUAAUAUUAUUAUAUUAUUUAAUAAUAUUACAUUUAUUAAAAAUUAUAAUAUUAAACUUAUUUAAAUAUAAUAUUAUUAUAUUUAGUUAAAAAUUAUAGUAUCAUGUUUAUUUAAAUAAUUAAUAAUAAAAAAUAUUCUGCCCAUAUAUUUUUUAUUUACUUUGUAAUUAAAAACUAUAAUUUUUUAAAUAAGAGUAAAAUUGUUAUUUGAAACAAUUUACUCCCAAUUCAAAAUAAAGUAAACAUAUAAACAAGAUUUUGAUUCUUAUUCCAUACUUUCAUUAUAAUGUAAUAAAUAAUCUAUUGCUACUCUCACUGCAUACUCUCAAUCUCAGAAUUCUCACUACAAUCCGAAAAAUAAACGUUACUCUAAAAUAUUGGACCAUUUGCAAAGGGAUCUAGUAGUCCUUGAAUUCGGCCCAUACCAGAAUAUUUUCUUUGCAGCAAAAUCUAGUAUCUUCAGCAGGUUCUCAGUAGUGUUCCUGAAGAGAAAAUUCCCCGUGCUGGCAAAACAAAGAAAUACCAUACCACUUGGCUUAAGUGUACAAACUUUAUUUAAUAUUCUUUCAUUAACGUUCACACACAAGAGUACAAAAAUCAAUUAAGUUAAGAGUAUGAAUCAUAAAAAUUCUGGAAUUAGAACAGACUUCAAUUAGUCAACACAAAACAUACUAGUUAUCCACAAUGCAUUAAGCUAACAAAUUAGAUUGAUCAACUGAAAAUAAACACUAUAUAUCUUAUAAUGUAUAUCCGUAGCAGCAUAUAAUAUUAAUGGACAUUAUUAUAUAAUUUAGCUUCACCCAAUAUUUAAUUUGAUUAAGCUAAAAAAAAAUUCUUUGAUUAGCAGUCUCUCACAAGACACUCGAGUUAAUAAAAAAUUUAAGAUAAAUUUAAACAUGAGACAAAAUUUAUAAUUUCAAGCACAAUAAAGCAUAAAAGGUACUAAUUACCAAAGAAUGGAAGCAUAUAGUUAAUGUCUUAAUGAAGUAUAGAUUACUAAAAAAGACCAAUCUGCAUCUGCUACUCACUUUGAGUGUAGAUCAGAAAAUGUGUUGCCAUCUAUCUCGUUCCACUUGUCAUCAAUUAUCUCCAUGGGCCUUUCUCCAAUUGUUGCCAAGCAAUUAUUUUUCCUCAAUACAACUUUUAUCUUCAUUUUCCACAACGAAAAAUUAUUUCUGUUGAAUUUCUCAAUUUCGUAUUUUGCCGCCAUCGCUUUUCACCACAAACUAACUUUGCUAGGAUUGGCUCCCACCGUCUCACAUGAACAGUAACUGUAUAUGUGAAUAGUACCGUUUACGUGAAUAGUGCGGUAUAUGUAAAUAGUACUUUUACGUGAACAGCACCACCGACUCCAAAAAAAAAAAAAAUCAGUAACUCUGAUACCACUGUUAGGAAUUUGGUGGGUGAAGCAGGGCCACAAUUAAAAUGAAAUUGGAAGAAAACCAAGAACAAGUACAAAAGAGGACACCAGAAAAUUAUGUGGUUCGGCUUUUAAUCUACAUGUACGGGCGAAGAUAGAAGGAAAAUAUUUUACUAGUAAUAUAAGGAUUACAAGUAUUGUAAUAUUUUGGCUCACUUUUCAGAACCCCAAUACACUCAAUCUCUCACUCACUAGACUCACAAGAGCUUUAUAAUUUUAAGCUCUUAAAAUCACUCAAACUCUCUGCUUUCUCUCUCACAAAAAAUUGAAUUGCUUCUCUAUCAAUGGGAUGGCUAAAUGAGGGUGGGGAAGCCCUCUUUAUAUAGCCAAAAUUUUGGCUUUUUUUUUAAUAAUAAGUCAACACGGCACCACCAAGAAUGGCGGGCCGUGUUGAAUGGCAUGGCACCACCUAUCUAGAUGGGCGGUGCCAGCCAUGACUUUAACAUAUCGAGCAUGUAACAGGGACAUGCUAAUAAGGAAGAAUUCUAUUAUCAAAUUAUGGUUAUGAGAUGAAUUUGCAUUCAAUCCUCAGUCAUUUUUUGCAAUUCUUUUUUUCAUAUAUAUUCUUCAAUUACGCAAAAAGGAAACAAAGUGCACGCACACGAAAUUUGCCUACUUACAAAUUUUUGGCAAAGUAUGUUUCAAAUUAAUUAAUAGCAUCAGCAUAUCUUGAGAUUUUCCUUCUACUGUUAAUUGUAACACAAAAUUAUAACAACAAAAUAAAAGAGGAUACAAGAAAGAAACAUCCACCCAUACCUUUGACAAGAAUGGUUUAAGAACAGUUACAACUUCCACGGACAGAUUGAGAACGACCACGACAGAGAGAGGGGCUGCUAUUGCUGGCCUGCUACUGCAUGUGCGUGUUGAGAGAGAGUAAGAGUGAGCGUGAGAGGGACUGCUGGUGGCCUGGUGCUAUUGUACUGGGCUGCUGCUGCGCGGGCUGCGAGUGCCGGUGUGCGUGCUGCUGAGAGGGAGGCUUUGCUGCGGCUUGAGGGAGGGGUUGCCGCUGUUUCAUGCUUAGAGAGUUUAGGAUUACAAAUUAAAGUGUGUUUGAGAUUGAGGUUGGGCAGCUGUAACUUAAAAGUUACAGCAUCAAAGUGUUUUAUAAACACUAUCUGCUAUAGUUUGGAAGCUAUGCUAAUAUGGUUUUUCACUUGUAAGAUGGAAAAUAUAUUAUAUCUUUAAUAAUUUUAUUAAAAUUAUUAUUUAAAAUUUAUACUUACUAAAUAUACAGUUUUUUUUUCAGUUUACAGUUUUUUUUUCCACAGUAGUUGUACCUUAAAAGUUACAGCACUUCAAUCACAAAUGCACCCUUAGUCACUUAGAAUUUUAAGGAUUUAGUCUUAGGGCCGGUUUUCUUUUUUCUUUUUUUAAAUCUAAUUGCACAUGAACCGAACAGUUUAUCUAUUCGAUUUGGCUCUGAAACCGAACCGAAUUCAUAAACCGUUCGGUGGAAGUAAAAUGAAACCAUUCGGUUUUUUCCCGUUAAACCGAACUUGCAAAUAGAAAUUAUUCGGUUCGAUUCGCCAAAAACAUAAUCGAAUUUGAUUUCCAGAUAAUUUUUUCCAACCGAACAAAAGAAAAUAAAGAGGAAACAGAAAAGCUCUCCUCUCCUACCUUAAGUUCUUAACCGAACAUGGCCUAAGGUAAUCAGUACCUUUUAUGCUUUACUGUACUUAGAAUUAUAAAUUUUGUCUGUUAUAUUAUAAUCUGAUCAAAACCGAGCUUAUAUUGAAGAAGAUCAAAUCAAAGAAGCUAAGAUUUAAUAGAACCAGAACCAAGAACAAGUGUGAAGAUAGCUCAUUAUGGAGAAAGAAGUAAUGAAAAGCAGAGGAAGGAAAAGCUUAAGCUGAAACGUGAUGCAGAGGAUAGUAGGAGUACAGCUAUCAGCUCAGAUGCUAGCUCAGCAAAGUUAGUUUCAUACAGUUAGAAAUACAAAACGUAUUGCAAUAAGAGUUAGUUGAUUACUUCGUUAAUUAGUUACAUUGAUUGUAAUCAAGGUUGAUGGAAGUAUAAAUACUUAGCUUGUAAUACUCUGUGAUUAAAGCAACAAUAAUAAAAUUCAGUUUACGAUUAAUCCAGAUCUUCAACUCAAUAUUUUCUCUAGAAACAAACAACUUCUUUUAUAAUUUUUUCAUGGUAUCAGAGCCACUCAUAGCUAGUUCGAGCAGUACAACUUCUAAUCCAAAUCACAUUACUUCAAAUCAAUCAACUCUGAUUUCAUUUUCUUUCAGUACUCCAGUCAAACUUGAUAGAUCAAAUUUUAUGCUAUGGCGUAAGCAAGUUCUUACUUCGAUUAGAGGAAAUUGACUUGAACAUCUAAUUUCUUACAAUCAAGUGGUACCAGAUCGAUACAUUACUCACACAGAAGUUGAUGGAUCAAUAUAGAAAAUAAAGAAUCCAGCUUUCAUCCAUUGGAGAGCACAAGAUCAAACUCUUCUUGGCUGGAUCUUAUCCUCAAUCAGCGAAGGUAUUCUCAGCUCUAUUCUUAACUAUGAAAGUUCAUUUGAGGCUUGGAAAUGCAUUGAAAAACAGUUUGGAGUUCAAUCUGAAGCUAAGCUCAUGCAACUUUGUUAUGAAUUAAAUGUUCUUAGGAAAGAAAAUAUGAUUGUUAAGGAAUAUUGCUUGAAGGUUAAAGCACUUGCUGAUAAACUUGCAUGUGCUGGAAGUCCUAUCUCUGAAAAAGAUCUACUAAUACAAAUCUUAAAUGGAUUAGGACCUGGAUACUUAGAUCUUGCAUCAAUAAUCACUGCAAAUAAAAUGUCAUAUGAUGAUGCAUAUGCUCUACUACUGACACAUGAGCUAGAAUGGAACAAAGUCAAAAUGCUAAGAGUGUGUUUAAUGCCAAUUAUGGAAUGAUGAAUGUGCAUUAUCCUCAAACCAAGGGAUAUAACCGAAAAGGAAGUUAUAAUGGAUAUCAGGGACACUUUAAUGCUGGGAAUAUAAAUUUUGGUAUAGGAAGAGGAAUGAUGUUUAAUGGAAAUUCAAGAGGUUUUGUCAGUGGUGGUAAUGGUCCUGGUGCUUUUAAUCUUGGUAGAGGACAAUCAAUACAUAUGCAGUCUUAUAGACUAGCCUCUUAUAAUAGAAACAUCUCUAAUGCUAACAUUGGUGCUGAAAAUGGAUCUGGAGAAAAUAUGGAAAUAUGUCAAAUCUGUCAUAAGUCUGGACACACUGCAGAUGCUUGUUGGUAUAGGUUUGAGAAUUAUGUACCUCAAUCUAGGAACUUUGGAAGGGGAAGAGGUCAAAGGUCAGCAUAUCUAGCAAAUUUUGAACCUUAUCAGAGUGCUGCUGGACCUUUUGAAACACAAUACUAUCCAGAUUACUCUAGUCAUCAGAUGCAGAUACCUGAUUUGAAUUCAAUGAAUCAAUCACUGAACUCUUUCUCUACUCCUGGAGCUGCCUAUGUUGCCAAUUAUGAAGGACCAGCUGAUGAGGGGUGGUAUCUAGACAGUGGUGCCACACAUCACUUGACAAAUAACAUGGAAAAUAUGCACAUCAGGGAGCAAUUUAGUGGAUCAGAUCAGCUCAUUAUUGGCAAUGGACAAGGUCUGAAUAUAACGCAUAUUGGUGAUGCAUUUCUCACUUUUAAAAGUUCAAAUGCCAAACACAAACACACACCUAUAGCUUUAAAAGAUAUAUUGCUUGUUCCCUCAAUUACUAAGAAUCUUUUGAGCAUCUCUAAACUCACUGCUGAUAAUAACUUGUCUGUUGAAUUUCUUGGAAAUAUCUGUGUUGUGAAGGAUACUCUGAAGGGGCAAGUAUUGAUGCAAGGCCUUGCUGAGAGAGGAUUAUACAGGCUGUUAAUAAAUUCAUCUCCUUCAAAAUCUCAGCCAUCCUCUUCUUUUAUUUCCUAUAUGUCUUCAAAUAAACCACUUUCAAUGUUGUCCUUUUAUCAUGUUGAUUUUGCUGGUCAUACUGAUACUGUCAGUGAAACUGCAAAUUUUAAAACUUGUUAUCAGAUUGCUAUAUCACAUUCUGUUAAUUCAAUCAAUAAAGCUUUACUUUUUCAUAGAAGAUUUGGCCAUCCCAGCACUCAAGUGCUGUUACAUAUGCUCAAAACUGACAAAUCCAUUUCAAUUCCUACAUAUCAGAUUCAUCAAUUACAUCAAACAACAUGUGAAGCAUGUCAAAUGGGCAAGGUUCAUAGACUUCAUUUUCCCUGCAUAGAAACCAAAACUACCAAAAUUCUUGAGCUCAUACAUACAGACUUGUGGGGACCCUCCACCUAAUCUAUCUAGAGAUGGUUAUCAAUAUUAUAUAAGCUUUGUGGAUGACUUCAGUAGAUACACCUGGAUAUAUCCUUUAAAAUUCAAGUCAGAUGCCUUAGAAGUUUUCAAACUCUUCAAAUUGCAAGUGGAAAAUCAGUUUACCACCACCAUUAAAACUCUGCAAUCUGACUGGGGAGGGGAGUAUAGACCUUUUACAGAAUUUCUAAACCAAUCUGGCAUUAUCUUUAGGCAUUCUUGCCCUUGUACACAUCAUCAAAACGGAUUGGUUGAGAGGAAACACAGACAUAUUGUAGAAUCAGGAUUAACUCUUCUUGCUCAAGCUCAUUUACCUUUCCAAUUUUGGUGGGAUGCUUUUCAUACAGCAGUAUACCUUAUUAACAUAUUGCCAUCACCUGUUAUAAACCUUUUGACCCCAUAUGAAAAGAUUUUCAAGCAUAAGCCUGAUUAUAAUAUGCUCAGAUGCUUUGGCUGCACAUGCUACCCUUAUUUGAGAGAUUAUAACAAACAUAAAUUUGCUUAUCAUUCUAGAAGUGUGUAUUCAUUGGUUAUAGUCCAUCACAUAAGGGAUAUAAGUGUUUGCAUGCUUCAGGCAAAAUUUGUAUUGCCAGACAUGUUAUUUUUGAUGAGUUCACAUUUCCAUAUACCACAAAUUCUGCAUUCCUCAAAUAUUCAGCCUCUGAUUCUCAGUCUUCACUUUCUAUUACAUCUCAACAAGUUCAUCAUCUUUCCACUCUACCUAUCAUACCAACCUUUCUUAAUGACAACACUAAUAAUCCAAUCUCAGUAAGUUCAGAAAGCAUUGGUACAGGCACUUCAGUUCAUCAUGCACAGCAAGAAGUUACUCCAGAAUCACAACAAGGUACAAUCAGUAACUCUUCACCUAUUCUCAACUAUCCAUCUUUAUCUCAUGAACCUGUAUCUAAUUCAUCAUUACCUCACACACUCAACUCCCCUCAACAACAACCUAAUAAUCCCAUUACACAUUCUCAUACACCACCAAAUACACACCAGAUGAUAACUAGGAGCAAAGCAGGUAUCUUCAAGCCAAAAGUAUAUAUUGCUGAUCUUGUUCACAAAGAACCAGACACUGUACAUGAGGCAUUAAAUGACUCAAAAUGGCUGCAAGCCAUGAAGGAGGAAUAUGAUGCCUUAAUCAGUAAUGAUACAUGGAUAUUGGUUCUAAGACAAGCUAAUCAGCAAGUUGUUGAGAAUAAAUAGAUUUACAGAAUCAAAUACAAUACUGAUGGAAGUGUUGCUAAAUACAAGGCACGACUGGUUGCUAAAGGCUUCCAACAAAUAGAAGGUGUAAACUAUUUUGAAACUUUCAGUCCUGUUAUUAAACCAGCAACUGUCAGAGUAGUACUGAGCUUAGCAGUGAUGAAUCAGUGGAAAGUAAGGCAAGUUGAUGUACAUAAUGCCUUCCUUAAUGGAGAGUUAACAGAAGAGGUGUUUAUGUGUCAACCUGAAGGAUUUGUUGAUGAUCAGAAACCCAAUUAUGUGUGUAAGCUAUAUAAGAGCUUGUAUGGACUCAAAUAAGCUCCAAGAGCUUGGUAUGACAAACUGAAAAAUUGUCUGCUGCAGUGGGAUUUUGCUAACACCAGUUCAGACUCUUCUUUGUUUAUCAGAAGAAGUUCAAAUUCAUUGAUUUUAGUACUCAUAUAUGUGGAUGACAUCUUGAUUACAGGACCAAAUACUGCUAAAUUGGAAAGCUUUAUAGUUCAGUUCAAUACAACCUUUACUUUGAAGGACCUUGGAAUUUUAUCAUACUUUCUUGGAGUUGAGGUGUUAUAUGAUGCAGGCUGCAUUUAUUUGUCACAAAAGAAAUAUGUGAGAGACUUGUUGUCCAAGGUUGAAAUGAUAAACUGCAAAGGAAUUGAUACUCCUAUGAGUACUGGAACAAAGCUGCAGAAAGUUGUACAAGGAGAGCUUGGUUAUUAUCUUGAGGAUCCUUCACACUAUAGAAGCAUAGUUGGGGGAAUGCAAUAUCUAAUAUGAACCAGACCAGAAAUUGCGUUUGCUAUCAACAAGCUUAGUCAGUAUGUUUCAACAAGCUUAGUCAGUUGAACUGGCCUGUAAACGAGUAUUGAGGUAUCUGAAAUCCACUCAAGACUAUGGUUUGAAAUUUACAAGAGAAGGAAGCAUGCAGCUCACUGGUUUUAUAGAUGCAGACUGGGCAUGUGAUCUAGAUGACAGGAGAUCAAUUGGUGCUUAUUGCAUCUACUUGGGAAAUAAUUUGAUUUCAUGGUCUUCAAAGAAGCAAUCUGUGGUAACAAGAUCUAGUGCUGAGAGUGAGUAUAGAGCAUUGGCAGCAGCUGCAAUCUUUGUUUACUGAACUGGGGAUUAAUUGCACAGAUAAACCAACAAUUUGGUGUGACAAUGUUAGUGCCACUGAGCUUGCAAGAAAAUCCAAUGUACCAUUCAAGAACCAAGCAUAUUGAAAUAGAUAUGCAUUUUAUUCGCAAUAAAGUAGUUGCAGGAGAGCUGAGAAUUCAAUAUAUUCCAAGCGAAGAACAGGUUGCUGAUAUAAUGACCAAGCCUUUAUCAUUUGUAAAAUUCAACUACUUAAGAUCCAAACUCAACGUUCAUUUGUGUCCGCUGAGUUUGAGGGGGGCUGUGAAGAUAGCUCAUUAUGGAGAAAGAAGUAAUGAAAAGCAGAGGAAGGAAAAGCUUAAGCUGAAACGUGAUGCAGAGGAUAGUAGGAGUACAACUAUCAGCUCAGAUGCCAGCUCAGCAAAGUUAGUUUCAUACAGUUAGAAAUACAAAACAUAUUGCAAUAAGAGUUAGCUGAUUACUUCGUUAAUUAGUUACAUUGAUUGUAAUCAAGGUUGAUGGAAGUAUAAAUACUCAGCUUGUAAUACUCUGUGAUUAAAGCAACAAUAAUAAAAUUCAGUUUACGAUUAAUCCAGAUCUUCAACUCAAUAUUUUCUCUAGAAACAAACAACUUCUUUUAUAAUUUUUUCAACAAGCAAGCAAUUAUAAAGAAUUUGACAAGACCAAAUAACGUGGUUCGGCAACAAGAUGCCUACAUCCACGACUGAAAUCAGCUCUACUCUGAAACUUUUAUUGAAUGAGAUGCGUCACAGAUGAUUUUUGAGAUUACAAAGACUAAAACUUCCCUACUGGGAUUUUUCUAUCUCUCUCACUAAGCCACUCAAAAUCAAUCACUAAGACUUUGUAACUACCAGCUUGUUUUCUUUUAUAAUUCCAGGCAACAACUUUAACAACUGAUGGCCCCACACCAACACCAGCUCAGCACGCCACCUCAUUUACUCUUAACAGAAUAUAACUACCCCAGGCUUCACAUUGACUUAUAUUUGCAUUUAUCUUAAAGUUUUUAUUAACUCGAGUGUCUUGUGAGUGACUGCUAAACAAAGAAAUUUUUUUUAGCUUAAUCAAAUUAGAUAUCGGUUGUGGCUAAGUUAUAAAAUAAUGUCCAUAAGUAUUUUAUGCUGUUAUGGAUAUACAUUCCAAGAUACAUUGUGUUUGUUUUCGGACGAUCCAUCUAAUUUGUUAGCUUAAUGCAUCGUGCAUAGCUAGUACGUUUUGUGCUGAUUAAUUAAAGUCGGUUCUAAUUCCAGAAGUUUUAUGAUUCAUUUUCAACUUAAUUGAUUUUUAUACUCUUGUGGGUGAACGGCAAUGAAAGAAUAUUAAAUAAAUUUGUAAACUUAAGCCAAGUAGACUGAUACAUCUUUGUUUUCCCAGAACGGGUAAUUUUUUCUUUAACACAAACUAGAAGAUAAAAGCUUUAAUCAAUAAUAUUUACAACGGAAUUCCAGCUUAUGUUCGCUCCCCUUGGACGACUGAAUUGGUAAUCUGAAAAGAAACAAACGGAACUUGCCACGUUUAAUAUAUCUGAAAUAUCAAUCAUUACAAUGCCACUGCGCUCAGAAAUUCAUUUCAUCGCUGUCAAGUGGAUGAAAGGCUAAUAACUUCCAGAUCAGAGAUGAAAAACAUCAUCUAUCAAGUACGUUGUCAUUGAAAUCAACAAGUACAGAUGGGGUGGACACACCUGAAAUUCUCUGUCUAAUGGGUUCCUGCUGCCUUACACUUGCUAAAUUGAGUUACCUUCAACACCAAGAAAGAAAAGCAAGCCGAAGCUGCAUUGAUUUCAUCAAUCCAUUCUUGGCAUUCACGCAAUCCUGAACAAAACAAAAGACAAAUUAACCAGACAUGCUUCCUGAGAAAGAAAGUCAAUGGUGCCCGUUUAAGGAAUAAACCACAAAGAAAACCCAAACCCACUCUAGUCUUUCGCUUAAUAUCAGUCAACUGAGAUGCUGUUUGAACAAGAAAAUGUAUCCAUCAUCUGAAAAUAAACGCAAGCAACUAUAUAUCCAAAACAACAAAUAUCCAAAAUUAACAUUAAUCAAAAUCUGCAACUCCAAAACUACGACAGACAAGCUUGCAAAUUUCUUUUGAUUACCUAUUGUUGCUAGCUGUAAGGUGAAUUCAAACACCUGGUUACUAAACGGCGGCGUUUCAAGUUUCUUAAUGGCUUAACAAACUCACAUGAGAAGCACGGCUGUUUUAUUACUUUGAAACGGCAAAGAGUGCAAGCGUUUUGGAGUCACUUGAAUUAAGUAAAUCACGCGAGCAAUCCUUGCACACGUGUCAUAUAGCUGUGCAUUCUGGGUUGUUAAGAGACUGAUUUAUAAGCUGAUGAAUCAGGAGAAGCUGCGUGAAUGCUAGAGAAAUACUGAGAGGAAUUGUAGAGAGAGAGAGAGAGAGAGUUAAAUCUUAGUCUUUGUUCUUUUGUUCUCAGCUCUCUGUAACAAACACCUUGAAUCUUUCAAUGAAAGCCUGCUGGUGGAUUCACCCGUGGAUGAAAGCCAUUAAUGGCUGAACCACUUUAAAUUUGCUGAGUGUUCUGUUGAUUGUUCUCUGCUCUUAGUUGUUCUGUUCUUGUGCUGUUAAUAAUCCUUUGUUUGAUUCAAGUGAGGUUUAUUGAUUCUUCCAAAUCGAUUAAUCUGUUACAUGCAACUCGAUUGAUCUUGACAAAGGAUCUUGGGUAGAAUCUGAUUUUUUGUUGUGUGAAUCGAACGAAUCAGAUUCUACACCUAUCAACCACGGUGACAAGAUUAGAAAAAUAAUUGAGUUGAAAAUGCUGUAUUGACAAUCCUCAUUUGAUUUUAAAAAAAAAAUAGAGGUGAUGUGAUAUAUCUUUCAGUAUGCAAUCUAAACAAUAAAUUUUUAAAAUAACAAAAAAUGGCAUAUUAGAAAAUCUAGACUAGGACAGAUCGACUAUAUUCUCUCCAUGGUAGUAAAUUUAAGAUAAAAAUAAAAAGUAAGAAGCAUUUUUUAUCAAUUUAGCUAAUGAUACAACUGUAUGGGGGAUAAAAGAAAGCACAUUGUUGUAGGGGAUAUGAGAUGGAAUGGAGCAAUAAAAUCUACUCCUCUAAAUACGAUUGUUACUCGUAUAAGAAUUUCCCAUCUAUGUUAACGCAAGGAAUGUUUGCAAUCUUGGGCCACUCUUUUCCUUUAUCCCUUUUGCACUCUUUUUUCAGCUUCGGACAAGCUUCGAUUGUUAAAUCCAGGAGUGAGGUUGGAAGGCCCUCCUCUGGAAAAGAUUUAAGAUUUGGACAUUUAAUGAGCAGCAAAAAUUCAAGAGAGGUUAGGCUUUGAAAACCCAUUGAAGAUAGGUAUUUCAAUUUCGACAACUUAACAAUAAAGAGGUUUCUGAGAGAGGUCGGCAACAUCAUUCCCAUCUCCUCGUCCGGAAAACACUCUGCUUCAUCACAUCCAUAAAUAUCAAGGCUUCUGAGAGAGGUAAGCCUGUGCAACCCCCACUGAAUGAGUGGCUUAUAAAUUUUCACAUCAACUCCAAUACUAAGUGUUGUUAGAUUGGUGGGAAAACCUUCCUCUGGAAAAGAUACAAUGCUCGGACAUUCACUUAUGUAAAAAUGUUGAAGAGAGUUGAGUUUGUGCAUGUCACUGGGCAGGGCUUCAAGCUUCUCACAAUCGGCUAUCCAAAUGCUCUGUAAAUUAUGCAGGCCAUUGGGUAUUGACUUCAGCUCUGGACAACUACUUAUGUGGAGGUAUUGAAGCCCCUCAAGUAGCUGGAUUCCUGAUGAUAAACUUGUGAGCUCUGGGCAGCGCCUUAUCUCCAGAUGUUUCAGCUUCACUGAUGAAGAAGAAGAAGUAUCAUCAUCUCCACCAUCGACCAAAUGCUGCAAGUUCUUACAAUUCUCUAUCUCAAGCCUUUUAAGAGAUGCUGGUAGCUUGCUUCUUGCAAUGAAUAUUACAGAAUCACAAUCUCGGAUGUACAAACUUUCCAGUUGUGAAUCGUUGCCUAUAAUUUCCUCAGGCAAUGUUUUUAAAGCUCUGGCAUUUCCAAUUUUAAGAGACCGCAGAUUAUUGAGAAAAAGUUUAAUCUCUGGAAAUGAAACUAGACUUACGCAGCUUUCAUCAAGCGACACCUCUUCAGGGGAGGUGAUAACAUGCAACCCUUUCUCUGGCUGCUCAAGUUCAUGCCAUGACCUGAUCCAUUCAAAAUUUCCAAUCCGCAAAGUCUCUACUUGAUGAAGUCCUUGCUUUAAAAAUUUCUUAACUCCAAAAUAUUGGAAAUAACUGUCACAGAGUCUGCUUCUGGACAACCACUAUGUAUCAUCCCCUUGCAUCCGCGUAUCUGCAAUGUAUCAUUUGAAAUAGUCAAAGACUCGAUCAACUUUGAGUCAAUUGGAGUGCUGCACACAAGUCCCUUGCAUUCAUGAAUGUCUAAUUUGCAAAGAUUCAGAAAGCUUGAGAAAGAAACCACCAACUCUCCACAUUUUCUAACAACUAGUUUCUCUAAUGAAGGGAGAUGCUCUGGCAAUUUUCCAGAGAACAUGGGACAUCUGACCAUGGAAAGUUCACGGAGGCUGGAGAAUCCUGCAACAAUAUCAUUUUCUUCCAAUUUAGUGUCCCAAUACUCCCACUCUGGUAAAUUCUCAAAACAGAGAAUCUCCAAUGAUUGAAAAGGCUUUGAGCAAUCCUCACCAUAAACCUCAGCACCCAUGCUUUUCAGUUUCAUCAAACCUUUAAUAGUAAGAUGUUUAAGUGAACUCAACAACCCGAGCGAUGGCAAGGAUGUGCAAUUUUCACAGUUUUCUAAUUUAAGAACCUCCAUCUUGGAGAAAGAUGUAUCUCCUAUCCAAGAAGGAAAUUUUUUUCCACCAUAGCCCUCGAUUGCAAGUUUCUUGAUGUUUGUACAAGGUUUUAGCAUGCCAAGUACAAGUUCUUCUCCAUCCUUAUUUCGUGAGUUGUCAAACUGAGAUCCCCAUUGCAAUGACAAUGCUUCUAGAUUCUGCUUCUCGCAUAACAUCGCUUCGCUUGCCUCCCACGUACGGUCCACAUUUUCCAAUCCUGAGAUGCAAAGUUCUCCGCCAAGAAAAUUUAAAUUCUUCAAAUCCGUCAAAGUGGAAACUUUUCCCUUGCCCACAAUAAAAUUAGACAACGUUUGAAGACACUUCAACUCCUUCAUUCCCGGUGGCAUCCCUUUUAGUGAAUUUGCACCUUUUGUUUGGUAACAGAUAAAAGGAGGAAAAAAGGGAGAGUGGGGGCAUGACUUUUAUCUCAUCCAUAACUUCCGAAAGUGGGAGAGAACAAGGGGGGAAAGAGGGGAGUGGGGAGUUACCUAGGGGGGAUUAUUUAUUUAUUUUUUCUCUCUUCUCCAAGGGAGUUUUUUGGGCUCUCUUCCUCUCAUGGAAAAUUCUUGCUUUUACACUAUACUUUACUUUCUGUAAAUUCCUCGAAAAGCUUUGGGUUUGAAGGCAAUGCUUAUUAAGCCACAUGAGUGGUGGCACAAAUUUUUCCGAAAGGCCUAGAAACUGACUUGAGAGGCUUUGAGCAAUCCUCACCAUAAACCUCAGCACCCAUGCUUUUCAGUUUCAUCAAACCUUUAAUAGUAAGAUGUUUAAGUGAACUCAACAACCCGAGCGAUGGCAAGGAUGUGCAAUUUUCACAGUUUUCUAAUUUAAGAACCUCCAUCUUGGAGAAAGAUGUAUCUCCUAUCCAAGAAGGAAAUUUUUUUCCACCAUAGCCCUCGAUUGCAAGUUUCUUGAUGUUUGUACAAGGUUUUAGCAUGCCAAGUACAAGUUCUUCUCCAUCCUUUUUUCGUGAGUUGUCAAACUGAGAUCCCCAUUGCAAUGACAAUGCUUCAAGAUUCUGCUUCUCGCAUAACAUCGCUUCGCUUGCCUCCCACGUACGGUCCACAUUUUCCAAUCCUGAGAUGGAAAGUUCUCCGCCAAGAAAAUUUAAAUUCUUCAAAUCCGUCAAAGUGGAAACUUUUCCCUUGCUCACAAUAAAAUUAGACAACGUUUGAAGACACUUCAACUCCUUCAUUCCCGGUGGCAUCCCUUUUAGUGAAUUUGCACCUUUUGUUUGGUAACAGAUAAAAGGAGGAAAAAAGGGAGAGUGGGGGCAUGACUUUUAUCUCAUCCAUAACUUCCGAAAGUGGGAGAGAACAAGGGGGGAAAGAGGGGAGUGGGGAGUUACCUAGGGGGGAUUAUUUAUUUAUUUUUUCUCUCUUCUCCAAGGGAGUUUUUUGGGCUCUCUUCCUCUCAUGGAAAAUUCUUGCUUUUACACUAUACUUUACUUUCUGUAAAUUCCUCGAAAAGCUUUGGGUUUGAAGGCAAUGCUUAUUAAGCCACAUGAGUGGUGGCACAAAUUUUUCCGAAAGGCCUAGAAACUGACUUGAGCGUCGGAGGCUUCACGCUGGAAAAACUUCGGGCGCCUCUGACCGUCUUCUAUGAUUUCAGGUAUUCACAGAUUAAUCGCCGGUGGUUGUAGGACAUCUAAACGAUUGACCAAUCGAUUCUCUACCAAAUAAAUCUAAUGCUGGUGUAGAAAUCUGAUAUUAAAUCGCUAAUAGACUAGAUCAGAUUUUAGGCAUCAAUAUUUGGCGCCGUCUGUGGGGACCGAUACAAGAAGCCAAUUUGUUAUCUCCAUCAACUUUCAUCUAGCCAAAGCGAAGGCAAAAUAUUAUCAUGUGUGAAUUGAAGCAACCUGUCUUUUAUUUCUGAACUCACGUGAAAGAAGCAAAGCGAAUCGGUAAAAAACUAACCCAAUGUUGGCAUUUAGAAGCUUCAGAUCGGUAAAAUCUGUCACAGAUUCAUCUCCACUUGUAUUUCCAAUUAAAUUACUGCAAUUACUUUCAAUUUAUUUGUUUGUGUGCAUGAUAUAUUGCAUCAAAUGAUCAAUUGUGAUUUGGCUUUCAUGAGCAUGAGAAAUUGAUUAUAGAGGAUAGAUUUAAAAAAUACAUAUACUGAAUAUAUGAAAUCAUAUCACAAACUAGUGGCCACAUGCUUGUUGGUUUAUAGUCAACUGCUGAUCAUGUGCUUACCAUUAAAGUCUUGCACGCAUACAAGUUUAGAUAUUAAGAUUUUAACCACUUUCCCAAUCGGAUUAUGCCGCGGUUUCAGCAUGCAUUUUGAUGGGUUUAAUCAUUUCGAGAUUUAAUUACUAAUUGGAUGCAGAGAUGUGUGAGUUUGUAAUUUCAUAAACAGGUUUCAGAUGAUAUUUGUUAAAAGUGGUGAUACAAGAUCACGCACAGUAAGUGUUCGACAAAAUGACUGACAGAAUUUAAAAAAAAAAAAAAAAUCGCAGCCUCAAAUUGUAAAGAGCAAGCUUAGGACUCUACAGAGGAACAAUCAAGAUGGUGAGAUUAGUUGGACUGGAAAACAAAGGCUGCAACUGAAAUUACAGGGAGUGACGCUCAAUAGAACAUUGCGCAAGAGCCAAGGACUAAAAUCCAGAAUAAUUCUAAGGGAGCAAAGCAGAGUCAAGCUCGGGACUUGUUUGAUGAAGUACCAAUGAAAUAAUGCAGAGCACAAUCUCAGGUGCACUUGUUCUAAAACCUCAGUUUUAUAUUUAUCCUUUAAAUCCACUACCGUUAUAGGUCAGAAAUUAAAUUUUUGAUAGUUUAUUACAGCUGAUCAAUUUGCAGAGCAAAUCCAUAUUUAAGGAUUUAAAGAAAAAAACCUCAAAUAAGAGCACAUCGAAGGAACACAUUUGUAGGAAUCAGAACAGGUCAGAAGUUAUAUUUUGAUUUACAAGCAGUUUUUUCUAUGAAAAUUUAAUUAUUUCUCUAAAUUCUGCUAUGUGAGAUGAGGAUACCUUAUAUUCAUUAAAUUGAUUGUGCUCAUAUUAGGGCUGACGGUAUAAAUUAGUUAACUUGAUUUCUUGAAAGUUACUCAAUAUGAGAAUAAUUUAAGAAAUGAGAGCAAGGCUAGCAUUGAGAAGCCAAUCAAAGUUUACUAAUAAGGCAUGCAAAGGCUCACCAAGUCUCAAAGCCUGUUUUAUGGCGAGACCAGAAGCCAAGCGUGCCAGGAUCUGCUCGACCAAGCGAAGGCGAGCAGNNNNNNNNNNNNNNNNNNNNNNNNNNNNNNNNNNNNNNNNNNNNNNNNNNNNNNNNNNNNNNNNNNNNNNNNNNNNNNNNNNNNNNNNNNNNNNNNNNNNNNNNNNNNNNNNNNNNNNNNNNNNNNNNNNNNNNNNNNNNNNNNNNNNNNNNNNNNNNNNNNNNNNNNNNNNNNNNNNNNNNNNNNNNNNNNNNNNNNNNNNNNNNNNNNNNNNNNNNNNNNNNNNNNNNNNNNNNNNNNNNNNNNNNNNNNNNNNAUUGACCAAUCGAUUCUCUACCAAAUAAAUCUAAUGCUGGUGUAGAAAUCUGAUAUUAAAUCGCUAAUAGACUAGAUCAGAUUUUAGGCAUCAAUAUUUGGCGCCGUCUGUGGGGACCGAUACAAGAAGCCAAUUUGUUAUCUCCAUCAACUUUCAUCUAGCCAAAGCGAAGGCAAAAUAUUAUCAUGUGUGAAUUGAAGCAACCUGUCUUUUAUUUCUGAACUCACGUGAAAGAAGCAAAGCGAAUCGGUAAAAAACUAACCCAAUGUUGGCAUUUAGAAGCUUCAGAUCGGUAAAAUCUGUCACAGAUUCAUCUCCACUUGUAUUUCCAAUUAAAUUACUGCAAUUACUUUCAAUUUAUUUGUUUGUGUGCAUGAUAUAUUGCAUCAAAUGAUCAAUUGUGAUUUGGCUUUCAUGAGCAUGAGAAAUUGAUUAUAGAGGAUAGAUUUAAAAAAUACAUAUACUGAAUAUAUGAAAUCAUAUCACAAACUAGUGGCCACAUGCUUGUUGGUUUAUAGUCAACUGCUGAUCAUGUGCUUACCAUUAAAGUCUUGCACGCAUACAAGUUUAGAUAUUAAGAUUUUAACCACUUUCCCAAUCGGAUUAUGCCAUGGUUUCAGCAUGCAUUUUGAUGGGUUUAAUCAUUUCGAGAUUUAAUUACUAAUUGGAUGCAGAGAUGUGUCAGAUUGUAAUUUCAGAAACAGGUUUCAGAUGAUAUUUGUUAAAAGUGGUGAUACGAGAUCACGCACAGUAAGCGUUAGACAAAAUGAUUGAUAGAAUAAAAAAAAAAAUCGCAGCCUCAAAUUGUAAAGAGCAAGCUUAGGACUCUACAUAGGAACAAUCAAGAUGGUGAGAUUAAUUGGACUGGAAAACAAAGGCUGCAACUGAAAUUACAGGGAGUGACGCUCAAUAGAACAUUGCGCAAGAGCCAAGGACUAAAAUCCAGAAUAAUUCUAAGAAGGGAGCAAAGCAGAGUCAAGCUCGGGAUUUGUUUGAUGACGUACCAAUGAAAUAAUGCAGAGCACAAUCUCAGGUGCACUUGUUCUAAAACCUCAGUUUUAUAUUUAUCCUUUAAAUCCACUACCUGACUUCAAAAAUCUUAUGGAUGGGGUUUUGACUUAUUAAGCCGUUAAUGAAAAAUAGUUAAGAUUACAUAUUAUAGAAUAUAUAGCAUAGCCAUAUAUUAGCACACAACAUGCUUGAUCUAAGGAUUGAUGGAACUUGGGUUAGCAUGAGAUCGUAUUUCCUUGAUACAGUGAUAUGACUUUGCUUAAACUUUUAUAUUACCAUUUAUUUGUUGAUUACAUAUUUUAUAUAAUAUGAUUUAUUUUAUAUAUAAAUUUCAAUAUCUAUAGUGUUAGUAAAUGGUGCUCUGCACCUUUAGCAAAGGUCUUUAAUAAUAUUGCUAACCAAAUAUUAUAGAUGGUAAGAAAAACACCAAGGAUGUUUAUCCAUUAAAGGCCCAAACAUAUAUAAAUAGCUAAAGCACAAGUUGUAAAUGUGAGCUAUUUUCUGGACAAAUUAUACGUUAUAGGUUAGAAAUUAAAUUUUUGAUAGUUUAUUACAGCUGAUCAAUUUGCAGAGCAAAUCCAUAUUUAAGGAUUUAAAGAAAAAACCUCAAAUAAGAGCACAUCGAAGGCACACAUUUAUAGGAAUCAGAACAGGUCAGAAGUUAUAUUUUGAUUUACAAGCAGUUUUUUCUAUGAAAAUUUAAUUGUUUCUCUAAAUUCUGCUAUAUGCGAUGAGGAUACCUUAUAUUCAUUAAAUUGAUUGCGCUCAUAUUAGGGCUGACGGUAUAACUUAGUUAACUUGAUUUCUUGAAAGUUACUCAAUAUGAGAAUAAUUUAAGAAAUGAGAGCUAGGCUAGCGUUGAGAAGCCAAUCAAAGUUUACUAAUAAGGCAUGCAAAGGCUCACCAAGUCUCAAAGUCUAUUUUAUGGCGAGACCAGAAGCCAAGUGUGCCAGGAUUUACUCGACAAGCAUGCCAGGAUCUGCUCGACCAAGCGAAGGCGAGCAGAUCACAAAAGUUCCAAAAAUCUCCUAAGGCACGCAAAGGCUCACCAAGCCUCAAAGCCUGUUUUAUGGCGAGACGGACAGAAAGCGAAGCAUGCCAGGAUCUGCUCGACCAAGCGAAGGCGAGCAGACCACAAAAGUUCCAAAAAUCUCCUAAGGCACGCAAAGGCUCCAUAAGUCUCAAAACCUCCUCGAUAGCGAGACAGAAAGCCAAGCUCGCCAGAAUCUGCUCGACCAUGUGAAGGCGCGCAGACAAUGAGAAUUUCAAAAAAGUUUCUAAGGCAAGUAAAGGCUCCAAAGUCUCAAAGUCUGCUCGAUGGCGAGAUAAGAAGUCAAGCUUGCUAGAAUCUGCCCGACCAUGUGAAGCCGAGCAGAAAGUAAAAAGAAAAAAAAAGGUACUACAAGUAAAAGGCUUACAGUCUCCAAAACUCCUCGCAGUGAGACGAAGUCAAAGUUUGCCUCUCUUGCCCGACUAAGAUUACGCGAGCAAGAGUUAUAUGAGCGAAAAAUGUUCUAAAGCAGAUAAAUGACUAAGUCUUAAAACUUACUUGAAAUGAGAUAAAUACCUAAACUUAUGAAACCUGCUUUGCAUGAUUAUGUGAGUAGGAAAAUGGUAUAUUUAAAAGCAUGUAAAAGUUUAAAAACUUGAAACUUUUUUGUUAAGGGCAAGGUUAAUUUAAGCAAUCCCGAGCCGAUUUAUGGCAACCACCUCGAGGUCACUUUAAAAUUUAUAUAGUUUCCAGUCUUGAUUCGCAUGGCAACCACCUCGAGUUCACUUUAAAAUUUAUAUAGUUUCCAGUCUUAAUUCGUUAAAACUCUCAACACUAGAAACUGGGGGACUGGUGUUUGGUAACAGAUAAAAGGAGGAAAAAAGGGAGAGUGGGGGCAUGACUUUUAUCUCAUCCAUAACUUCCGAAAGUGGGAGAGAACAAGGGGGGAAAGAGGGGAGUAGGGAGUUACCUAGGGGGGAUUAUUUAUUUAUUUUUUCUCUCUUCUCCAAGGGAGUUUUUUGGGCUCUCUUCCUCUCAUGGAAAAUUCUUGCUUUUACACUAUACUUUACUUUCUGUAAAUUCCUUGAAAAGCUUUAGGUUUGAAGGCAAUGUUUAUUAAGCCCCAUGAGUGGUGGCACAAAUUUUUCCGAAAGGCCUAGAAACUGACUUGAGUGUCGGAGGCUUCACGCCGGAAAAACUUCUGGCGCCUCUGACCGUCUUCUAUGAUUUCAGGUAUUCACAGAUUAAUCGCCGGUGGUUGUAGGACAUCUAAACGAUUGACCAAUCGAUUCUCUACCAAAUAAAUCUAAUGCUGGUGUAGAAAUCUGAUAUUAAAUCGCUAAUAGACUAGAUCAGAUUUUAGGCAUCAACACCUUUUAUAUCGAGAUGACGUAACUGAAGCAAAUUCCCCAUUUUGGAUAGCAACUUAAUCAAACAAUAACAAUCUCUUAAUAUCAAUAUUUGCAAGUUCAGUAGUAUCCUUUUAAAGAUAGCACCCUUAGCUUCUUGAAUUUUGGCAACAACUCCGAUAGAAACAUGUUACUAAUGUAAGUGGUGGCUCCUAUUGUGCUUAUUUGCAAGAAUGUCCUCAGUUGUGCAAGUUGAGCAUUACCGAUAACUUCAAAUUUAUUUUUACCAUCACACCAUCCUUGAUUGUAAGAAUAAUGACGAACCCUUUCAAAUCUUCUCGAUGGCUUAUUGACCUCUUCUAACCUGAAAAUAGUGUCGCCGGAAACCAAUUGAAUGAGAUCAUGAACUAGGUCAUGCAUUACAAAUUUAGAGCUAUCAACACAUGAUUGCUGGAAAAUUGACCUUGACACUAGAACUCGAAAACACUCUCUUCCCCAUUCUUCUGGCUGCUUAUUGUUUUCGGAAUAUUGCUGGAUGACACCUUCAGCUAUCCACAAAAAACCAAGCUCAUUCUGCUCAAAUUCAUAAUCUUUAGGGAAAAUAGCACAAUAAGCAAAACAUCUCUUCAACUGAGAAGGAAGAUAGUGAUAACUCAAUCUUAACACUGAGAGAAUGCCAUUUUGUUGAGGAAGAUCCAAUAUAUUGCUGUUCAAUAUUUCAUCCCAUUCAUCAUGUCUCUUGGAACGUAAAAGUCCCCCAAGAGUUUUUGCCGCUAGGGGCAAGCCUCCACACUUUCCAACAACUUUCUCGCGAAAUAAAUCUGAAAUUUGUUGUGCAGUAAUAUCUUGACCCACAAACGCGUGCAUCAUGAACAGGGACCAGCAAUCUUCAUCUGACAGGCACUGUAGGUUAUAUUGUUGAAUUGGUUCCAUUGUUGCUGCAACAUGUGCAUGGCGAGUGGUGACAAUAAUUUUACUGUUUGGUGCAGCAGCCAGGAAUGGAGCUUUCAGAUCUUCCCACAAGCAGUAGUCCUCGUUCCAUACAUCAUCUAAGACCAGCAAUAAUUUUUUCCCAUCAACAGCCCUUUUUAUCUGAACCUGCACUUCGUUUAAAGCCUUGAGAUCACAUGAUGCGAAGGUGAUUGACUCAAGAAGAGCCCUUGAAAUGUUCAACACAUCAAAGUCAUCAGAGACACAAACCCAUGCUUUUACAUCGAACUUGGAGUCUUCAAUGGCCCUGUCAUUGUAGACCUCCCGAGCAAGGGUUGUUUUUCCGACCCCAGCCAUGCCAACGAUUGGUAUUACAGCAAGGUUGGAAUGAUCACUUGACGUAUCAGUCAGUACCAUUUCAAGCAUUUUGGCCUUAUCUUGCUGCCUUCCAAAAACAGCACGUUCAGUUGACACACUUGAAGUGGGUGUUCUUCGUUGUGCAGUAGUAGUUGAUGAUGUCCCUCCAGGGGUCAAUUGCAAUCCAAGAUGAAUUCUUUGAUUGCAGAGUUGAUCAAAUCGGCCGGUGAUAUCUUUUAUGCUGGACCGCAUUUUGCCAUUGAAAUUAACAGUGUUCUGAAUUUUGAAACAACCGAAACAAGGUGCCGGGACGAGCAUCUGAACUUUGCUGCUGCUUGCUCCAUGAUCACGAUCUGCAAUGAACUUGCGAUCCAAAGCCUUGGUGGCAAACUCAUCAAGAAUGUCCUCAGCAUCAUAAGCCAAGUCUCGGAGAUCGUCCAGCCACAAUUUCACAGCCUCGUCCGUCAGUUGCUUCUCCUCUGCGUCCCUCAGCACAGCCUGAAUCAUCAUCAAACAGUCUUCCCAUUUCUUCAACUCGGAAGCAACCCCACCUCGAAGUUGGCUAACAAAGUUGAGCAAAUCACCACCAUGGGGAGCCAAUCUGUCAAAAAGCACCUGAAAGACAGCUGAGAGUAAGAGCUCUCCAACAGCCAUAGUUUAGUUUUGUACUUUUGUUCACAGGAAAGUAAAGGAGUGGAGUGUAGGAUCAAAUUGGAUUGAAUGCAAGUAGAGCAAAAAUCGGAAGCAGUGCAUCAAAAGCCUGCAGAAAUGGUUAGAUUCAAAACCGUGGACUCCACAUAUCACGAUCAUCAUCGAAAUUUUGAGAUGGCCGUAAAAUAAACUUCUUUUUCUUCGUUUUUCAAAAGUCAAGUCUUGCAUUGACUGAUUCUAGACAUUUCCAUUUCACACUGCGGUCUUGAAACAGAUUUUCUUUAUUCAUAUAAUUUCGUGUAUGGAUUUUCAAGAGUAGCUGUAGAAAUUUACUUUUGAGGCGACCAACUUUUUUAGCAUGCCGUAGAGUUGAAUUUUUCACAUAUACACAAAAGGUUUAUCAGAAAAACUUAAAGAAAAGUCAGUAUUUGCUUCUAACAUAUAUUUCCUGCACUGGCCAGUCAAAUAAAGUAUCUUAGAAAAUCUUAAAGAAAAGUCAGUAUUUGAUUUUAACUCAGUUCCUCCACUGGCCAGUCAAAUAAAAUUUCUUAAGAAUCAUUCAACACCAAGAAAGCAAAUGAAAAUAAGAGACUCGGGAUAUUUUAAUCCGACCUGUAUUUGAUCUCAGGCAGUACUGCAGGAUGUUAUAAGAAAUUUAAUUAUAUAUAUGUUUUAAAUAUUUUAUCUACGACUAUUAAUUAAUAAUAAAUUCAGCCGAAAAAAUAUUAUACUUGAAUCUUGAUACAUGCAUAUGAAGAAAAAGAAAUUAAGCCCAUAAAUCAUGGAAUAGUUUUCAUAUAGCUAUAAAGAGUCUGAAAAUAAGCCUGAAGGAACCAACUACCAAUAAUAAAUUUCUCAACAUGAUGAAAUUGCCACGAACUUUUGUAACGGUUCAUUAUAAUCUUGAGUGAAUUCUGUAUGUUCCAGAAAUCCACAGUGCUUAGGAAUAUGACACCUUUUAUUAUCCAACACUUUAAAUAUCAAUUGGAUUAGAUAGAUUCAGGCAACCUUUUAUCUUCUACUUUUCUUCAGAAUAUGUCUUUGCCAUUUAUCUGAUUACAGGUACAGCAGGAGAUACAAUUUAGGUUGCGGCUGAUAUACAGCUGCCUGUGCAAGGGUGUGCUUCCUUGCCUCUUCAAUGAUAGUAGAUAGUAGUGUGAGCAAUAGAUAGCAGCAAAGCAACAUUGGGCCUUUAGAAUCUUAUAAGAAGGAUACAAGGAUUUACACUUUUCAGAUAUUAUUUUUACCAAUUUGCUUGCCUCCGUAAUCCCCUAGGGGAGAAAAAAGGAAAAUAAAAGUUAUUUUCUUCUCUUUGGUUACAUGAGUGAAAUUUUCUACCUCUAGCCCUUGGAUGGGAUGGAAAUUGCAGGCUAGAACAUAUAUCAAGGAAUUUGUUCAUGGGGAUCUAGGGCGCACCAAUCCAAGGUAUAAAACACGAUUGAAUAGUGUUAUGACAAAAAUCCUUGUUCCAGUUCAUUUUUACUGUCGUGCAUAAAUAUUUUAUGUAGAGCACUGAUACUUAGACACAAUCAAGACCAUCAAGGUAGCAAAUAAGAAAAUGUUCAUGCAACAAUUCCACUGUACACACAAAAUGACAGCACUGUUUAUACUACAGUGCCAUCUUUUUUGUCAUGGCCAAAUAUCAAUUUUCUUUUAUUUAUGUUGAACUUUUUGUUUCUCUGUUUUUCUACAGCUUUGGAUCAAUUCUAGGAUGCAGAGCAAAGACGCUGCAACGUGAUGUUACAAAUGUAAAAAUGGACUGUUUCCUAAUUGAAUGAGGUUACUCAUAAAUGACAAUGCAAGUUAUUUAUGGCCAAUGAUGAUCAUUAUUAUCAUUUAACACCUGAAUUACAAUAUUGAAAAUGAUUAUUAUUAUUAUUUUGAGAAGUGUGCCUUUAUGAAAAAUUAUAGCACCACUCCACGAGCUCUUUUUUGACAUUAUUUUAACCCAAAUGGAUUGUCUUUAAAAGGUUCAAGAAGUUAGAUCGUUCAACAAACCGCAGGCUCAACUUUUCUUUUUUACCAAAUCUCAUAAGUCCCUUUAUCGAGGCUACUUUAAGGAGAAAUUCUAGAAGAUCUCUGAUAUAUUAUAACCAAUUGAUGCAUACAUGCCAUGUAUAGUUGAAUUUAAUAUAACCACCACUUACAUGAUAGUUUUUCAAAGUAAAUGCACACAUGUCAUAGCAUCAUUUGUUUGUUGUAUGGCUGACAUGGUACCUCUGAUGUAUUCUAGAAUUUCUCUACUUUAAGAAACACUUUAUUGCCCACUUUAAACUCUAAGUUCCUCUUCCGAUUGUUUGCAUAGCUCUUUUGUCUGCAUUGAGCCACUUUCAUUCUUCCUCUUAUCUUCACAAUGGCUUUACAAGUUUGUUGAAACUCUUGAGCCCUAAAAUGCACAAACUUAGUCAACCUGUUUAUAAUCACCCAAAUUGUAUCAUAGCCUUUUUUCUGAUUUUGGCAAUCCUGAAACAUGAUCCAUGCCUAAGUGUUCCCACUUCUGCUAUAGCACCAUUAAAGACUAAUAAUCCAGACGAUCUUUGAUGCUCAACCUUGACUUACAAACAUGUCAAGCAUUCUUUAACAUAUUUGCAAUCUCCCUCUUAAUAUUAGCCUACCAAUAAAUAGCUUGAAGAAUCAGCUUUAAUUCUUACAUAUUAUAUAUUUUAGCCCACCAAUAUAUAGAUAUUGUGUUAACAUAUAUGUAUCCAUAAUGUUGAUUUUGAUGAUAACAAACAAGAUUAACAAAGAUUAAGCAUUUAAAAGCUCAAAUUAUUUUUCAUACAUUUUAAAUAAAUCAUUAUCUUCAUAAAUGGUUUUAUACCUAGUGGAAAAAUGAUUUUAUGAAAUUGGUUGUUUUUAAGUUGGUGGUUAAUUAAACAAGUUUUGAGAACUUCGAAAUCAAUAACUACUAUUUUGAAAUUCUAGAAAUGAACCUAUUUGAAAAGUCUUAUAAAGUUUUGGGGCAUAGCAUAAGUUUAGAAAGUUAUGGAAAUCAUCAUGUAUUGUUUUGAAAUUCUGAAAAUGGACUUGUUUGUAAACCUUUUUAAAAUUUUGGGUUAUAGUGUAAUUUUAGGAUAGUUUGAGGCCAAAUUAUAAUUUCAAAAAAUAAGUUCACUAUAGGAAACGGCUAACCCGUUACUGUAAACGUUUAACCGAUAAUGGGCAGAAAGUCUUUAGACAAUAAAAGUGAUUCGAUUAUUGAAAAGCGGUGAUUCGAUAAUUUGAACUGUGGCCUAACAGUAACUUGCUCGAGUCAAAAUGGCAAUCCAACUUGCAAUUAACAGUGAUCCAAUUAUGUGCAAAAAGUCAACAACGGCUAGUUUUCUUCUUCAACUAUAAAAAGGCUUAAUCAAAUUCAAAUGAUUGGCAUUGAGCUUACUCUUGCAUAUUUGAAUUGUCUUAAAUUUUUUUAUUCUUUCAUUGAAACACACUUUGGGCUUUUAUUUGUAAAUACAUAUAUUGUGUGAGUGAAAUUCUAUGUAAUAUUCAUCUUAAUAUCAAAAUUGAGAGAUUGGGAGUGUGGAAAACAUUUGGGAUUAGAGGUGUGAGAUUACCUCAAGUUGUAAAGGUUUUAUUGACACGUUGAAAGUCAAUUAUAAGCAUCUUGAAACCUUGAGUUGUAAGGUUUGGAUAGUGAAAUUCUCAAGCGCAUUGAGCUUGGAGGUAUGGAUGUAAACGGGUUUUGCUAAACCAUGUAAAAAUCUCGUAUUUUUUUUUCUCUAUCCUUACCUUUUAAAUUUACUUGUUGAAAUAAUAAUUAUUAUUAUUGGUUGUGGUAGUUUUUGAUAUUGAAUUGUGGUAUUGCUAUUGAAGAAACUCUUGAAAAUCCAAUUCACCCCCCUCUUGGGUUGCCAAGCUAGUAUUUCAAAUUGUGCAUAACAUAUUGAUAAUAUUUUGAUCAUUCUUGGUGAUUAUCACCAGACCUAUCACCUUUUAGUUCGGCACCAUCAAAAACUCCAAUUAGGGUCAUGCAUGGUUUUUUGUUAUUUAUAAUACCAGUAAAGUAAUGCGUGGAUUGUGUGCCACUUUAUCACGUCUAUUCUCUGCCUCAAUAGUUUUAUAAUCCCACAAUUUGGGGGCUAUGUUGCUAUGGACUAUAAACAACUUUUUAGUAUACGGGAAGUUAGGAAGACCUAGCUCUGAAACCACACACACACACACANNNNNNNNNNNNNNNNNNNNNNNNNNNNNNNNNNNNNNNNNNNNNNNNNNNNNNNNNNNNNNNNNNNNNNNNNNNNNNNNNNNNNGAUUUACACUUUUCAGAUAUUAUUUUUACCAAUUUGCUUGCCUCCGUAAUCCCCUAGGGGAGAAAAAAGGAAAAUAAAAGUUAUUUUCUUCUCUUUGGUUACAUGAGUGAAAUUUUCUACCUCUAGCCCUUGGAUGGGAUGGAAAUUGCAGGCUAGAACAUAUAUCAAGGAAUUUGUUCAUGGGGAUCUAGGGCGCACCAAUCCAAGGUAGAAAACACGAUUGAAUAGUGUUAUGACAAAAAUCCUUGUUCCAGUUCAUUUUUACUGUCGUGCAUAAAUAUUUUAUGUAGAGCACUGAUACUUAGACACAAUCAAGACCAUCAAGGUAGCAAAUAAGAAAAUGUUCAUGCAACAAUUCCACUGUACACACAAAAUGACAGCACUGUUUAUACUACAGUGCCAUAUUUUUUGUCAUGGCCAAAUAUCAAUUUUCUUUUAUUUAUGUUGAACUUUUUGUUUCUCUGUUUUUCUACAGCUUUGGAUCAAUUCUAGGAUGCAGAGCAAAGACGCUGCAACGUGAUGUUACAAAUGUAAAAAUGGACUGUUUCCUAAUUGAAUGAGGUUACUCAUAAAUGACAAUGCAAGUUAUUUAUGGCCAAUGAUGAUCAUUAUUAUCAUUUAACACCUGAAUUACAAUAUUGAAAAUGAUUAUUAUUAUUAUUUUGAGAAGUGUGCCUUUAUGAAAAAUUAUAGCACCACUCCACGAGCUCUUUUUUGACAUUAUUUUAACCCAAAUGGAUUGUCUUUAAAAGGUUCAAGAAGUUAGAUCGUUCAAUAAACCGCAGGCUCAACUUUUCUUUUUUACCAAAUCUCAUAAGUUCCUUUAUCGGGGCUACUUUAAGGAGAAAUUCUAGAAUACCUCUGAUAUAUUACAACCAAUUGAUGCAUACAUGCCAUGUAUAGUUGAAUUUAAUAUAACCACCACUUGUAUGAUAGUUUUUCAAAGUAAAUGCACACAUGUCAUAGCAUCAUUUGUUUGUUAUAUGGCUGACAUGGUACCUCCGAUGUAUUCUGGAGUUUCUCUGCUUUAAGAAACACUUUAUUGCCCACUUUAAACUCUAAGUUCCUCUUCCGAUUGUUUGCAUAGCUCUUUUGUCUGCAUUGAGCCACUUUAAUUCUUUCUCUUAUCUUCACAAUGGCUUUACAAGUUUGUUGAAACUCUUGAGCCCUAAAAUGCACAAACUUAGUCAACCUGUUUAUAAUCACCCAAAUUGUAUCAUAGCAUUUUUUUCUGAUUUUGGCAAUCCUGAAACAUGAUCCAUGCCUAAGUGUUCCCACUUCUGCUAUAGCACCAUUAAAGACUGUAAUAAUCCAGACGAUCUUUGAUGCUCAACCUUGACUUGCAGACAUGUCAAGCAUUCUUUAACAUAUUUUGCAAUCUCCCUCUUAAUAUUAGCCUACCAAUAAAUAGCUUGAAGAAUCAGCUUUAAUUCUUACAUAUUAUAUAUUCUAGCCCACCAAUAUAUAGAUAUUGUGUUAACAUAUAUGUAUCCAUAAUGUUGAUUUUGAUGAUAACAAACAAGAUUAACAAAUAUUAAGCAUUUAAAAGCUCAAAUUAUUUUUCAUACAUUUUAAAUAAAUCAUUAUCAUCAUAAAUGGUUUUAUACCUAGUGGAAAAAUGAUUUUAUGAAAUUGGUUGUUUUUAAGUUGGUGGUUAAUUAAACAAGUUUUGAGAACUUCGAAAUCAAUAACUACUAUUUUGAAAUUCUAGAAAUGAACCUAUUUGAAAAGUCUUAUAAAGUUUUGGGGCAUAGCAUAAGUUUAGAAAGUUAUGGAAAUCAUCAUGUAUUGUUUUGAAAUUCUGAAAAUGGACUUGUUUGUAAACCUUUUUAAAAUUUUGGGUUAUAGUGUAAUUUUAGGAUAGUUUGAGGCCAAAUUAUAAUUUCAAAAAAUAAGUUCACUAUAGGAAACGGCUAACCCGUUACUGUAAACGUUUAACCGAUAAUGGGCAGAAAGUCUUUAGACAAUAAAAGUGAUUCGAUUAUUGAAAAGCGGUGAUUCGAUAAUUUGAACUGUGGCCUAACGGUAACUUGCUCGAGUCAAAACGGCAAUCCAACUUGCAGUUAACAGUGAUCCAAUUAUGUGCAAAAAGUCAACAACGGCUAGUUUUCUUCUUCAACUAUAAAAAGGCUUAAUCAAAUUCAAAUGAUUGGCAUUGAGCUUACUCUUGCAUAUUUGAAUUGUCUUAAAUUUUUUUAUUCUUUCAUUGAAACACACUUUGGGCUUUUAUUUGUAAAUACAUAUAUUGUGUGAGUGAAAUUCUAUGUAAUAUUCAUCUUAAUAUCAAAAUUGAGAGAUUGGGAGUGUGGAAAACAUUUGGGAUUAGAGGUGUGAGAUUACCUCAAGUUGUAAAGGUUUUAUUGACACGUUGAAAGUCAAUUAUAAGCAUCUUGAAACCUUGAGUUGUAAGGUUUGGAUAGUGAAAUUCUCAAGCGCAUUGAGCUUGGAGGUAUGGAUGUAAACGGGUUUUGCUAAACCAUGUAAAAAUCUCGUAUUUUUUUUUCUCUAUCCUUACCUUUUAAAUUUACUUGUUGAAAUAAUAAUUAUUAUUAUUGGUUGUGGUAGUUUUUGAUAUUGAAUUGUGGUAUUGCUAUUGAAGAAACUCUUGAAAAUCCAAUUCACCCCCCUCUUGGGUUGCCAAGCUAGUAUUUCAAAUUGUGCAUAACAUAUUGAUAAUAUUUUGAUCAUUCUUGGUGAUUAUCACCAGACCUAUCACCUUUUAGUUCGGCACCAUCAAAAACUCCAAUUAGGGUCAUGCAUGGUUUUUUGUUAUUUAUAAUACCAGUAAAGUAAUGCGUGGAUUGUGUGCCACUUUAUCACGUCUAUUCUCUGCCUCAAUAGUUUUAUAAUCCCACAAUUUGGGGGCUAUGUUGCUAUGGACUAUAAACAACUUUUUAGUAUACGGGAAGUUAGGAAGACCUAGCUCUGAAACCACACACACACACACAUGCCAACUAGAGGUAUUCGGCAAGGUGAUCUCAUUUCUCCUUAUAUCUUUAUUCUCUGCAUCGAACAACUCAGCCAUGGUAUAUGUGAUGUGGUCAACACACGUUUUUGGACUCCCGUGCACCUCUCUCGCCAUGGAAUUCCUCUUACUCACCUUUUUUUGCAGAUGAUCUGCUUCUUUUAGCAGAGGCUUCAUGUGCUCAAGCCUCGAUAAUUAAUUCAAUUCUUGAAACUUACUGUAGUAACUUGAGAGCACGAGUUAGUAAGGCUAAAACCAGAGUAUAUUUCUCUAGGAAUGUUUAGAGUAAUGAAGCAAAAAAAAUUAUUAAUACCAUGGGCAUCAGUAUGACGAUUGAUCUUGGUAAAUAUUCGGUAUGCCUCUUCUUGACAUACGGGUCACCAAAGGCACAUAUUAGAGCAUCAUUAAUCCAGUUGAGCGGCGUCUGUCGAGGUGGAAUGCGAAUCAUCUUUCUCUAGCAGGGCGGAUCAAUUUAGCUCAAUCGGUCUUACAAUUAAUUUCUAGCUAUGCCAUGCAAACUACCAACUCGCCAGUGUGUAUCAAACAUAACAUUUAUCAAGCAUUUAGGCGUUUUAUUUGGAGCAAAGCUCAUCCUCAACAAAAAAUGAGCCUUGUUAGUUGGGAUAGAGUCUGCCAACUUAAGAAUUGUGGUGGUUUGGGUUUCAACAACCUUGAGCUAAUGAAUAAAGCUUUAUUAAUGAAAUUGGGAUGAAACUUGGUAGCAUCACCUAACAGCCUUUGGUCCCAAGUUUUGUGUACUAAAUAUAGUAUCAACCCUGCAAAUCUACCUUACACUUUACCCACUGGAUAUGGAUCUCACUUGUGGAAAUCCAUAGGAAAAGUUUGGUCAGAGACACGACUGGGGAUUCGCUGGAACUUGGGAAAUGGCCGAUUGGUGCGGUUCUGGUGGGAUUGUUUGGUUACUAAGAGAUAACCUUUGAUUUCUUAUGUCCUUAGCCCAGUCUUUGACAACAUUAUACACAAGGUAACUGCUGACUUUGUGGAUAGUGAUGGUAAUUGGCAGUAGGGUUUGUUUGGGCACUUGCUUCCAAGUAAUAUCCUCUUGCACAUUGCCUCUAUUCAACCUCCUAGGCCUGAGAGAGGUGAUGACCGUAUCUUUUGGGCAGAAUCAACAAAUGGAGAGUUCACAGUCAAGUCUGCCUAUUAUGCUAUUUCCAAUAUCGCCAUUCAUGCCAGAGGAUCAGAUUUGGAACAAAGUUUGGAGGUGGAAGGGACCACAAAGCAUUUGGAUUUUUCUCCGGCUAGUGAUGCACAUUAAGCUAAAAAUGAAAAAUGAGUUGACAAGGAGGCAUAUUCAGCUUGGAGAGUUUUGUGAUCGGCGCAGUUGUCCUUCGAAAGAUACACUGCUUGUUAUUCGAGACGGUAUGGUAGCCAAAUGUUUUUAGAAUCAUGUCAUCCCUACUUUUUUGCAUCCGCUUUUCUAUUCUUUGCUGUUGAGGGAUUGGCUCUUUCAAAACCUUACGAGUGAUAGAAUUGUGGGAUCAAAUUUGAAGUGGACGACUUUCUUUGGAGUGGCCAUCUGGCAUCUCUAGUUCUGGCCCAAUCAAUUUCAAUUUAUGCAUUCCUCUAUUAAUAGCCUGAGUAUGCUUCAUGACAUUCGAACCANNNNNNNNNNNNNNNNNNNNNNNNNNNNNNNNNNNNNNNNNNNNNNNNNNNNACCAAAGGUUCCCAAAACUCGAGUAGAAUGAAGGCGAGCUGCCAUAUCAGGGGCCUGAUUUGAAAGGUUAAGAACUCUAAAAUUGCUUCACUUGCAAUUUCUCUUAAGUUCUCAAAUUUGGGAUGAUUUCCAAGUGAAUAAUGCAUCUCUAUUUAUAGCCAAAAUGGUUGUACUGUUGCACCAACCUCUUUGCAAUUUGUCAUUUCUCCUCUCCGUCACUUUGAAAAAUUUUGCUAAUUUUUCUAUUUUCUGCUGUACGGCCAAGGCGGAUGUACGGUACAGCAGUUUUGUGAUCGGCAUGGUUGUCCUUCGGAAGAUACACUGCUUGUUAUUCGAGACGGUAUGGUAGCCAAAUGUUUUUAGAAUCAUGUCAUCCCUACUUUUUUGCAUCCGCUUUUCUAUUCUUUGCUGUUGAGGGAUUGGCUCUUUCAAAACCUUACGAGUGAUAGAAUUGUGGGAUCAAAUUUGAAGUGGACGACUUUCUUUGGAGUGGCCAUCUGGCAUCUCUAGUUCUGGCCCAAUCAAUUUCAAUUUAUGCAUUCCUCUAUUAAUAGCCUGAGUAUGCUUCAUGACAUUCGAACCAAGGCAGAGGAAAUCAACUGCAUAAAAGAGAGUAGACAAAUGGAUUGCAUGGAUUGCCCUCACUUGGCCGUGGUGCAAGUUGAAUACCGAUAGAGCUUGUAAGCGUACAGGAGCAUCAAGUGCUGGUGGAGUAAUUCGUGAUCACAAUGGGGCUUGAAUUUUUGGCUUCGGAAUGAAUAUAGGGCAUUCCUCUGUUACCAUGGCUGAGUUAUAGAGUUUAUAUCAUGGUCUAAAAUUGGCAUGGGAUCACGGGAUAAGGUGGCUGGUGGUGGGAAUUGAUAGCCUAUGCAUCAUUAAACUAGUUAAGAAGCCUGUGGAUACUAUUAAUGAGUACAUUUCUCUUCUCCAGUCAAUCAAGGAGAUUAUCUAGCAGAAUUGGAACGUGGUCAUUAACCAUGUCUAUCGUGAGGCGAAUUUCACAGCAGACUAUCUCGCUAAUUAUGCUCUAUCUCUUCCUCUAGGUGUUCAUCAUCUUGGUAAUCCCCCACUUGGUGUGACCCCUGUUUUAUACCAUGACUUGUAUAGGGUGGCUUACCCUCGUUUUGUUUUGUUCUAGCUCUUUUUAGAGCCCCAUUUUAUCCAAAAAGAUGUAGACACUUUGUUUUUGGGCUGUUUUUCUUUCUCGUAUGAUUUUCAAGAAUCUAUUUGUUGAUACUACUUUGAUAAUUAAAAACACCAAAUAUCAGAUUUUUAAAUUCUUUAUGGUUCAACCUAGACUCACCAGCUUAUAUUAUAACUAAAUACUUUUAUACUUGGUAACAACCAACCACUUUUGAGUCGUGUUACUGCCAUCUUGAUGGGUGAGUGUUGGAGAAUAUAAUUGAUUGCCUUGAUUAGGGAUGGCAAUGGGCACCGCCCGCAGCGGGUUUGCCAUUACCAAACCCAAACCCGCACAAAAUUUAAAUUACCAAACCCACCCGCAGCGGGUUUUAACAAUUACCAAACCCGCAAUGGUAUCCGGCGGAUUUUUUGCGGGUUUCCGUAUUUAAAAUCACAAAUAUUUAAUAUAUAAAUUUAUAAUAAUAACCUCAAAUUCCAUAUAGCAUACUCAAUUUUAUAUUUAAACAAUGUCAAUGAAAAAUUAAAAUUUCCACAUCAAUUCAAUACAAAUUCUCAAAUUUAAUUAUAAAUUACACAAAUCUAUUUAAAAAACACAAACUAGUAUCUAAAAAUAAUAAUUACAUUUCAUAUUAUCAUUUAAAACAAGAUCCAAGAGAAGAUAUUCAUUUCAUUCACCACCAUAAGCACCCAUCCAACACAAUGCCUAUAAUAAUAAUUAAGAUUAAUAUUUUCAAAUACUAAUUCGAAGGGAAAUGCCUUUAGUUUUCUUUAGGUUAUGACUUUAGAAUAAGAGAUGAGCCACAUACACACAUACACAACUUUGAGCCUUUGUCUAUUUGGUAAUUUGAUUAAUGACAUUAUUUUCUUUAUACAUUUUUAUAUUUAAAUUAAAUUAAAAAUAUUUGAAAAAAAAUAUUGCGGGUUUGGUGGAUAUCCAUGCGGGUAUCCACCGGAUAUAAGGUUAAUACCAAACCCACCCGCAUCCAUGUGCGGGUUUUAAUUUAUAAUACUAAACCCGCCCGCAACGGGUAAAAUUACCCGCAACGGGCGGGUUUUGGCGGGUGGGUUUGGGCGGGUUUGCGGGUUUGCGGGUACAAUUGUCAUCCCUAGCCUUGAUGCAUUAUAGAUUAUCCUUUCACUUCCAAAAUAUUUUGUUCUCCAAAUCUAUAUUCUUUCGUACUUUUAUUCCCUUAAUUUUAGAGAUUGUAUAGCUUAGUAUUUAGAUGUCAACUGGAAUUUUGAAUAUAAUUCUUUAUAUUUUACACAUGUAAAGUCAAAAAUAACUAUGAAAGCAUUUUCUAGUUAUUACAUUGUCAAACAUUAGAACAACAAUAAAUUAAUAGACAGAUUAAAAAUAUUUUUGAAAUGAAUAUUAAACUUAAGAAGAGAAUUAUAAUUUUGUUACUGCCUAUGAGUAAAGAUAUAUUGUAAUAAAAUUAUAAUAAAGUUGUAGGAUUUUUGGAGUUAAGGUGAGUGAUUAGAGCAUUUGUAGUAGAAGUUUGGGUCUAGGAUACAAAAGACUAAAGAUAUUGGAAAUAUACUAAUAAAUUUAGGGAUAUUUUUCAACUUUCAUUAUAAUUUAGUACACGACAUUUACAUUUUUUUCCCCCAAAAAUAUUGCAAGUGCCACUAUCUCUGCCUGUCUCUAUUACAAUCCGCUCCUGCGUGUUCAAAUCAUAAAAGUGAUGGAUGACUAAAAAGUUACUUUUUGAUUAUCUUUAAGCAUAUCCUGUUAAAUUAUGCUUCUUGGAACCUAUCUAUUAACUUAUUUGGUCAAGGAAUGGAAACUCAAAAAUUAUUCAUUCUUUUGUCAUUUUAUUUGAUCUGACCUAUUUAAUCCCCUCUUUCUUGUGAUUUAAAAAAUAUAAAAAAGAACUGCUACAUAUUUUUAAUUUAAAGCAUACAAAAUUUUUUACAAUUUACGGUUCUCCAUAAUUAUAAAACUAAACAAAAGAAAAUCUUAAUAAAAUAAUUAUUGAUGUUUCACAUGACUUAUUUUUUAUUUUUCUGUGCAAUUUCUUGAGCAAUAGUGAGUUUGUCACAUGUUGCACUCAAAAUUGAUUCCACAUAAUCGUCCAUAAUGUAUGUAGCAUACAUUUACAAAAUAUGAAAAAAAAAUUAAAAAUAAAGUGGAAUAAUGAACUACCAAUACGCUACAACAAAAUAGGUAAUAGAUGACGAGAAAUAACUGUCAUAAAAGGAGAGCAUCACAGACAACUAGGGUUGGCAAUUUAAGGGUCUGGGCCGGGCUUUGCCAAGCCCAGAACCAUGCCCAUAUAAUGUUAAAUAAGUCCAGGCCCUCUCAAAGCUCAUCCAAGUUGGGCGGGCUUUGGGCGGGUCGGGCCUUGACGGGCCUGGGCUGGGCCUCGGGCUUAGCCCGGGCUUUUACGAAUUUUCAAAUUUUUUUAAAAAAAUAAAACUAUAAAUUUUCAAAACAUAAUUAUCCAAUACAUAAUACUACAAUAGGCUAAAAACUUAAAUAUAAUUCUCUAAUACAUGAUUAGCCAACACAAAAUAUAAAAAUACUAACAAAUUAACAACUAAUAUAAAAAAAAAACUAAUAGAGAUUUACCGAUUUAGGAAUUUUGACAUUUUGUGACAAAACCUUUGCCCUUUCCCUUUGCCCGAUUUUUUUAUUGUUUUGUUUAAUUUUUUUUUUCAAUUUUAUAAUAUAUUAUACAUUUUUUUAAAAUAUAUAUAUAUAAGAUAUAUAUAUAUAUAUAUAUUAUUUAUUAUAAAACCCGGACUUUUCAUUUAAGCCCUUGACUGAGCCCAUAUGUUAUGGGCUUUAUUAGUUAUGAACCCUUACCCAUACUUUCAAGCCACGGGCCGGGCUUAAAGCCCGCGAGCCUGGGCCGGCCUGGGCUUUUCUGCCAACCCUACAGACAACUCAUUCGUCAUCUAUGUUACUGUCAUUAAUUUAUGACAGUAUUUUUCCCGCCAUGAAUUUAUGAUAGUAACUCACAAUCAUAUAUCCGUCACAUAAUAUUUUAAUAUAAAAAUAAUUAAAUUUAAUUUUAAAUUUAUUUAAAUUUUUGCACCAUUUUUUUAAAUUUUUUGGCGGGAAAUUUAAUAUUCAAUUAUGGCGGAAAAUUUUUUAUGAUAGACUUUAUGAUGGAUAUUUCCCGUCAUAAAGUCAUAUAUUUUUUUAAAAAAUAUAUUGUAAUUAUAAUUUAUUGAUGAAUUUCAGUUUACAAAUUUAAUUAAUUAAUCAAAUGAAUAUCAUUAAAAAAACUAAAAACAAUUAAUAUUAAUUAACAUUCAUUCGAUCCGAAAAAUUAAUUUUAAAAGGGAUACAUCUAGUAUCUAAUGUGAUCACCACCAAUACAUAAUAAAACAUCCCAAAUAAAAAAAAAUACCAUCCAAAAAUAUAAAACAACUGUUAAAUUCCAAUUAAACUCCAAGAAAAGCAUUUAAAAUUCUAGCCACCAAGCCAAGUUACCCAACAAAACUUGCAAAGAUUAAUGGAAAUAUUCCAAUAGCAAGAUUUCCAGCACAAUACAUCUUCCAGCAGCAAUAUUUUAACAGCCACAUAUCCAGCAAUCCACCAUCUUCAAUAGCACUCUAAUUCCAGCCAUAAACCCAGCAACAUUCCAACUCAAACCCAGCAACAUUCCAACUCAAACCCAGCAAACCAGUCUAUGCAGAAUCAAUCAAAAUACCCUAUGUUAUCAAAUGCAUGACAUCAACACUUCAAUCUUUAACCAUAAUAAUUUGACACUAUAAUUUUAAAUUUCAGCAAAUUGUAACAACUAAUAUCUAUAGUUUUAUACUCAUACUAACCAUUUUGCUGAUGCAACAAGGAUGUCAGAAAAAAUGGUUAGCCCACUCCAAACAAACCUCAACUAAUCCCAAAGUUGUGCUAAAAUAAUAAUGUUCAAUUUUACCAUGCAGCAACUAAAACAUUUGAGCUUCAUGUAAUUUGAAACAUUAUCAAAAAAAUGAAAGAGAAGUUUAUGUUAAAGAAAAAAAGGUAGAAAUACCUGGAUAGAGCUUAAUGUCAAUAAUUGGUUUUUCUUAUCUAACUCUUUAAGCUUCUGUAGUCGUUUUGCUCUAUGUUUCAAGCAUUUUCAAUGGCUCUAACCAUGUUAAUGCCCAAUUAGAAUUACUUCUGGACCUAAACUUAGGCAACAAGGGUGGGCCAAAAGAUCAAUCCAACAGCUUCAAGACUCUUUUAACACUUUGAAAAUAAAUUAAUAAAUAAAUAAAGGAGCAAAGAUGACUGAAGCAUUUUUAGCCAAUUAAAAUAAAUCUCUGCAGUAGAAGGGUCAUCGUCGGUAAGUCUAUACCACACCAAUUUAAAAAAAAAAAAGCUCAUCAUUUCCCCACCCUUCAAACCCAUUUUGGAACGAAACAAUGUGCAGCACCUUACUAUUGGCUCUGGUUUAUUAAAAAAAAUGUAUCAGAAUAGUAUGUACAGGCAAAUUAAUCACCACAAGCGGAAAGAAGAAAUGAAGGUUAAAGUAGACAAACGGACAACAUUUACACAAAUUGUGCAACUAAACAUGCUCUUAUGGAUUGCUUCUCAUAUACAAGGUUAACAACUCCAAUACUCCUAUCAGCAGUUCUAUAAGCAGAAUUAUACCAUUUUACCUUCAGCGUUUGUCGAGUUAUUCAGAUCGCUAAUGCUGAUAUUUAGCUGAGCAUGGUUAGAUGCCCGGUCUGGAGCAUUCUCUUGAUCAUAUCCAUCCCAAAAGCAGAAUUUGAUGAACUGAGGAAUUACCCAGAGAAUAAUACAUACAAGAUACUCUCAAGGCAUUAGACAUUAAAUCCUACCUAUAUUUAAAACAAAUCACAGAGCAACAGUGUAAUGAAAGAUGAUAUUUCCCGUGGUUUGUGAAUUAUGAAAGAAGCCAUUAUGGCUGCNNNNNNNNNNNNNNNNNNNNNNNNNNNNNNNNNNNNNNNNNNNNNNNNNNNNNNNNNNNNNNNNNNNNNNNNNNNNNNNNNNNNNNNNNNNNNNNNNNNNNNNNNNNNNNNNNNNNNNNNNNNNNNNNNNNNNNNNNNNNNNNNUCCAACUCAAACCCAGCAAACCAGUCUAUGCAGAAUCAAUCAAAAUACCCUAUGUUAUCAAAUGCAUGACAUCAACACUUCAAUCUUUAACCAUAAUAAUUUGACACUAUAAUUUUAAAUUUCAGCAAAUUGUAACAACUAAUAUCUAUAGUUUUAUACUCAUACUAACCAUUUUGCUGAUGCAACAAGGAUGUCAGAAAAAAUGGUUAGCCCACUCCAAACAAACCUCAACUAAUCCCAAAGUUGUGCUAAAAUAAUAAUGUUCAAUUUUACCAUGCAGCAACUAAAACAUUUGAGCUUCAUGUAAUUUGAAACAUUAUCAAAAAAAUGAAAGAGAAGUUUAUGUUAAAGAAAAAAAGGUAGAAAUACCUGGAUAGAGCUUAAUGUCAAUAAUUGGUUUUUCUUAUCUAACUCUUUAAGCUUCUGUAGUCGUUUUGCUCUAUGUUUCAAGCAUUUUCAAUGGCUCUAACCAUGUUAAUGCCCAAUUAGAAUUACUUCUGGACCUAAACUUAGGCAACAAGGGUGGGCCAAAAGAUCAAUCCAACAGCUUCAAGACUCUUUUAACACUUUGAAAAUAAAUUAAUAAAUAAAUAAAGGAGCAAAGAUGACUGAAGCAUUUUUAGCCAAUUAAAAUAAAUCUCUGCAGUAGAAGGGUCAUCGUCGGUAAGUCUAUACCACACCAAUUUAAAAAAAAAAAAGCUCAUCAUUUCCCCACCCUUCAAACCCAUUUUGGAACGAAACAAUGUGCAGCACCUUACUAUUGGCUCUGGUUUAUUAAAAAAAAUGUAUCAGAAUAGUAUGUACAGGCAAAUUAAUCACCACAAGCGGAAAGAAGAAAUGAAGGUUAAAGUAGACAAACGGACAACAUUUACACAAAUUGUGCAACUAAACAUGCUCUUAUGGAUUGCUUCUCAUAUACAAGGUUAACAACUCCAAUACUCCUAUCAGCAGUUCUAUUAGCAGAAUUAUACCAUUUUACCUUCAGCGUUUGUCGAGUUAUUCAGAUCGCUAAUGCUGAUAUUUAGCUGAGCAUGGUUAGAUGCCCGGUCUGGAGCAUUCUCUUGAUCAUAUCCAUCCCAAAAGCAGAAUUUGAUGAACUGAGGAAUUACCCAGAGAAUAAUACAUACAAGAUACUCUCAAGGCAUUAGACAUUAAAUCCUACCUAUAUUUAAAACAAAUCACAGAGCAACAGUGUAAUGAAAGAUGAUAUUUCCCGUGGUUUGUGAAUUAUGAAAGAAGCCAUUAUGGCUGCUAGUUUGGGGCUGUUAAAAGCAAUCACAACAUGGGAAGUUAAAGUUAAAACUUAAAAGAUAUCAGAAGUGAUGAUUGCAGUUUGAACAACAACAAGCAAAUCCACACAUACGAAUGUUAUAAAUAUCCUUUUCCAGAAAGUUUACAGGGCUACCCAUGCUUUGUCCUCAAAAUACAAAAUUAUUAAUCAUUCACAAGAUGUUUAGGAUCUUUCAUAUAGAUGUCAUAUACAUAUUGCAAAACACUCUAUAAAAAUCCUACCUCAAUAACUCAAAUUUUCUAAAGAACUCUUCAAUAGUUAAAGCAUCCUAAAAAAACAUUUAGAUACAAAAUGAACUAAGAGAGUAAACAUACCUCAUCGUAAACAGCAACAUGCCUCACGACAUCUUUAAAAUCCUCAGUUCUAUCCCUAAUUAUCGCCAUAAUUUAUCAUCACAGGUAAUACCUUCAGCAAAAAUAGAACCAUCAACACAUCACACACUUGAGAAAUCAAAUGAAAAUUACCUAAACAAGAAUGUUGGACCCUAAAUUGAAAAUUCCUACCAACACUGGUCAGUUUCCCACUUACGGGCCGGGUGAAAUCCGGACUGACCCGAACACCCAAACGACGCCGUUCUCGUCCUCCUCCUACUCACCAAAGACAUGUCAUAAACAGCCCUGGCCAUUGGAUACGACAACGUCUCGUAAGCGUUGUGGAUCUCGAUGAAAUCCCGAUCGUUACCCGACAAAAUCAGGAUGAUAAACCUUCGCCAAACUUCGAUACGCCAUCUUAAUCUCCAAAAUUGUCGCCGUUGGCUCCACCCUCAGUACCUUGUACAAGCUCCCUCCCGUCCCCGAUACCGUCACCGGCAUCUCCACUGAAAACAUACGGGGACUCCUCUUGUUCUUUCCCGAAGCAGCAGUGAAAUCGAAGAGCAACAGGGGAGCAGCGUGUGUUUAAUUAGGUUCGAUUUAGGGUUCACUUUUUCAUUUUAUAAAAUUAUAGUGUAAUUGUUCAUAUAUUAAGUAACGAAUUAUAAGUUGACACGUGGCUGAGUAAAAAAUAACUUUAUCAUAAAACCAUCAUUAAUUUAUGAUAAAUAAAAAAUUCUAUUACAAAUCCAUCAUUAAUCCAUGAUAAAAAAUAAUUCUAUCAUAAAAUCAUCAUUAAUCUGUGAUAGAAAAUAAUUCUAUCACAAAGUCAUCAUUAAUUCAUGAUAGAUUAAAAAUUAUGUCGUAAGUUUGUCAUAAUUUUAUGAUAUACCCAGAAUUUAUCAUAAGUUGUCUGUUAUCUAUUAACAAUUUUCUUGUAGUGAUAGUUAUAGGCACCAAUACCAAUAAUAAUAAAAGAAUAUGUUAAAAUUUUAAAGAAGAUCCAUAUUGCCUAGGUAGCAUUAUGUUUAGAGAAGAAACUUUUCUUGAAGUUUAGAUGAUAUAAAGACAAAUCUAAGUUUUAUGGUAAAUACUUACGAAUUUUAGGUUUUGUGAAAAAAUUACAUACAUAGUGAGUUUAUAAAUUUUUUUAAUAAUUUUUAAUUAAAAAAGGUAAAGGUAGACAAAGCCUACAUCCAUUUUUUUCUUUAAAACUUAGUAAUUUAAAAUAUCAAAAUAUUGAAUUAUUAAUAUUACGUGGUAGCAGGUUAUUUGGUGAAAGAUUUUUUAUUCUUAAAUCCAAAUCCGUCUCGUUAUGUAAUGAAUUUCAAUGGGUGCACUACAAGAAAACAGGUAAUAGAUGAUGAAAAAUAACUAUCAUAAAAGGGGGUGCAUGACAGACAAUUCAUUCGUCAUCUAUAUCACUGUCAUUAAUUUAUGACAGAAUAAUUUUCCAUCAUGAAUUUAUGAUGGUAUUUCACGGUCAUAUAUUCAUCACAUAAUAUUUUAAUAUAAAAAUAAUUUAAUUAAAAUUAAAAUUUAUUUAAAUUUUGCACCUUUUUUUUUAAUUCUGCUGUACGGCCAAGGCGGAUGUACGGUANNNNNNNNNNNNNNNNNNNNNNNNNNNNNNNNNNNNNNNNNNNNNNNNNNNNNNNNNNNNNNNNNNNNNNNNNNNNNNNNNNNNNNNNNNNNNNNNNNNNNNNNNNNNNNNNNNNNNNNNNNNNNNNNNNNNNNNNNNNNNNNNNNNNNNNNNNNNNNNNNNNNNNNNNNNNNNNNNNNNNNNNNNNNNNNNNNNNNNNNNNNNNNNNNNNNNNNNNNNNNNNNNNNNNNNNNNNNNNNNNNNNNNNNNNNNNNNNNNNNNNNNNNNNNNNNNNNNNNNNNNNNNNNNNNNNNNNNNNNNNNNNNNNNNNNNNNNNNNNNNNNNNNNNNNNNNNNNNNNNNNNNNNNNNNNNNNNNNNNNNNNNNNNNNNNNNNNNNNNNNNNNNNNNNNNNNNNNNNNNNNNNNNNNNNNNNNNNNNNNNNNNNNNNNNNNNNNNNNNNNNNNNNNNNNNNNNNNNNNNNNNNNNNNNNNNNNNNNNNNNNNNNNNNNNNNNNNNNNNNNNNNNNNNNNNNNNNNNNNNNNNNNNNNNNNNNNNNNNNNNNNNNNNNNNNNNNNNNNNNNNNNNNNNNNNNNNNNNNNNNNNNNNNNNNNNNNNNNNNNNNNNNNNNNNNNNNNNNNNNNNNNNNNNNNNNNNNNNNNNNNNNNNNNNNNNNNNNNNNNNNNNNNNNNNNNNNNNNNNNNNNNNNNNNNNNNNNNNNNNNNNNNNNNNNNNNNNNNNNNNNNNNNNNNNNNNNNNNNNNNNNNNNNNNNNNNNNNNNNNNNNNNNNNNNNNNNNNNNNNNNNNNNNNNNNNNNNNNNNNNNNAGAACUCUAAAAUUGCUUCACUUGCAAUUUCUCUUAAGUUCUCAAAUUUGGGAUGAUUUCCAAGUGAAUAAUGCAUCUCUAUUUAUAGCCAAAAUGGUUGUACUGUUGCACCAACCUCUUUGCAAUUUGUCAUUUCUCCUCUCCGUCACUUUGAAAAAUUUUGCUAAUUUUUCUAUUUUUCUUCGUUCGGUGUAGGAUUGUCAAAUGCCAAAUAUUCUACAGCUUGAAGUUUUGAAUUUGGAAGCCACUUUAUUGACUUCUCAACAAAAAAGUUCAGACUUUUAAUCAGCUACUUGAAAGCUUGUAGACUAUGAUUUUAGUUUAGAUUUUGAUGGUUGUUUAUAGUCGUGAGCUAACUUGUACAAUUAAAUGAGUUACUGCUUUGGAUUACAUGCCUUGAAGUUUUCAGCAUACUGUUUUGGAAAAAUCCUAUCACAUUUGUAUACCUCGAGAGUUCACGCACGUACGUGUGUGCAUAACUCGCGCAUACAUAAACUUAUGCUCAUGCUAUACAUGCACGGAUAGAAGCACACUUGCAUAUAUGUCAUACAUGCACGGACAGAAGCACAUGCACUUGUAUAUAUGUGCACGAAGUUCGAGUGAAUUUCACGCAGAAGCAAACAAACCUUAAACAUCUUGGGCGUGUACCAUGUCCACUUCUAGCUUCGGUUACUUACUCAGUUUGAAAACUAAGUUGUGCUAUUAAAUGAAAAAUCUAAUAGGAUUAUGCCAUUAAAUUUUACAGCGCAUGUAAUCGGGGAAAAGUCUAUUCAAUCCUGCACAGUAAGUUUAAAAAUGGAAAACAAAUAAGGGAUUGGAAAGUAAUUUGAGAAAGGAAUCCAAAGUGGGGCGGUUACAAAAUCUGCUCUUAGUGACCUGUUGAGCACUAAUGCACUAUAUAAGUCGAACUUUAGUCCUCGAAGACACUGGCAAAUCAAAGCUAACCAUACACAAGUGAUUAGAAACAUCUCUCUGGUAGACAUGGGCUCACUUACUGGCAUAGACGAAAGCUUGCAAUAUCCGGUUGCUCGUAGAGACGAGUCCAUUGUCGAUGAUUAUCACGGCUUCAAAAUCCCCGACCCUUAUAGAUGGUAAAUAAAUGUAUAAUUCAAAAUCUGUUUUUACCAGAAUUCAUUUUUUUUUCAAUGUUAUUGGAGCAGGCUUGAGGAUCCAGAUGCGGAAGAGGUAAAAGAUUUUGUACAAAAGCAAGCGGAGUUAACAGACUCGGUGCUGAACAAAUGUGACGUAAGGGACAGGCUUCGGGAGAAGAUAACAAAGCUGUUUGAUAGUCCCCAAUACGACGCGCCGUUUAAGCAGGGGAAUAAGUAUUUUUAUUUUCAUAAUACGGGGCUGCAACCGCAAAGCGUGCUUUAUGUGCAGGAUAGUUUGGAUGCAGAAGCGAAAGUGUUGCUGGAUCCGAACACGCUCAGUGAAGAUGGAACGGUGGCGAUUACUACAGUUUCGGUUAGUGAGGAUGCUAAGUACUUGGCGUAUGCGCUUAGUAACAGUGGAAGUGAUUGGGUGACUAUCAAAUUAAUGCGCAUUGAGGAUCACAUUGUUGAAGCUGACACUUUGUCUUGGGCCUGUUUCUGUUUCUCCCAUUCGUUUUUAGUUAUUUUUUCCUUUGACAAUAUUAUUGCUAAAUGUACGCAUAUGCAUACAAGCUUUUCUUUAUUUAUUAUAUAAUAUAAUUUUUUUGUAUUUGACAAAUGAAUGAUGGGGACAGUGGGAUGUGAUUAAGGGGAUGGUGAACAUAAUAAUGGUUUAAGAAGACCAGGGUUUUGAUCAACAAAGUGGAUUGAAAAAAUCUAGGGCAAAGGCGGUGAUGAAGGGGGCCCAAAAUUAAUUUUUGGUUUUAAAGAGUGGCAUUUUGAUUUUUCAGUUGUGCAAAUUUUUUUUUUUUUGCCAAAAUUGUAUGAGAACCGACUUUUAUUAUCAGUUAGGUUGUUUUCUGCCAAUUACACCAGUUGAAAGAGGUGCCGAAGAACGCGUGUGUUGUGAGCCGCGUGUAUGUGUGUGAGCCGUGUGUGUGUUCAGUAACAUGCGUUCACAAAACGUACCAUUUUGUACUAACUGUGGUGCUCAAUGUGGUGUGAAUAUCGGUGUUGAAUCAAAACUAACCAUACACGAGUGAUUAGAAACAUCUCUCUGGUAGACAUGAGCUCACUUACUGGCAUAGACGAAAGCUUGCAAUAUCCGGUUGCUCGUAGAGACGAGUCCAUUGUCGAUGAUUAUCACGGCUUCAAAAUCCCCGACCCUUAUAGAUGGUAAAUAAAUGUAUAAUUCAAAAUCUGUUUUGACCGGAAUUCAUUUUUUUUUUUUCAAUGUUAUUGGAGCAGGCUUGAGGAUCCAGAUGCGGAAGAGGUAAAAGAUUUUGUACAAAAGCAAGCGGAGUUAACAGACUCGGUGCUGAACAAAUGCGACGUAAGGGACAGGCUUCGGGAGAAGAUAACAAAGCUGUCUGACAGUCCCCGAUACGACGCGCCGUUUAAGCGGGGGAAUAAGUAUUUUUAUUUUCAUAAUACGGGGCUGCAACCGCAAAGCGUGCUUUAUGUGCAGGAUAGUUUGGAUGCAGAAGCGAAAGUGUUGCUGGAUCCGAACACGCUCAGUGAAGAUGGAACGGUGGCGAUUACUACAGUUUCGGUUAGUGAGGAUGCUAAGUACUUGGCGUAUGCGCUUAGUAACAGUGGAAGUGAUUGGGUGACUAUCAAAUUAAUGCGCAUUGAGGAUCACAUUGUUGAAGCUGACACUUUGUCUUGGGCCUGUUUCUGUUUCUCCCAUUCGUUUUUAGUUAUUUUUUCCUUUGACAAUAUUAUUGCUAAAUGUACGCAUAUGCAUACAAGCUUUUCUUUAUUUAUUAUAUAAUAUAAUUUUUUUAUUUUAUUUAUUUUCACCUGUCAAAUCAACUAUAUUUUUUUUUAACUGCCAAAUCAACUAUUUAUGCUGUGGAGUGUUGUAUCACAGGCUAAGUUUACAAGUAUUACUUGGACCCAUGAUAGUAAAGGAUUUUUCUACAGCCGUUACCCAGCUCCCAAGUAAGGAUCUUCACCAUUUAGUCAGCUCAGUGGAAUUUGAAUUCUUGACUUUAUAUUUAAACAUUAUGGAUAAUUUAUGAAUUUUGUUUCAUGCAUUUAUUAACUUUUUAUCCUGAGGGUGUGAAAGUUGUUUUAUUCUCCUGUGUUAUUCUUUAGAGAUGGCAAAGAGGUAGAUGCUGGAAUAGAGACCGAUUCCAACCUUUAUCACGAACUUUACUAUCAUUUUCUGGGUACGGAACAAUCAGAAGAUAUUUUAUGCUGGAAAGACCCAGAACAUCCCAAGUAUACUUUUUCUGGCCAUGUUACAGAAGACGGGCAGGUGACUAGCUCUUCAUAGGUUUAAUCUUUUUGCCUUUUUUGGAUCAAAAUGUUGUGUCUGAGUGGUGCCCCUGUUCUUUAUUUAUUUAUUUAUUUUUAAUGGUAUGGUUGUGCUCUUGUUUGUCCACCUGAAAUAGUUGAUGCAAAGCUUCAUUAAUGAUACACAACUUUUGGCAAGCUGAUUCAUGGUUGAUAUCCAAAGGUCACCGCAGGGGAUAUAAUGAAAGAAUAAUAACCUCUCUUCUAUAAUAUUUUUAGAAGAUGAUACUCUUUAAAACGAGGUUUAUUUGUGUCACUACUUGUUUAGUGAAAAUGUAGAUUUUAGAUACCCAUGUUAUUCUGUUAUUAGGUUACUUUAUGAAAUGAGAAGCAUCCAAUACUAAAGUUAAUUAUAUGGGGAAUUUAUUAUGAUGCAUGAUAUGUAUUUUCAUUACAUACAGGUCUGAUUGAAUUGAUUCUGAUUAGGAUUGUUAUUGGAAAAAAUUGUUAAUUUUUGUGGACCUCUUCUAAAUUAACUUCACAUUUUAUUCUGUUCAACAGUACCUUGUCAUGUAUAUAAGAGAGAACUUUGAUCAAGUCAACAAAGUAUACUAUUAUGACCUGUCUGCACUGCCAGAAGGUCUGGAAGGUUUUAGGAAAAGCAAUGGCUUGCUUCCAUUUGUUAAGCUAAUUGAUAGAUUCGAUGCACAGUAUGAAGUAGUUGCAAACGACGACAGUGUAUUUACCUUCCGCACUAGUAAAGAUGCCCCAAAGUACAAAAUAGUCCGAGUAGAUCUCAGGGAGCCAAAUAAUUGGUCUGAAGUUGUCGCAGAGGCAGAAAGAGACAUGCUCGAGUCAGCAUCUGCUGCUAAUUUUAAUCAAAUGAUUUUGAGUUACUUGAGUGACGUGAAGUAUGUUCUUCAGAUAAGGGAUUUGAAAACCGGUUCCCUGCUACACCAAUUACCAAUUGAGAUCGGCUCAGUUAAUGCGAAAUCCGUACGUCGUGAUGACAGUGUGGUUUUUAUUAGUUUUACUAGUUUCCUUACCCCUGGCAUUAUAUAUCAAUGCAAUUUAAAAACUGAGAGUCCAGAAAUGAAGAUAUUCCGUGAGACUAGUGUACCUGGAUUUGAUCGCUCCGAGUUCCAUGUUCAUCAGGUAGGUGACUGUUGUUUAUCUAUUAAAGCUAGAUGAUGCCAGCUUUCAGAGUUUAUUGUUCAUUCAGUUUUAGGUUGUCAUAUUAAUUGCUUUAUUUUUCUGGGCUUCAUUCCCUUGAAAUUUCAGUAUAAUCAAAUUCUUUUUUUCUUGGCAAACUGCAUUAUGUUCAGUGUCUGAUUGGAUUUAUCAUUUCCAGGUUUUUGUGCCUAGUAAGGACGGCAGUACCAAGAUACCAAUGUUCAUUGUAGCCAAAAAGAAUAUCAAAUUGGAUGGAUCGCACCCUUGUUUAUUGUAUGGAUAUGGUGGAUUUAACGCAAGUAUAACACCUUCAUUUAGUGUCAGCCGCACUGUUCUCAUGAGGCAUCUUGGUGCUGUCUUCUGCAUUGCCAACAUCCGAGGCGGUGGAGAGUAUGGAGAGGAGUGGCAUAAAGACGGUGCACUUGCAAAGAAGCAGAAUUGCUUUGAUGAUUUCAUUUCUGCUUCCGAGUAUCUAAUAUCUGCUGGUUAUACCCAGUCUAGAAAGUUGUGUAUUGAAGGAGAAAGCAAUGGCGGGCUUCUUAUUGGGGCUUGCAUAAAUCAGGUGGAUUGCUUAGUUGAUUUUGUAUUUUUCAGUUUUCUGUGGUUAUUAUCGUAUUGAAUUCAUAAAAUAGCAUCGGUAAUUUUUUUCCCUCUUAUUACAGAGACCUGAUCUUUUUGGUUGUGCGCUGGCUCAUGUUGGUGUAAUGGAUAUGCUUCGGCUCCACAAGUUUACCAUAGGUUAGUUUAAAUCUUUUUAGCUAAGCAAUGAAAAAAUUUAACUAUUGUAUAUGUACUCAUCAAGAUUUGCUUUGUAGGUCAUGCAGGGUUUUCUGAAUAUGGUUGUCCAGAGAAGAAGGAAGAGUUUGAUUGGCUAAUCAAGUGAGUAAAACCGCGUUCCCUGUCCAAAAAUAUUGUGCACUGGUGAUAGGCUUUUAUGUAUUUAAGUCCAAAGUUCUAAAUCCCUGACAUGUUAAACGUUUUCUACACCAAAUCUAGCAAUUGAUGAAAAACCCUUUUUCCCUUGCAAAACGUAAUACCGCGUAGAGAUGGUUAACUUUGGUCAAUUUCACAGAAUGCGCAACUACUUCCCCUUCUUCCUUUCUUAUGAGCUCAAGAACUUGUGUUGCUUUGAUUCAGAAUAUUAUUUUUAUCAGCCUGACAUAGCACCUUAUGUCAUUUGAUCACUUAUCAGUGACAAUAAAAAAUGUGCUCUCUUGUCACUUGGUAACUGAUUAGUGUCUGACUUUCUUUCAACUUCUUUUUAUAAGCUAUUAGUUUAUAUGCUCAUUUUAUCACAUUUAUAUUCUGUAGGUACUCCCCAUUACAUAAUGUCAGAAGACCAUGGGAACAGGACCCUGAUAAACCAUCUCAAUACCCAUCUACCCUACUAUUGACAGCUGAUCACGAUGAUCGUGUUGUGCCUUUGCACUCGUUGAAGUUAUUGGCGGUGAGUCCUUAAUUAAGAAAUUAUGUAUUGUUUUGUUGUCUUAUGUUUUUUGCAUUUAUUUCUUCUUCUGCAAAGCCUAUGCCUACGCAUGGUUAGCUUGUGAUGAUCAAUGAGCGACUAUUUCAUGCUUCCUUCGUUCUAUUUAUUCUCAGACUAUGCAAUAUGUUUUAUGCACGAGCUUGGAAAAUAGCCCUCAGACCAAUCCAAUACUUGGUCGCAUCGAGUGCAAGGCUGGACACGGAGCUGGACGUCCAACACAGAAAAUGGUAAUUUAAUCUUAUUUUUACUUGGUUUUUGUGUAGUUGAUUCCUUAUUUACUAUUUACCUUUUACUUCCAUAUAUUAUUGCAGAUUGAUGAAGCUGCUGAUUGCUAUGGCUUCAUGGCAAAAAUGUUAGGAGCUUCUUGGAUUGAGUAAUUGAUGUAGAUCUGAAAGAAUGAAAAUGUUAGGAAAAGUUCUGGAACCGGAGACAGUUCCAUUUCUUUGUUUUUUUUUUGUUUUUUUCAACAAAUGUGAUGGAACUUUUUUUAAAAAUUUAAAUAAGAGAUUAGUUGUAUCUCUAACUUUUAGUAAAAUUAAACAAGUAAUGAUAGAAUAUUAAAUUUUUGUUUUAAAUUUGAUCUCAAAUGCGUGGUAUGUGAUCCGUUUGUCCAUUAAGUUAUUUAUAAAGUAAAUUAGUUGUAUUAUUUUAUCAUCCAAUUAAUAAAUGCCACAUAAUCUGAAAUAAAUUUUUAGGAUAAACAUUUGGGAUGUAUAUAAGGUCAUUAAUCUAAUAUUUAGGACAACAUUUAAAUUGAACUAAUGGAAAAAGAAAAUUACUGAUGUCUCCACAAGUACAAUAAAAAAACAAAAUAUCAAAAAUAAAUAAAUAAACUAAAGAUAGAAGCGCAACAUUAAUAUCAUUAAUGUGAACUCGAAUGAUUACCAAGCAGAAACAUGAUAACAUAAACUAAUUUUUGAAUGGCAAAAAGAGCAGUAGUAUCGAUAUUAUCCAAUCAUUUUCCGGGCUUAUUUCCGUAAAACAUCUCAAAAACAUUAGCCCGCACACUUCUGAAAAUCAAUUAACAAAAAUUAACACGCCUUCAGAUAUUCGACCAAGCUAAGAAAAAAGACACUCCAAGCUGCGAGUAACAAAUACAAUGCACCAUCACAGAUAAUGAACCAACCAAAUGCACUAAUAUAUCAAGCAAAUAAAACAUUCCAUCCAUGACACGAGAGGAUCAAUAAAUUGAUCGUAGCAUAAUGCACAAAGACUAAGCAGGAAAGUUUACCCCAGGACGUAAUUAAGAAUUUUGCUCAGUUGGUACACAUUUAAAAUAUAUUAUAAAUGAUAUUCACAUGACAAUAAAUAGCAUCGCGACUAUAAUAUUUAUUGAUAUUAUUCGUACUCCUCAGCGAGUUUCACGUUUUUAAAUGAUGUAUGAAUGUGUUAUUAUCAAUGCAUGCUUUAUAUAAGAUACACUUGGUGUUGGCAACAUGAGUAAUGGACCAGUGUCAACAGAUGUGAUGGAACUUUUUUUUUUUAAUUUAAAUAAGAGAUUAGUUGUGUCUCUAACUCUUAGUAAAAUUAAACAAGUUAUGAUAGAAUAUUAAAUUUUUGUUUUAAAUUUUAUCUCAAAUGCGUGGUAUGUGAUGCGUUUGUCCAUUAAGUUAUUUAUAAAGUAAAUUAGUUGUAUUAUUUUAUCAUCCAAUUAAUAAAUGCCACAUAAUCUGAAAUAAAUUUUUAGGAUAAACAUUUGGGAUGUAUAUAAGGUCAUUAAUCUAAUAUUUAGGACAACAUUUAAAUUGAACUAAUGGAAAAAGAAAAUUACUGAUGUCUCCACAAGUACAAUAAAAAAACAAAAUAUCAAAAAUAAAUAAAUAAACUAAAGAUAGAAGCGCAACAUUAAUAUCAUUAAUGUGAACUCGAAUGAUUACCAAGCAGAAACAUGAUAACAUAAACUAAUUUUUGAAUGGCAAAAAGAGCAGUAGUAUCGAUAUUAUCCAAUCAUUUUCCGGGCUUAUUUCCGUAAAACAUCUCAAAAACAUUAGCCCGCACACUUCUGAAAAUCAAUUAACAAAAAUUAACACGCCUUCAGAUAUUCGACCAAGCUAAGAAAAAAGACACUCCAAGCUGCGAGUAACAAAUACAAUGCACCAUCACAGAUAAUGAACCAACCAAAUGCACUAAUAUAUCAAGCAAAUAAAACAUUCCAUCCAUGACACGAGAGGAUCAAUAAAUUGAUCGUAGCAUAAUGCACAAAGACUAAGCAGGAAAGUUUACCCCAGGACGUAAUUAAGAAUUUUGCUCAGUUGGUACACAUUUAAAAUAUAUUAUAAAUGAUAUUCACAUGACAAUAAAUAGCAUCGCGACUAUAAUAUUUAUUGAUAUUAUUCGUACUCCUCAGCGAGUUUCACGUUUUUAAAUGAUGUAUGAAUGUGUUAUUAUCAAUGCAUGCUUUAUAUAAGAUACACUUGGUGUUGGCAACAUGAGUAAUGGACCAGUGUUCGGUGAGAUUUGGCGACAUAUCUAUAGUUUGUUUUGUUGUUGGUUUUUUUAUGAUGAUGAAAUGAUAAUAUCUAAGUUUAGGAAGUCCUUAUGUUAGAUGUUUAUUUUAACCUUUAUCAAUAAAAUUGAAAAGAAAAACAUCACUUUUUCAAUUUUUUGGUUAGUGAGUUAUUACUUAUUAGGGCUGGAUAAUAUAUUUUGUAAAAUCAAAAUUGUAAUUAAAUUCUAAAGAAUUGGGCUUUAGACAUGUGACAAGUUGAAACUUUUCAAAAUCAGCUAGGAAAUUAAUUUUCAUAGUUUCAAUACCAGAUAGAGCACUUUUACAAAAUUUAAAGAAAAUAAGAAUUUUUCUUUCGAAUCAUACUUGGAAAUAUUCCAAAAACUAGCUGGCCUGUGCCCCACCUAGUCCAUUACUGAAAUUGCAUCCGCCCAUGGGUCAGUCUUGAUUCUUUUGGCUUAACAAAGAAGCAAUGAAGCAGUUUGCUGUUCAAUGAGACUACUUUUCACAUUUGAAGAAGAGUCUAUUGUUGUCGUAUCGAGGCCUUUAUAGCAUAAUUCAUACCUUUACAAAUGAGGAGAUUAAUGCGCAUUGAGGAUCACAUUGCCGAAGCUGACACUUUGUCUUGGGUCUGUUUCUGUUUCUCCCAUUCGUUUUUAGUUAUUUUUUCCUUUGACAAUAUUAUUGCUAAAUGUACGCAUAUACGUACAAGCUUUUCUUUAUUUAUUAUAUAAUAUAAUUUUUUUUUUCACCUGUCAAAUCAACUAUAUAUAUAUAUAAUUUUUUUUAACUGCCAAAUCAACUAUUUUUGCUGUGGAGUGUUGUAUCACAGGCUAAGUUUACUAGUAUUACUUGGACCCAUGAUAGUAAAGGAUUUUUCUACAGCCGUUACCCAGCUCCCAAGUAAGGAUCUUCACCAUUUAGUCAGCUCAGUGGAAUUUGAAUUCUUGACUUUAUAUUUAAACAUUAUGGAUAAUUUAUGAAUUUUGUUUCAUGCAUUUAUUAACUUUUUAUCCUAAGGGUGUGAAAGUUGUUUUAUUCUCCUGUGUAAUUCUUUAGAGAUGGCAAAGCUGUAGACGCUGGAAUAGAGACUGAUUCCAGCCUUUAUCACGAAUUUUACUAUCAUUUUCUGGGUACGGAACAAUCAGAAGAUAUUUUAUGCUGGAAAGACCCAGAACAUCCCAAGUAUACUUUUUCUGGCCAUGUUACAGAAGACGGGCAGGUGACUAGCUCUUCAUAGGUUUAAUCUUUUUGCCUUUUUUGGAUCAAAAUGUUGUGUCUGAGUGGUGCCCCUGUUCUUUAUUUAUUUAUUUAUUUUUAAUGGUAUGGUUGUGCUCUUGUUUGUCCACCUGAAAUAGUUGAUGCAAAGCUUCAUUAAUGAUACACAACUUUUGGCAAGCUGAUUCAUGGUUGAUAUCCAAAGGUCACCGCAGGGGAUAUAAUGAAGAAUAAUAACCUCCCUUCUAUAAUAUUUUUAGAAGAUGAUACUCUUUAAAACGAGGUUUAUUUGUAUCACUACUUGUUCAGUGAAAAUGUAGAUUUUAGAUACCCAUGUUAUUCUGUUAUUAGGUUACUUUAUGAAAUGAGAAGCAUCCAAUACUAAAGUUAAUUAUAUGGGGAAUUUAUUAUGAUGCAUGAUAUGUAUUUUCAUUACAUACAGGUCUGAUUGAAUUGAUUCUGAUUAGGAUUGUUAUUGGAAAAAAUUGUAAAUUUUUGUGGACCUCUUGUAAAUUAACUGCACAUUUUAUUCUGUUCAAUGCUCUUAAUCCUGAUUGAGAAUAGCUAAUUAAAUUGUAUAUAUUUUUUCCAGCUCAUAAUCCUUAUAUUCUCACUUUCUCUAAUAUAUUUUUGAUACUUUAACCAAUGUAGUUUAUCAUAUAGUGUUAUGACAUUGUUCUCAGCUGAAGAUUAUAAGGAAAGAUGGAGUUUUGGCUCUAAGAUGAGAUUUGUAAAGGUAAACAAAUUACCUUAACUGAAAUAUUGUGUACCUAUCACUUUAAACCUAAAAUAGAAUACAUUUAUAAUUGUUUUUGGUUUAUAAUUGUCAAUAGACCCCUCAACAGCUGGGAUGCAUGAAAUGUGGCUAUUACAACUUGAGGUUUAUGAAAGACAUUAUAGCAUACCUUAGUUUGCUGAUGAAUAAUGUGAGUCGGUGAUGAAUAAUAUCAUAUGAUUGGUUUAUACCAUAUGUACUACAUUGUUAUGGGAAUUUGACAAUGUUGAUUUUAUGGUUUUCAGUUCCAUAGAAAGGUUGUAUAAACUCAGGCUGAGAUAGAUGAAGUUCGUUUAGAGUGGGCGAACCAUUGUUAUGAAAUCAUUAACGUACCAAAAAAUGGUUAGUAUGAAUCCAAAACUAUACACAAACUUUUUUAUUACUUCUUAUAUAUUAUAAUUGGUUAGAGACAAUUUGAUUGUACACUCGAAUGAGUUAACCUCCUUAAUUGAGAUUAGUUAACUAUUGGAUCAUGAAUCACGUGUGUCAUUCCCUAAAACUAUGGAGCAAAUGCAUUCUCUCUUUGACAAUUCAAAGUAUUUUAGACAAAGUGGCAAUAAUAGUGACCUAGCUAGCCACCCAAGUUUCUUGAACUAGGGCUAAUCUUCUAUUUGAACAACAAACAACUGCAGGCAACGUUCUUAUCCUGAUAACAACAUUGUUAUUAAGAGAUGAGAUUGGUAAUAAUAGAGAAACUUGGUAGGUGCAUAUCAAUCUAUCCAUGGUAGUUGUUGAUGAAUUUGAAUAAUGAGGUAAAGUUUAAGGCAAAAAUUAAAAUAACAAUAAAGUUAAUAACAAAAAACAGUAAAAUAAAAACAAGUUGAAUGAAAUAGCACAUGCCACUUAGUUAAUGGAAUCGGUUCUUGUAAUUGUAAGAGAAGAAAUGGAAUUGAAUUAUUCUUUUGAUUGAUUCAUAUAUCAUGUGAACAUGUGGUCUAUGUGUGUUUGGUAGUAAACUUGCAUGCUUUCCAUUCAAACCAAAGCUUGCUCUUUAUUUUCAUACUUGUAGAAAAGUAAUUUUAUUUUUAUGGGUACCAUUUUUUGUUUCAGCAAGGAAUUAAGAUAAGUUUCAAAUGAAACCUGGAGUUUUAUUUUAGUAGAUAAAUGUUUAUAAUGAUAUGUUGGCUAUACUCAUUGGUGCUGCACAUGCAAACUGAGUUUAAAUUUGUAAUGAUUCCGAUGUAUCUAAAACCUAAGAGUUUUACUAUAAUAGUUUAAAUUUAUAAGAGUUUUAUUUGCUGAAUUGAUAUUGUUUGAUAUAACUAUUGGAGACAACUGUUUUUGGACUUAAUAGAAUGUAUAAUUUAAAUUUUGCUUCAUAUGGAUUUAUGAUUGAAUUUCAUAUAUAAGAAUGCAUAAAUUUAAAUGAAAUAAUUCAUAAUUUCUUUCCAUAUAAAUUUAGAACCUGUGAUAAAAUAUUAAUCAUAGAGUAAGGUGGCGUUUGUUUUUUUGUCUGAAAUCUGAAUAGACCUGAAUUAGUCUGAAUUCUGAAUAGGUCUAAAUGUCUGAAUCUGAAUAAUAUGUUUGUUUUUUCGUCUGAAUCUCGAAAAAUAAGUAUUAAGUUGUUUAUUUUUUUCAACUUAAAAAGCUGAAAAUAUGUACUUUUACAUUUGUAUCCUUAUUAAAUUUGAAUGUCAAAUAAAUAAUAUAUUAAAUACCACAAUAUUUUAACAUUUAUAAGUAAAACUAUAUUCAAGUGAAUACAUAAUUAUUUUAGAAUUUUAAUAUAUAAAAUACCAUAAAUUUCAAAUUUUAUCAUAUAUAAUAUAAGAAGAAAAUACAGGGAUAUUUUUAUGUGGGGUAAAUAUCUAUAGGUGAGUUUUGGGAUAGACAUGAAAAAUAAAUUAUAAAACAAUAUAUAAUAUAAGAAGAAAAUACAGGGAUAUUUUUAUGUGGGGUAAAUAUCUAUAGGUGAGUUUUGGGAUAGACAUGAAAAAAAAUUAUAAAACAGGGAUAUUUUUUACAUUAGCAAGCAAUUAACUUAAUUCAGAUUUCUCUAUUAAGUAAAAAGCUAAAAAAAUUAGCUUAUUUUAUUAAGUCAAAAUUAUCUAAAAAGUCUCAUUAAAUUAUAAAAACAAACACCUCUAAUUAACUUAAUUAAUUAAGUUAAGUCACUUUAAGUCAUUAAGUUAAAAAACAAACGCCACCUAAGUCACAAAAAAUCAAUUUGUGACACAAAAAUAUUAAUCAUAAAAUAAGUUACAAAAAAUUAAUUUUUGACACAAAAUAUCAAUCACAAAUUCCAUCACAAACUAGGUAUUUUACCCGCUAAAAUUAUCCAGCAAUAAUUCACGCACGAAAAUCAAUUUUCCUGCCAAAAUUUUAAAAUUUAAAAAAAUCAAAUUUCCCGCCAAAAAAUAAAAAUAAUGUAUUCAUUUUUACCAUGACCGACAUAUGACAUCUAAAUGCUAUCAUAAGUUAAUGAUACACUUUUUUUUUUCUAUCAUAAAAGAGUGAUAGGUGAUGAUGGAUAAUUUCAUUGUCAUCUACCUCUCUUUAUGAUUAUUUUUUUUUUCUGUCAUCUAUUACCAGUUUUCUUGUAGUGAGUAUAAGCUAGAUAAUUAUAUAGAGAUGUUUGGUCUUGAUAAAGAUGAAGAUGGUGAACGAAAAUAUGGGGUGUGAUAAUAUGGUGGAGAAGAUGACGAAGGUGGAGAACAGAAAUAGCCUCCCAAAAAUGGAGAAAUUGAUGAUAAUCUAAAAGACGGAAAGAAAAAGAGUGUGUGAGAGAGAGAAGAGGAAAGGCCGCAAGGAAAUGAGAGGGAAAAAAAAAAGAGUAUGCCCUAAUAUAGGUGAAUAAGAUAUUUACAGUAGAGGCUAGUGGUAAAAGAAAUGUAUAAAAGUUAUGGCUACAUGUCAUCCUAUUAUUAAACAAAGAGGAUUUUUUUAGAGCUUUGUAUUAUAUUUAGAGAAAAAUGAUGAUAAUAUUCCUUUUAUACUAGGUUUGUUCUCUUUCAUAAAUAUCAUGAAGCAUAUAAUCUUGACCAUUAAUUUCUAAACCAAUCCAAUAGAGUAAAUUCUUCCAAAUGGCAUUUUUAUACUAUGCCAAGUAUUAUGUCUAUUUUGUCCUUGUAAUUAUCCACAUAUGAUUCAUUUAUUUAUCCUAAAAAAUAUUUUUACAUUUACCCUCAAAUAGUAAACUUUAAACAACAGACAAAGCAAAAAUUUAGUAGUCAACUUAAAAUCAACCACUCUGAGCAAAUUGUUGCACGUCAUUGAUGAAUUAAGUUGCCUUAACAUACUAUGUGAUUACUGAAAAUGAAAGAUAAGCCAAUGUUGCCUUCGAUUUGAGACAGAGUAAUAAAUAAAAAUAUUAGAAGACAGAGGAUUAACAAUAUGCUAAAAUGCAAAUAAAAAAAAUAGCUUGUAUGUCAUGUUAGAAAUUUACAAACCUAAUACAAAGUUUAGUUAGAGCUCAUCUACUCCUCUUAAACGUUGUUGAAAUGAUUUUGAGGAUUAACAAUAUGUUACUGUAACACUUUUAUUUCAUUUAUUAUUAUUAUUAUUAUUAUUAUUAUUAUUAUUAUUAUUUUAUACAUAUUUUAUAGAAUAUAAUAUUUUAGGAUAAAGAUGAGUGUUCUAAAUUUUAAAAUCACUUAAAUUUUUUUACCAAUUUAUUAAAUACCUUAUUAAAAAAGCAAAUAAAUUCCUUGAUGAGUAAGGGUAUUGUUGUAUAUUUUAAGCUCAAUUGCUAUAGGUGUCAAUGUGCAAGUGCACACAACAAGUAAUAAAGUGAUGAAUAUUCAAAAUCGUCUCCACAUGGACUAAUGCUACUGGAAAUGCUAUAGCAAUCACAACAGUGCAAACCUUCUUCUAUCUUAACUUGAUAAAAUUAAUAAGGUUGACUAACUAAUGAGAAUAACAAUUCAAUAAAGUAAAAAUGCAAUUAUAAAUUAAAUUGUACGUUCAACACAAAGAGAAUUCAAUAGGAGUGGAGUAGUUGAAUGAUCAAACUCUCCCGAUGGGGUGACUGUCUUGUCAAAUUAACACCAAUUGCUACAGCAUUUGCUACAGUACUGGACUUCUCAACUGUCGCAUGUUGGACUUCUCAUACCCUUAUACAACCUGACUAGUUGUUAUGUCAACACAAGAUACGACAUUACAAGCAUGUGCUCUCUCUACCCUACAAGGUGAAUCCCUAUAUCUAAUUCAUCACAAAUCUUAAAUCAAGUGUGGCCCUUUUGGGAUUUAAGUUAAACUCAAUCCAGAAAACUUAACUUAAGAUCAAGUAUUGCUCUAAUAAGUUCCACAAAGAUAGGCCCUUUUAUGGCUCUCUCUUAGCUGGCAUCAUUAAAUGGGAGGUCAACCGAAAUAAUAAAUAUAAUAAGAUUUAUUAAAGUAAAGUGCUACAACAGGCAUGCAGCAACUCAUAAGAAGAGUCAAGAACCCAUCUAGAUUAUUUGUCACUCAACUACAAUCAAAUUUAGUUCAUAACCUGUAAAAGAAAAAUAAAUGAUAAAGUUCCAACCAUCAAGUACAUAUUUCCAACCAAAGAAUAAAGAAGAAGAACAAGAGUUGAAUGAGAAAAGUUGAAUUCCAAAUAUUCUGCAGAUUUUGUUAUUGGUGCAUACUUGCGUCAUUCUCUUCAAUCUUCUCCUUUAUAUCUUUCUUGUUUUUCUUUCAAUCGUGAUUGACGGCCUUCCUUUCCUAUGUUGUGUGUUCCUUUUAUAGUUGAAAACUAGGGUAAAUAGAAGCUUAGGUUGCGUAUCUUCUAAAUUAGGAAGCUACAAAUCGCAAGAUUCUGCAAAAUUUUCUCUGUCAUUGUUUCAGGGUUGCUACACUAACGCUUGUUAUAGCAACAACUACAGCGACUGCACUGUUCCAGAUUCGUUUCAAUUCUUUUGUAGUCAAGCUCUUUUGCAUCUUUUGCAGGCCUAUUGCAUUAGCAUUCCUUCCUUAAAAUUUGAGCUUCCAGUCACCUACAAUUAUGCAUAUUAUUUAAAUACACAAUUUAUUCUAAAGCAAACAAAAUUUAUGAAGAAUAAACUAAGAUAAUUGUUUAAGCAAAAUACAACAAAAGUACAAUAAAAACACAUUAUUUUAUUCUCUAAGUAUUAUUAAUUUAAGUGUAGAAGCGCCAUGAUAACUCUCAUUUCAUAGAGUUAUCACACCCCCAAACUUAAACCAUUACUUCUUCUCAAGUAAUGACAACAACACCAACACUUCAUUCACACAAUCAUACAACAAAGAACUUAGCUCUGUCAUCAAAUUUACAAGGAUUCUUCAACCCUCAUAUCACACUCUCAAUCAUGCAAAAUAGCCAUAGCAGUUCAGUUCUGGACUUAAGCUUUAUUAUGUCUAAAGUGUGUGUGUGCCAUUUUGAUCAAGUUCCAGAGAUACUAUAGUAUUACACAGACAUUGCAUAUAAUUCAAAUGUAGAACACAAAUAUAUUCACAUAUAGGGGAGAAGAAUUCACAAAUAACCUCAAACUAUGUUACAACAAAAAUAAUAUUUUUUAAUAAACUCUCCUCAAUGUAUCAUUGAUUUUCAUGUGCAUAUCAAUCACUUGUAAUGAUGACACCAAUUACUCAACCAAUGCACAGAUCAGAGUUGCUGCAGUAAUCCUAAUAAUAUAGUCUUAUCUAAAGUUAUCUAAAGUAAUUUUACCCUUUAUAAAUAUGCAUUCUCCACUAUUUAAUAAUGAUACUACUGUUUUAUACUAAAGUUUAUUUAUUAACAACCAAAUUCGAAGCUAUUUUUAAUAGUUCUUUUGCCAUUAGAAAAGUUAUACACUUAUUUUUGUUUAUUAUUGAUGACUUGAUUGAACAAAAAUCUUUUCUGCCUAAAAAAGGUUAGUACAUAGUUGUACAAGUAAGUAAAAAAAUUACUUUUCUUGUAGUUUGCACAUUGUGUUAGAUUUAUUUCUCACAUAUUGUAGAUUGGCAUAGAUCAUUCUAAUUAUUUUUCGUGUUUUACCAGAUUAAUAUGUGACUGAUGUCAAAUAUUAAAGAGUACGUACUUUUGACAGACUCAUUUAUUAAGUGAUCAAAUAUUAUGUUAAUGAGUCUAAUUUUGUCAUACCCUAUAUAGUAGUCCAUUAUGGGCAAGUAUAACCUUCAAUUGUGUUAUUUUAGCUCAUAAUGGAAUGGGCAAUUUUGUACUAACACAUGAGGGGUCCCUGCACUCAGCUAUAAUAUUUAAGUGCCUUCAGCUCAUUUGGAUUUCACUAUUCAUAGAAUCUGGGGUAUGAGUACAGUGCACCUCUCUCUCUCUCCCUCCCUCUUGGCCGAUUGUGUUUGUGUGCAUAGUGAGCGUGAUUUUGCAGCUGAAAUUUAAAGUAGAAUCACUGCAAAUUAGAAGAAAAAAAUGUUGGAUUCACGAGUAAGAGGCAAGUUGGAUAAUAAAGUUUGAAUUCAUGGCCAAUCAAGGUAAAUCUCAAACUUUUAUCUAAUGAAUGUUUUUACUUGGAAAUGUAAGAUAAAGGGCAUAAAGCUCAAAUUUAUCUCAGCACAUAGUUGUACAAGUGUCUACACACACACACACACAUAUAACAUUACUCUGGAGACUAGGGUACUAAUUCACCCCAUUUCAUGUACUUGUUGGCUGAUAUUGUGAAGUGAAGUGCAUAUAUAUAAAUAUAUAGCAUCACUCUGGAGACUAGGGUACUGAUCCACCAUUUCAUGUACUUGCUGGGUGAUAUUGUGGAGCUGAUUCACUUUCAUUUUUCCAUAUAUAUAAUGGUAUGUCCACAUAUAAAAUGAUAACAAUAAUAAUAAAAAGAGCAAUGCAUGCUAAAUGUUUUAUAAAUAUGAUGAUAAUAAAUAAAUAAUAUUAUAUGACAUAAGUAUAUUUAUUUUGAAAAACAUGUAAUUAAUUUUCAUACAAAAUUCAACUAAACAUACACACAUACAAUAUUUAAUUAUAUCAUCUCUUACCAUAUCAUUUAUCAUAUGAUCCUAAACACUACUAAAGAAACGCAAAUUAAUGACAAAAUUUUUAUAACAGAUAACAUUGUGUCACAAAUAUAUCAUGUAUGUGUAUGACAUGUUCGUGACAUAUAAUUAUAUGUCAAGAUUACAUGACUUAUUCGUGACUUAUAACUUACUGACAUAAGUAAAUGAUAGAUAUAUGUAAUGUUGAUUUUUUUUAAUAAAUUAAAAUGACAAGUCGUUUUAUGAUACCAUCUAACGUUGUUUGCGAAGCAUGACAGGCAUUGUCAUAGAUUGAAAUGACAUCAUUUCAAACCAUGACAGGCAUGGUAUGCAAUGACGUCAUUUUUUAAUUAUUAAUUCAAUUAUUUUAAGUUUUCUAUAAUAACUUUAAUUACAAAAAUACCAUUGUAAUAUAACAUUGAUUUUUACAUGAUUUGAGUAUUCGACGGUGUUUGUGCACUAUGAUAGACAUUUGUCAUGAACUUUUAAAUAUAAUUGAAACUUUAAAAUUAAAUUGUUUUAAGUUAACCCUCUUUUAUGACUAAUUGCACCUCCACCUUAAUUUAAAACAAAACCCAAAUGCCAAACGUCUUUCUUUUUAACUCACACAGCCCCCCUUUAAUUUCUCCAAAGGAGCCAAACUAGAACCAGCAGCCGCUAAUUCCAAACGACCUAAACUAACCCCCUUAUACUCGGUGCAUGCUCACAUCUCUACUGCAUCUGCUACUAAUAUCUCCACAACUCCUCCACUAGCUCCGGUAUGUCGUCUCCUCUGUCCCAACUCUUAUGUGUUCUUAGGAAGUGAUAUUUUAGAAUGAACAUUUAUUAUAAUGAUUUGAUUUUUUUUGUUUCUUAUUAAGUUAGAAUUAAAUUAUUGUGAAUGGAAUUUGAAAAUUAGAAAGAAAAUUUUUAUUGAUCAUUUCUAGAUUUUUUUUAAUUAUUGAAUUAUGUUAGGGAUUUAGAUCUUAAAAUUUAAUUUUACACCACAUAAGGGUUUAAGCUUUAUGGCAGUUAUAAAUUUGUAAAUAAUUUUCUAGACUGUACUCUAUUACUUUAUUAGUUCAUAAAGUGUUUAAAGUGAAAUAUAUAUGUUUGAGGCUUUUUAUAGUUCAUGUUUUACGUUGAAAGUUAUCGGUUAGGUACAAUAAGACUACAUUAAGAUAAUUGAGAGUUUUGUUGGUGUUGCACUUUCUCAAAUUGUAUAUGUCAAUUUGAAGCCAUAUUGAAGUUUAUUAAAGCAAAUAAUUGUCAAAAUAAUGGCUGACAAAGCUGGUGGCUUUAACAAGCCAAAUUCAAAUUGGCUUUGACAACCACCAAUCUAGAAGAAUGAAGAAACUUUGAAGCAGCAAAUAUUGAAGGGGAAAAGUGCCGCCCAAAGAAAACAAGGAAAAAGAAAAAGGAAGAGUUGAAGCUGCCAAAUUUGAACAAAGACAAAAAGAAAGAAGAAGAAAAAAUGGAAUUUGGCAGCAGCGUUCUUUGAAGAAGGAAAAAGAAGAAUGAAGAAGAUAAUGGCGGUGAGAAAAAAUAAUAUUUUAAUAGCCAAUUUUGGCUAUAAAAAGGGAGAGCUCCUCAUUUCAUUUUGGCAUAAAAAAUUUGUGAGAGAGAAAGCAUGGAGCUUGAGUAAUUUUAAAGGCUUAAAAUUACCUUUAAAAUUACUCAAGCUCCUAUGAGUCUAGUGAGUGAGAGAUUGAGUGUAUUGAGAUUCUAGGUAGUGAGCCAAAAUAUUAUAAUACUUGUAAUCCUCAUAUCACUAGUAAAAUAUUUUCCUUAUAUUUUCGCCCGUGGAUGUAGAUUAAAAGUCGAACCACAUAAUUUCCUAGUGUCCUCUUUCUGCUUGUUCUUUAUUUUUUUCUUCCAAGUUCAUUUUAUCUGUGAUUCUAUUUCACCCACCAAUUUCCUAACAGUGGUAUCAGAGCUACUGGUUGUAUUUUUUUUUGGAGUCGGUGGUACUGUUCACGUAAAAGUAUUGUUCACGUAUACGGUACUAUUCACGUAUACGGUACUGUUCACGUAUACGGUUCAUGUUCACGUGAAAUGGUAGGAGCUGAUCUUAGCAAAGUUAGUUCGUGGUGAAAAGCGAUAGCGGAAAUAUACGAAAUUGAGAAGUUCAACUGAAAUAAUUUUUCAUUAUGGAAAAUGAAGAUAAAAACUGUAUUGAAGAAAAAUAAUUGCUUGAUAGCAAUUGGAGAAAAGCCUAUGGAGAUAAUUGAUGACAAGUGGAACGAGAUAGAUGGCAACGCUAUUUCUAUCUACACUUGGCACUUGCGGAUGAAGUAUUAUGCAGUGUGGCAGAGAAAAAGACAGCAAAGAAAAUAUGGGAUACUCUCACAAAAUUGUCGAGGCCAAGUCGCUGCACAAUAAGAUCUUUUUAAAGAGGAGACUCUAGACUUUUUGAAUGGCGGAAUUUACAUCAGUGACCGACCACAUCAACACCUUAAAGACUCUAUUUUCACAACUCAUAACAUUGGGUCAUAAUAUAGAGGAAAAUGAACAUAAGGAGCUUCUACUUCAAAGUCUACCAGAUUUGUAUGAUUAACGCAUCAUCAAUUUGACAAACAAUACCCCAACAGACAGUCUAGUCUUCAAUGAUGUUGCAGCCUCCGUAUUAAAUAAGGAGAGCAGGAGGAAAAAUAAGGACAAUAGACAAACAAGUUCACAGUAAGCAUAAGCAUUAUCGGUGACGAGAGGGAGAUCAACGGAACGUGGCCCCAGUGGGAAUCACAAUCAUGGUAUAUCAAAAUCCAGAAGUAAAAAGAAUAUUAAAUGCUACAACUGUGGCAAGAAAGAGCACGUCAAGAAAGACUGUUGGAACAACCAAAAGAGAAGAGAUGGCAAAUAACCUGAGUCAUCAAAUGCUCAGGGGUGUGUAGUAAGUACCUAGGAUGAUGGCGAAAUUCUCUACAACGAGGCAACAACUGUUUUAGAUAGUAGAAAAUGGUUAUCUGACGUCUGGCUCAUAGAUUCAGGAGCUACUUGACACAUGAACUCUCAGAGAGAAUGGUUUCACACAUAUGUACCUAUCUCAGAAGGAUCUGUAUAUAAGGGUGACGAUCAUGCCUUAGAGAUUGUUGGUAUUGAUACUAUCAAAAUAAAAAUGUUUGAUAGUACAAUUCACAUAAUUGGGGAGGUACGACAUGUCAACGUGCUGAAGAAAAAUCUAUUGUCUUUAGGACAAAUAGAUAGUCAUGGGUGCAAAACUCAUGUGAAAAAUAAAAUUAUGAAGAUUGUUAAAGGCGUGCUUGUACUGAUGAAGGCAGAAAAGAUCGGUAUUAAUCUAUUCAUGCUUAAAGGAGAAACAUUACAUGAAACUGAUGCUUGUGUUGUAUCAAACAGAGAAGAGUCAAUGAUGAUGUGGCAUAUCAAACUUGGUCACAUGUCGGAAUAAGGUUUGAAGAUUCUCUCUGAGUGAAAAUUACUUCCAAGUCUCAAAUCGGUAAGCUUACCAUUUUGUGAGCAUUGUGUUAUAAGUAAGCAGUAUAGAUUAAAGUUUAAUAGAUCUAUUGCUAGAAGUAAAUGCAUUCUAGACUUAGUUUACUUUGAUGUUUCGGAAUCACCGGACAUAUCCAUAAGAGGUGCAAAGUAUAUAGUGACUUUCAUUGAUGAUUAUUCCAGGAGAUGUUUGGUGUAUCCAAUUAAGAAAAAGUCAUAUGUAUUUCCAGUGUUUAAAGAAUACAAAGCGCGGGUGGAACUUGAAUCUAGCAAAAGGAUUAAGUACUUGAGGACAGAUAAUGGUAGAGAGUAUACAGACAGCGAGUUUCUUGUUUUCUGUAAGCAAGAAGGUAUUCAGAGGCAGUUCAUGGUAGCAUAAACUCCUCAACAAAAUGGAGUGGUAGAGAGGAUGAACAUGACUCUUACAGAAAUGAUAAGAGCUAUGUUGAGGACUGCUGGUCUACCCAAUUCAUUCUAGGCAGAAGCAGCCAAAACUGCUUGUUAUAUAGUAAAUCGGUCGCCAUCCAUAGCUAUUGGGCUGAAGACAACGAUGAAGAUGUGGACUGGAAAGCUAGCUGAUUACUCCUACCCACAUGCAUUCAGAUGUCCUGCGUACGUAAUGUAUAAUACCCAAGAAAGAACAAAGUUAGAUCCAAAAUCUAGAAGGUGUAUCUUCUUGGGGUAUUGUUUGUGGGAUCUCACUGCCCAUAAGAUUGUCAUCAGCAGAGAUAUUAUCUUUGUAGAAGAUCAAUUUUAAAAGAGAGAUGAGGAUGAUAGCACUGUAAAAGAAAAGUCAGAGAUUGUGUCACAUGUCGGAAUAAGGUUUGAAGAUUCUCUCUGAGUGAAAAUUACUUCCAAGUCUCAAAUCGGUAAGCUUACCAUUUUGUGAGCAUUGUGUUAUAAGUAAGCAGUAUAGAUUAAAGUUUAAUAGAUCUAUUGCUAGAAGUAAAUGCAUUCUAGACUUAGUUUACUUUGAUGUUUCGGAAUCACCGGACAUAUCCAUAAGAGGUGCAAAGUAUAUAGUGACUUUCAUUGAUGAUUAUUCCAGGAGAUGUUUGGUGUAUCCAAUUAAGAAAAAGUCAUAUGUAUUUCCAGUGUUUAAAGAAUACAAAGCGCGGGUGGAACUUGAAUCUAGCAAAAGGAUUAAGUACUUGAGGACAGAUAAUGGUAGAGAGUAUACAGACAGCGAGUUUCUUGUUUUCUGUAAGCAAGAAGGUAUUCAGAGGCAGUUCAUGGUAGCAUAAACUCCUCAACAAAAUGGAGUGGUAGAGAGGAUGAACAUGACUCUUACAGAAAUGAUAAGAGCUAUGUUGAGGACUGCUGGUCUACCCAAUUCAUUCUAGGCAGAAGCAGCCAAAACUGCUUGUUAUAUAGUAAAUCGGUCGCCAUCCAUAGCUAUUGGGCUGAAGACAACGAUGAAGAUGUGGACUGGAAAGCUAGCUGAUUACUCCUACCCACAUGCAUUCAGAUGUCCUGCGUACGUAAUGUAUAAUACCCAAGAAAGAACAAAGUUAGAUCCAAAAUCUAGAAGGUGUAUCUUCUUGGGGUAUUGUUUGUGGGAUCUCACUGCCCAUAAGAUUGUCAUCAGCAGAGAUAUUAUCUUUGUAGAAGAUCAAUUUUAAAAGAGAGAUGAGGAUGAUAGCACUGUAAAAGAAAAGUCAGAGAUUGUGCUGGUCUAUGUGGAAAAUAAACUAGAAGAUUUGGAUUCUUCUGAAGAAGCACCAGAGCACGAGGAACAAGAACCAGUCGAGUCCGAGGCUUCAGAAGUUCGUUGGUCAACUCUUGAGAGACGACCGCCAACGUGCCACUCGGAGUAUGUCACAGAUAUCAAUGUUGCAUACUGUCAUCUAACAGAGGAUGGAGAGCCAUCAACUUUUCAUGAAACUUUAAACAACUCAGAUGUUGCUUUGUGGAUGACAACAAUGUAAGAGGAAAUUGAAGCUCUACACGAGAACAAGACAUGGGAACUUAUAUUACAACCACGCGGAAGAAAAACCAUGGUAACAAAUGGGUCUACAAGAUCAAACGUGAUAGUAAUGACCAAGUGGAGCGGUAUCGUGCAAGAUUAGUGGUGAAAGAAUAUGCUCAGAAAGAAGGUAUUGACUUCAAUGAGAUAUUUUCUCUAGUGAUUUGACUUACAACAGUCAGAGUAGUCUUGGCGAUGUGUGCUACAUUUGGCUUACAUCUUGAGCAGUUAGAUGUGAAAACUGCAUUUCUUCAUGGAAAACUUGAAGAAGAAAUAUAUAUGCUCCAACCAGAAGUUUUUGCUGAAAUAGGAAAGGAGAACUUGGUUUGCAGGUUGAACAAAUCUCUAUACGGUCUCAAACAGACACUGAGGUGUUGGUAUAAGAGAUUUGAUUCUUUCAUCAUGAGCCUUGGAUACAACAGACCCAGUUCAGACCAUUGUGUAUAUUACAAGAGAUUUGAAGAUAAUGAUUUCAUUAUUUUGCUGUUGUACGUGGAUGACAUGUUGACAGCAGGCCCCAACAAAGAUCGAGUCCAAGAAUUGAAGGCACAAUUGACUAAGAAGUUUAAAAUGAAAGACUUGGGACCAGCUAACAAGAUUCUAGGGAUGCAAAUUCACCGAGAGAGAAUUAAUAAGAAGAUUUUGCUUUCUCAGAAGAACUGCUUGAAGAAAAUAUUGCGACUCUUCAACAUGCACGAUUGUAAGUCAAUUUUUACCUCACUUCCUGUUAAUUUCAAAUUACCCUCAAGUAUGUGUCCUAGCAAUGAAGCAGAGAGGAAUGAGAUGUCUCGAGUACCUUAUGCAUUAGCAGUAGGAAGUUUGAUGUUCGCUAUAAUAUGUAUUAGACCAAACAUUGCACAAGCAGUGGGAGCAAUCAGUCGAUACAUGGCGAAUCUUGGUGGAAAGCAUUGGAAAACUGUGAAAAGGAUUUUGAGAUACAUUAGAGGAACCUCUAAUGUUGCAUUAUGUUAUGGAGGAUCAGAAUUUACUGUCAGGGGUCACGUGGAUUCAGAUUUUACAGGAGACCUUGAUAAAAGGAAAUCCACUAUUAGCUAUGUGUUUACACUUGCGGGAGGAGCUGUAAGCUGGGUUUCAAAACUACAAACCGUUGUGGCUUUAUCUACAAUAGAAGCAAAAUACAUGGCGGCUACACAAGCUUGCAAGGAAGCUAUUUGGAUACAAAGGUUAUUAGAGGAAUGCGGGCACAAACAAGAGAAAAUUUUUAUGUAUUGUGACAGUUAGAGUGCCUUGCACAUUACAAGGAAUCCAGCCUUUCAUUCCAGGACAAAGCACAUAGGGGUAUAGUAUCACUUUAUUUGAGAAGUAGUGGAAGACGGAAGUGUGGAUUUAUUGAAAAUCCAUACGAAGGAGAACCUAGCAGAUGUUAUGACCAAGCCAAUCAAUACUGACAAGUUUGUAUGGAGUAGAUCCUCUUAUGACCUAGCAGAGACGUAAGCAACAUGACAAUGGCGAAACAGAAAUGAUGGGUGGAGAUUGAUUGAUCCUCAAUCAAAUCUCCAAGUGAGAGAAUCUCAAAAUAAUAGCUGACAAAGCCGGUGGCUUUAACAAGCCAAAUUCAAAUUGGCUUUGACAGCCACCAAUCUAUGAGAAUGAAGAAACUUUGAAGUAACAAAUAUUGAAGGGGAAAGUUGCCGCCCAAAGAAAACAAGGAAGAAGAAAAAGGAAGAGUUGAAGCUGCCAAAUUUGAACAAAGACAAAAUGAAAGAAGAAGAAAAAACGGAAUUUGGCAGUAACGUUCUUUGAAGAAGGAAAAAGAAUAAUGAAUAAGAUAAUGGCGGUGAGAAAAAAAUUAUAUUUUAAUAGCCAAUUUUGGCUAUAAAAAUGGAGAGCUCCCCAUUUCGUUAUGGCAUAAAAAAUUUGUGAGAGAGAAAGCAGAGAGCUUGGGUAAUUUUAAAGGUUUAAAUUAUAAAGCUCUUGUGAGUCUAGUGAGUGAGAGAUUGGGUGUAUUGAGGUUCUGGGUAGUGAGCCAAAAUAUUAUAAUACUUGUAAUUCUCAUAUCACUAGUAAAAUAUUUUCCUUCUGUCUUCUCCCGUUAAUGUAGGCUAAAAGCCGAACCACGUAAUUUCUUGGUGUCCUCUUUGUACUUGUUCUUUAUUUUUUCUUCCAAUUCAUUUUAACUGUGGUUCUGCUUUACCCACCAAAUUCCUAACAAUAAUCCUAGUGCAUUUUGUAAAGAUAAAGUUGAUGGAAACUUGGUUUUUGAGAUUAUCCAAAUGAUGUUUUUUUCUCUUAAUUGAAAUUCCAGGUGGUCGGCAACUAAAUUGUGUUUUGGAUCUAAGGACCCCAUGUUGGAUUUUGUCCUGAACGUCACAUAAUUUGUUAGAUUGUAGUUGGUUGAUGAGGUGCUUUAGUUUUUUGCUUGCUAGUUAAGUUAACAUGCAGCGUUUGUACCAAUCAUCUCUCAAAAGCUGGAAUUUUUAUGUUUUUAGUGGAAAUAUGGAGUUUGAUGUAGCCUAAGAAUGAAUGAUGUUCUUGUUCAUAUUAUGUGAUGGAUAGUAAUUGUAUUUAGUUUAAAAGAACAAAUAAUAUAUUCAUGUUAUUAUUAUGUAGUUUAAUUAAUUUUAAAUUCUUAAUUUGUAUAUAUUUAUAUAAUUUUGGAGCAUAUACACAUAUCAUCAUCAUCAUCAUAAUAAUUUAUAAAAGAAUAUAUUUCAAAAUUAAAAUUUAAUUCAAUAAUAAAUACAAUUAAUUGAAUAAAUUAAUAAUUAAAUAAAAUAAUUUUGUAAUUCCAGCCCAACUCAUUUAAAAAUUUUAAAAUUUCGUCAAAUUUAUUUGGAAAAUUAUCAUUUGUAUACCCUUAGUUUACUACAUUAUAAAAAAUACUACAAUACUUUGAGGGUGUAUCAAUCGUCCACCCUAAGUUGACAAAAUGUAUCAGUUGACCACCAAACUGUUAGUUGCCGUUUAAGUAUGAUGACGUCAGAAGGGUAAUUUGGUCUUUUCAUAUGAUACAAGUGAUAAUUUAAGGGUAUACAAGUGAUAAAAAGAGAAUUUAAGGAUAUACAAGUGAUAAUUUUCAAGGGUAAAAUCGUCAAUUCACUGUAACUCCGUUAACUUUUAAACGGCAACUAACGGUUUGGUGGUCGGCUGAUACAUUUUGUCAACUAAGGGUGGACGAUUGAUACACCCUCAAAGUGUUGUAGUAUUUUUAAUAACAGAACAAAUAUAGGAUAUAUGAAUGAUAAUUUCCUAAUUUAUUUAGAUUUUGGAAUUCCAGCCAAAUUCAUUUAUAUGUAUCAUUCUCUUGCGAUAGAUAUUAGUCAUGCCUUGAAAGUGAUUAUAAUAAAUAUUAGUCGUGCAUGAUAACUUAUUAUCAAAAUAUUUAUGAUAGAAUCAUAAUGGAUAAUAUAUCAUGCAUUGUCUGACAUAUAAAAUUCGUCAUCAAAUUUUCUUGACACCAAAAUUAAUGAUGGUCGCUUAACCGUCAUGCCAUAUGACAGAUGAGGAUAAAAAGUAAAAAUCGUUACAAAUGUCUUUCUUCUAUAUAUUAAAUCUUCUCAUAUUCAAAGAGUAAAAACGAGGAAAAAAAAAAGAUAAAACUACUUGCUGGUGCUAAAGUCAUCAACAAAAGCCUUGAGAUUCUUAUGUGAAGACCCUCCUUGUUUGACGGCAUCUCUGGCCAAAUCCUUCCAUUUCAAAGAAUUUCUUCUAAAAUCAUCUCCUUCUCCCAUCACCAACUCCAAACACCUGUUAAUCUCAUCACUUUCUACAAUCCCUUCUUCAUUUGCUUUCACUCUCACUCCGGUUUUGCAGAAGUCCACAAUAAUUUUAGCGUUUGUCCCUUGAUCUGUCCACUGAGGAAACGCCACCACAGGCACGCCAUAUACCAAGCUUUCUAAGCUCGAACUCCACCCACAGUGCGUUACAAAACACCCCACCGCUUCAUGUGACAGAACCUCCACUUGUGAACACCACGGCACUAUCAUUCCCUUCUCAUUCAGCUCUUCUUUGUACUUCAUCAUCACAUCAUCUUCUCCUUCAUCUUUAUCUUUAUCUUUAUCUUUAUCUUUAUUGUCGUUUUCUCUACUGACCCACAAGAAUGGAUGGCCACUAUCUGCUGUACGGCCAAGGCGGAUGUACGGUACAGCAGUUUCUUUAUUUAUUAUAUAAUAUAAUUUUUUUUUUCACCUGUCAAAUCAACUAUAUAUAUAUAUAAUUUUUUUUAACUGCCAAAUCAACUAUUUUUGCUGUGGAGUGUUGUAUCACAGGCUAAGUUUACUAGUAUUACUUGGACCCAUGAUAGUAAAGGAUUUUUCUACAGCCGUUACCCAGCUCCCAAGUAAGGAUCUUCACCAUUUAGUCAGCUCAGUGGAAUUUGAAUUCUUGACUUUAUAUUUAAACAUUAUGGAUAAUUUAUGAAUUUUGUUUCAUGCAUUUAUUAACUUUUUAUCCUAAGGGUGUGAAAGUUGUUUUAUUCUCCUGUGUAAUUCUUUAGAGAUGGCAAAGCUGUAGACGCUGGAAUAGAGACUGAUUCCAGCCUUUAUCACGAAUUUUACUAUCAUUUUCUGGGUACGGAACAAUCAGAAGAUAUUUUAUGCUGGAAAGACCCAGAACAUCCCAAGUAUACUUUUUCUGGCCAUGUUACAGAAGACGGGCAGGUGACUAGCUCUUCAUAGGUUUAAUCUUUUUGCCUUUUUUGGAUCAAAAUGUUGUGUCUGAGUGGUGCCCCUGUUCUUUAUUUAUUUAUUUAUUUUUAAUGGUAUGGUUGUGCUCUUGUUUGUCCACCUGAAAUAGUUGAUGCAAAGCUUCAUUAAUGAUACACAACUUUUGGCAAGCUGAUUCAUGGUUGAUAUCCAAAGGUCACCGCAGGGGAUAUAAUGAAAGAAUAAUAACCUCUCUUCUAUAAUAUUUUUAGAAGAUGAUACUCUUUAAAACGAGGUUUAUUUGUGUCACUACUUGUUUAGUGAAAAUGUAGAUUUUAGAUACCCAUGUUAUUCUGUUAUUAGGUUACUUUAUGAAAUGAGAAGCAUCCAAUACUAAAGUUAAUUAUAUGGGGAAUUUAUUAUGAUGCAUGAUAUGUAUUUUCAUUACAUACAGGUCUGAUUGAAUUGAUUCUGAUUAGGAUUGUUAUUGGAAAAAAUUGUUAAUUUUUGUGGACCUCUUCUAAAUUAACUUCACAUUUUAUUCUGUUCAACAGUACCUUGUCAUGUAUAUAAGAUAUUUGCGUACACACUUGAGUCUGAGUGCACAUGGUGGGAGGUUUAAAUAGGGCUUGCACUUUGAUAGAAUGACGUUCGAGAUGAUGAUUAAACAAGGACACGUAUUUACAGCGGAAUUUGUCUCAGCCAGCUAAAGUUUUCAGUGGACCAAGCAACUUUUUUUUUGUCAAAACCUUCUUGGAAUAUGCUACACACACACACACAUAUAUAUAUAUAUAUAUAUAUAUAUUUAUUUAUUUAUUUAUUUAUUUAUACAAACGCAAUCAUUGAAGAUUAAUAAUGACUAA